AAAAAAAAAAAAAAAAGUGUGGUGCGCAUACUCAUUAUGAUCACCUUUACUUCAUAUUCCUCCUUUUUUUUUUUUUUUUUAAUUCGCUACUACUUAAUAUAUAUUAUCAUGCAUGUAAUAUAUGUUUUUCGAGUUUAAUUCAAUUGAUAGAGACAUUGUAUGUAAUAUAUGUAGCGGUCGGAGUUUGAACUUCAAACAUCCCACUUAUUUACUUUAUGAAGUGAAUAUCUAGCCACCAUACUACUAGACCAAAAAAUAAAUAAUUAUUUUAUAAUAUAAAAAAAUAAGAAUGAUCUUAACAAGACACUCUUUUAUACCACAGAAAAAACACUCUCUUAAAUAUUAUUUUCAACACAUUCUUUUAUUAGUUGAAAUUUAUGAGUCUCACUAAAUUUAUACGAAUUCUAUAUAAUUUAGUCAAAUGGAAGAUUAAUGUUUUUCACACAAAUUAUUAUAUAGACACCAUGUAUUUAUACGGUUUUCGAAAGAAAAAAAAUCCCUCUUCACGGGUGUUCGUUCUCUCAUCUCACAUAUUCACACUCAAUGAUAUACGGUGUCAAAAUAUAACGUAGGAAAUUGUGUGUCAAAAUCAAAUAAUAAUUUAACGGAAUUAAUUUGAAUUACAAACAGUGAAAAAAUGUGUAUUGAAAAAGUAUGUAGAGUGUGUGCCGCCAUCACUCUUCAAAAAAACAAAAUUAAGUUGGAUAAAAAAAUAAGUAACAAAAAUAGAUUGUAAAAGUGUUUCCAUCUAUUCGUGUUGUGUUAUUAUUUUUCCUAUUAGAAUAGGAAAUACUCUACAAUUUUUGUCACCCUCACUAAAUUUUUCUGGCUCCGUCCCAGAUUAGAGCCAAUCUUUUGUUCAGCCACUCAAUGAGUAUAGGAACAAUCUGAGCCUCUUGUUUGAUUCUGAGAUGCUUGGUUGAUUUAUAGUGCUACAAGUUUACAAGAAUCAUGUACGAUGUGCAUUGCAUCCCAAAGUUGGUGGUGGUGGUUUUGUUGAAAUGCAUGACUCUCAGAGUCAUUUGGAAUACAUGAAGAAUAAGGAGGAUAUGUAUUCUUUGGUGGUUCGUCAAUCUAGUUCGUUGUGUUGUAUCAGUAAUCAAAAUACAUGAAUUCAAGAGUCAUUUAAAUCAUGAAAAUGAGAAAAACUCAAUUAUGUGUGAUUAUUCUAAUAUUUUUAAAAUUAUUUUUUAAUUGAAAUUAAUGAUAUAUAAUUGUAUUUUAUAUUUUUUUAAUUAAUUAACAAUUAGGGAUGAUAAUUCCUUAAAAAAAAAUUAGGGAUGAGAAUAGACCAUGCUCACACACAUGGAUCUCCAGUUUAGUCUAUCUAUGGUAUGCCAUAACAAAUAUAUAUUUUUUUAAAUAGAGAAGAUCCAGACCUUUUUAAAAAUCUAUUUAACUUAAAAUGGCAGGUCGUAUGCUAUUAAAAAAGCCUUUUAGGCUCAUUUAGCCGUCCUACAUAAAUAAAUAUGAAUAAUAUUAUUUAUUAUUAUAUUAUAUUAUAUUUUGUACUUUGAAUUAAAUUAUAAAUUUGUUAACCUUAUUACUAAUUUAAGCUUACUAAUAUAUAUUGAUUUUUCGAACAUUAAAUAUAUUAUAUUAAACCAUAAUUGAAAUAUGAUAUAAUAUGUAAUCUAAAAAAAAUAUAUAAUCAAGUUCACUAAAAAUUCAUAAUAAAUAUCAAAAUAAAGUUUAAUCUCAUUGAUUUAUUAGUUCACUUGUCUAUUUAAAUUUAGAUCACACUAAUUAAUUAAAGAUAUUUAUAUAAAAUAUGUUAAACAUGCUAGCAUGACUCCUUGAGGUCUCAGGUUCGAUUCUAUGUGUCAAUUUAGAUGGACUAAUUUAAUUUUUCAAAAAAAAAAAAUGCCAACAUGACAUGUACCAGACUCAAGCCUUUUUUUUGUUGUUGAAGGAAUGUACCUGACUCAAGCCUAAAAAAUAAACCUAUGACAGGUCAUAAAUCAGACUUUGGCCAUAAAAAUAUUGUAUUGACUAACUUUUUUUAGUAGUAUUUAUAUUUAUAUUUUUGUAACUUUGCAACUUAAUUUUUUUUUUUUUUUUUACAUAUAAAAAUCUAAUAAUAUAAUGAAGAUAGGAGCAUCAUUAUUUUAGUUGGCUCAAGACAUCGAAUAUCUCAUGAUCGAUACUGGUUGAGCAAGCUGGAAAACUGCUAGAAAUGCGACUAAGUUUAAUGUCAAAACAUCACUGGAAAAAAUCGAAGAAAUACAAAAUCCUAAGUAAAAAAAUUAGAUUAGACUCUAGAUAAGUAACAAGCCGCCAAGUUAACGUGUUUAUAGUGACAAUAUUGAUUUAGAAAGAUCACCUGCUCCUUAGAAAUAUCUUAUCAGUAUCGAAUCAUUUAGGUAAAUUUAAUUCCCUAUACUAUUAAAACUGCUAGAAAUGUGAGUAAGUUUAGUGUCAAAACAUCUUUCAUAAAUAUUUCCAAUGUGAACCACCCCUUUUUUAGACAUUCAGACAACUAUUUGACUAAUGGUAACAACCGGUUUUGGAUGACGACAGAUCAGACACAUUGGACCAUGUCCUUACUGAAAUUUGUAUGUACCAAAUUUAAAUAAAAAUACAUCACUUCCUAAGCUUUAAUUUUCCAUAAUAUCAAUUUCUGGUGGUAUUCUUGUAUCAAACGUGGCAAGAAAUUUGUCCUCAAAACAAAAGUGGCAACUUGCUUUAUGGAAGAAAAAAAAAGGUCUCAUAAUUUUAAAUUACAACUCACACAGCCCUCAAUUGCUGUCUCUCGUAUAUACUUUUAUUCUCAUAGUCCGUUAAUAAUUGGAAAGGAAAUGAGGAAUCCUAAAUACAAGGAUUCGAAACCUUCAAUAAUCUAAAAUAUUAUAUAUGUGAACAAUUUGUCAAAAGAAAUUGCUUAAAGUUGGGUAUAUUUAUGAUGGUCAUAGACUCAUAGUAGCUAGCUUCUUAAUGAAAAGAUCCUAACCAAUGGCACUAGAAGUAGUGGUACCACCAGCAAUAGUGUUAUCUUAACGACUGCAUCAUCAUAUAAGAUUCAUUCCCAAUUUUUGGAUUUCUUACAAUAAAAGCAUCAUUUUGAUUUUGAUAAUUGGACCAAACCUAUUCAACGAGAUCAAAUGUGAGAGCAUGUGAGAUACUCUGAAACUAAUUGAUUACCGAAGAUUAUAUUAAGGUUUCUUACCCAAAAAAAGAAGAAGUUAUAUUUUAAUUACAUUUUAUAUAUAAAUAAGAGGAAAAUGCUACUAGUAUUUAAAAAUACAUCUUCUGAAAGAGAAUAAUUAGUUCUGGUCCUAAAAAAAUAGUUUUGAAAAUAAAUAAAUGCAUGUGGUGAGAUUAUUGGGACUUGAAUGGCGUGCAAGUGCAAAAUGAACUAAUAAAGUAUCCAUCCACAUCCAGCACUACACGUGCAAUUAUUUUCUUCUUCUUGCUAAAAACGAACUCAACUUAUUUCCAGCUGUGUACACAUUUGGUUCCUACGCACAACACGCCAACUAGUUUGGUCACCACCCCACCAGAACUGAGCUAUCUUCACCUAUAAUAGUGUUAUCUCAAACGUAUACAACUCAGAAACAUAACAGGUUUAUGUCAAAACAAGUAACAUGUCAUAAGAAUGGCACACUUAUCACGUACAUCAAUUGCACACAUUUGUUUAUUUUUAGUUUUCUUGCAAUCACAUAACAGGUUUGGCAUUGGCAAGUUGUAAUUGCUUAUAGGAACUCUCAAAGACAUAAAAUACGUAUAAGCUUAUGCUUGUCUAAAGAUUAAGAAUACAUUGGCUGUUGCAACCUGUGAUAAGUUCUAAAUUAUGUCAAUGAUUAUCAUAAUACCUAAUAUGAAAACUAAAAAGAAUCAAGUGGCUUAAGUUUCUGUUCUGCCCUCCUACUCCAGAAAUGCACAUGCUCAAAAUGUGUAGAGUCAACUAAUCAUAGAGAUAUAAAAUAGUACUGGUACAUAAUUGAAGCAAUUUGAUCCUAUUAGCUUCUAUGAAGUAAAAUACUAGUACAUGAAAAUGCAAAUUUGUUCAAUAGCAGUAUGAUACUCUAAUGAUUCAAUCAUUAGUUAUUCGAAUUCGACAAAAAUCAGAUAAAUAAAACGCAAACUAAAGCAUACAAAUCCGAUAAAUAAAACGAAAACUAAAGCAAGCCAUACAAGAGAUAAAUGAAAUUGAUCAACAAAAAUGCUAGACUUGAACCAUAAUAUGGAAUUAUCGAUUGCUUUGCUUAAUGGUGAUUUGGAGACCUUCUAACAAAAAAACCAAGCAUGAUAUAUGCCAUCAGCGACAAUCGAUUCAAGGCAGUGUGCUUAUCAUGCUUUUGAAUAUGUAUUCUUGAAGGUAACAAAGAAUACAAACAAACAUAAUUUGAAAGAUCGUAAAACUGAAGCUAGAUUAAGUUUAUCAAUGAUGAGAGACACAAAAUAAAAAACAAUAUGAAGGUGCUUAUGUGAUUCAGUUGAAUCAUUUCAUAAUCAAUGUAAAAAUAAGGUACUGAUCAUCAUGUCCCCCACCCCUUUCCCCCACAAAAGAUAGACAAAUACCGCACCGAUCGCCAUUCUACUAAGUUCCCCUUCAUUGUUUUCUGGCUUUUCUUCCAUUGCUGCUGCAUCACAUGAUUACAUCCCCAUUGACAAUUGCUAACACAGCUGAAUGAUGAAUCUUACGAUUACAAUUUUCCAUCCAACAUUACAAAAUUAAUCUCCCACAUAAUUUUAUCGUAUAUCUGCAGCAGCAAAUGUCACUUGUGCACCUUGUAUUCAUUCAUUCUCAUUAAUCAUUAUGUACUUUGACUUUGAUCAACAUAUAUUCAGGAAGCAAAAAACAAAGUUAAGCUUUUUAGCCUCCCCAAUAAGUUAAUUCACCAUGACCUCAUUCCACUGUUUACAUCCAUAGACCAAGUCCUUCUCGACCGCGGAGAGGGAUCCAUAUUUGAAGAAUGCGACGAAUUGGUCCUCACAGACCUCAACUCUCUACCCAUAACAGACCGUUGAUUCCCAACUCCACCACCAACACCAAAACAACCAAAGAAACUCCCAAAAAACCUUCUCAAACCACCACCUCUUUGUCUUUCUCUACUCCCUCUAGAAGACCAAGAAAUCCUCCUAGGUUCACCACCAUUAUUAAACCCACCAUCCAUUUCAGUAUAAACAACAGGUAACUCUCUCUCAGCACCUCUCCUCCCACCCGAAAAUCUCCCCACAGCAAAACCACCACCAGGCAAUCUCCAAAUAGUCAACCCAACAUUACUCUCUUCCUCAUUCAAACCAACCGAUUGCUGCGACUCCACCUGCGACCAUGAUUGUGAUUGUGAUUGCGAUUGCAAUUGAUUACCAUUUCCAGCAUCAGAAUCAGUCGGUAACUCAUGUCUACAAACCGGACACGAAUUAUGCAGUGCAAGCCAAGGUAAAAUACAAUCAGGAUGAUAAAUAUGCUUACAAGGCAUUUCUCUAACAACAGUACCUAACUCAAAAGCUUCCAUACAAACAGCACAAUGUGAUUCCAUUUCCAAAUGAGUAUUAUCAAUUUCAAGAGUUGGUAAUGAAUCAACAGAAGCUUUUGAUGCUGGUGGAUGUUCAUAUCUUCCAAUACCAUUGAUCUCAAUCUGUGAAAGCUGUUCCAAUAAUCUAUCAAAACCAGAUCCAAGCAAAAACUCUGACAUACUUGGUGGUAAUGGUCUUAAACCAGAACCAGCACCAUCAUCAUAAAAUAACUCAAACCCACGGCUCUCUCCUCUUUCUCCUCCACCGUUGUUACCGGCUUCUGUGGCUGCCUCUGUUGAGCCACCGCCACGGAGGACAAUGACCGGAUUGAAAGGUGACCGGUCACCACCGUUGCGGCGGGUUCUACGGAGGAAAGAUGGACGAGAACCAUUAUGAUUAUGAUCUGAAUUUGGACGUUGACCGAUCAUGUACAUGGCGGCGGCUGGGAAACGUCGGCGGCGGGAAUCAACUUGUGGAGGUUGUUCAAUUUCUUCGAGGAAACCGCCGUCGCAAUCAGGGCAGACGACGGUUUCCUGUCUGCUUAAUCUUACAAAACGAUUGCAUCUAUAACACCAAUAAGAUGUUGUCUCUGACAUAGUGCCCGUCUAAACGCUAGUAAUAAUAAUUACCAGAUCUCUUGUAAGAUCAAAAUUCAAAUGAAUAAAGGAGAAAUAAUAAUAGAGGAUGUGGUAUUAUUAUUUUUGAAAAGGGGAGAAAAAAAUUGAAAAAAUGGUUGAAAUGAAAUUGAAAGGGUUAUGGGUUUCUGGGAGAGAGGAGAGAAAGAUGAUGUGUCGAAGAUAACAAAGAAAGCGCGUAUUGAUUUGUUGGCGUGUCUACAACGCUUUUAUUUAUGUGACACGUGGAGUUAUGCAGUUGGAUGGUAUCCAAACGACAGAUAGGUAAACGUUUUCUCUGUAUCGGCUGGAUGGCUUGAGCUUUGUUAUGUUUACGGGAUUUUGUUUCGAUGGCGCCUUUGUUCAAUAUCUUAACCGAUUUAAAUAUUUUUAAUUAAUUUGUGAUUUCAAAGGAUAUGCUUUGAUAUUAAAAACAAAUUGAAAAAGGAUAUGCUUUAAAUUUAGUCAAAAUUCGAUUUUAUUUGAUUUAAAUGAAAAUUAUUAUUUUUCUUUUUUUUUUUGGUACAAAAAUUAUUAUUUUUCUGUAUCUACAAAAGUAAACAUUCCAUUCUUUAAAAAAAAAGUAAACACUCCAUAUCAGUCUAUUUUUAUAAAUGUGUUUACAAAUGGAGAAAAGUUUGCAUAUAGAGAGAAAAAUAUUUUAACAAUUCAAAAGUUGUCCAAACACUGUUAUAAUUUUAAAAAUAGUGGUAUUGAUUUGGGAUUGCGAAUGUACUCAUCUUAAAAAAAAAUGUAUUUCAGAAAGAAUGUAUAGUAAGAAUUAGUUUGGUAGAAAUAGUUAAAUAGUUAAAAAAGAAUCUAUGGAAAACCUGAAUUAUAUUAACUUAAACAAAAGUAAUACACUUUUUAGUGUUAGAAGAUAGUUAAAAACACUUCUUUAAAAAAAAAAGUUUUUUUUUUACAAAAUUAAACUAAUAUUCAUUCAUUCAAAUCGAGAGAUUACAUAAUUCAACACCGCUAAAAACAUAAAGGAUGAAUCUGCGAACAAACUCACAACAUCCAAGUUAAUAGCAUAUAACGACAUAUUGCCUAUAAAAAUAUAUGAUAAAAUUAAAGUUACCGAAAUAUUCAUGGCCGCCGGAUUUGCAACGUUGACGUCCAAAUCUUUGAUUGAAUAAUCGAUCUUUCAAUAUGAAUAAAAUGAACACCGCAAGAAGAUGGGAAAGCAAACAACACCGCACAAGACGACGAACAACAAACCACCACACUUAGAUGAUGAAAUCACAAAGAAAAAAAACUAGAUCUAUGUGAAAGUCACUUAUUUAGAGAGAGAGAGAGAGAGAGAGAGAGAGAGAGAGAGAGAGAAGAUGAAGAGGGGUGUUCCAGGUCAAAAAUUGACCCAAAAACCACCCCCAAUGAAGAAACGGAAGAGAAAACCUAGAGAGAUAAAAUUAGGGCCGACUUGUUGGAGAUGGAGAGUUUGUGAAAAAAAAGUUGUCCAAUACUACAUUUUUAGAUGAUUGUCAUUUUAUUAAUAGUUUUUCUUUUUCUUUUAAUCAAACUAACAUUUAUUUUUUGUUGUUUCAAUAUCACUGCUCUUAAAAAUAUCUUCCCUGAAAAAAUAUCACUGCUCUUAAAAAUUGGUUAAAUGUGAUUUCAUAUCAUUACAAAAUUAUAAUGUUUUACUUUUAUUCUCAUAAAAAGUGGUAUUUUGUCACAAACCUAAAUCAAGUGAAAACAAUAACAAAAUUGUUAGAUCAAACUUUAUGAUUGAAAUUCAAACAACAAAAAAAUUAGAGACCUAAUGUUUUAAAUCAUUUUACUUUUGUGGGGGAAUCUUUUAAACAAUUUAUAACUAUUUCUUUGAAUUUAUGAAUCUAUAAAUUAUUUAAAAGCUUAGAGACCAAUUUUUUAUUUUUUUUUAAAUAAGACCAAAUUAAAAUUAUUUAAAAGUUUAUAAAGGAUCUAGUUUUUUUUUUUUUGAAAGAAUAAAGGAUCUAGUUAUAAUUUAUUUAAAGGGUAAGGGAAAGACUUAUUUCCCAUGACAUCCUUCAAAAAAAUUAUUUCAAGUUGCACCCAAAGAAAAAGUGUUUAGAAAUUAAUUAAAUAUUUUUAAAAAAUUAUGGAACUUAAUUAAAAAAUUUAAAUUCAAAAUCUUAUUUAGAAAUUAUAAAUUGUUGCAUUAUUAUUAAACCAAAACAAAACCAUAUAAAAAUUGGAAAAAUAAAAAGAAACGCUAGAAGGAGGGGUUGAACCUCCGACCUUGUGGUUAACAGCCACACGCUCUAACCAACUGAGCUAUUCCAGCUUCUUGUGUUCUUUGUCUCACGUUUGAUAUAUGUAACAUAAACGAAAAUGAUAGGUCGUGCAACACUUCAGAUUUUGCUUUCAAAAGUUAUCAAGGUUCAAGCUUCUCCAGUGACACUCUUGUCCCACCAGUUCCAUCAUCAUUAUCAAUUAUAGGAGCAUCUUCGAAAGGGAAAUAUCAAGGGAUUAGCUAAUAGCCUUCAACUAUCGUAUGUAGGUCAUAAGUCUAUUGGUAUUAUGGUAUUAUUAUUCAUGUACGAUUUAAAUUAGUAAAACUGUAUAUUUGUUUUUUGGCUGUUUUUGUUGUUUGGUCUCAUUAGCAGUGCAAAACCAAUAUGAUAUCGAAUCUAUUUUUAUUAGGACAAGAGUCAUAUAAUGAUGUUGUUCCAAACAAUAGUUCACCUCCCAUAUAAUGAUAUUGUGUCACCCUCCAUUCUUGGUGCUGGCUGAUGGCUUACAAUAUAAUACAGUCUAGUUAAAUUUGUUGAUUUUUAUUCAUGGUGAACGAAUUUAUCUUUUUGUAUAAGCUUUAAAAUUAGGUAAUGGUAUGUUUUGUCCUCUUUAGUAUUUUGUUUUGAAACUUGCUACAUUGUAUUCACUCUUUCUCCUUUGAGGCACAUCUUAUGUUUGAAAGAAUUUUUUUAAUCUAGUAUCUUUUGGCAUCUUAAAAAAUAGUUCACUUCCCAAAUUUAAGUGGAAGUGUGUGCUAUACAAAUUACAAUAUUACUUUUUUGACAAGAAAUUACAAUAUUACUUGACAUGCACAUCUUUGUCUUAUGUUUAUUAGUAGGGCCAUGCUAACAUUCUUUGGAUUGUCAAGAAAACAAAAAAAAAGACAUUGGUGUCUAUGCAUUGAAGAUAUUGAAUUUUAUUAUGUGUUUUUCUAUCAUGAGCCUUGAACACUUAUUAAUAUUUUUCUUAUUAAUAUGUCUAAAUAAAUAUUUUAUACAAAAAUGUAUGAACAAUUUUACAACAAUGAUAUAUACCUUCCCUAAAAAAAAAACAAUGAUAUAUACCUUUAAUUUUCAUUUAUCCAUUCAAUGCAUCAUUUUCUCUUUAUAUGUUAUUCUUCUGAUCGCAUCAUCACUAACAACAGAUCACAUCACCAUCUAUGCUUUCCCUUUGAAGAUGUAGACUAGAUAUUGGAUCCUAGCCAAACCAACCAGAAGGUACCAAAAAAUCAAGCUAUAUGAUAAAAGCUUUUUAUUAAGAAGCUGAUCUUUCAAUAGUUUGUUGUAGCUGAGUACUAAUUAAUCUUAUCCAAGAGAGUCAGCUCAAUCUAGCUCACAAAUGUUAUAAAUGGGAUUUUACACUUCUACCCCUAGUUAAGAUACUCUCCUAAAGAAAAGAAAAUUAAAAUCUUGUUAACCUUCAACUUACAUUCAUAUUAUCAAACCAUAGUAUUCUCAUCCACGUUAAGUAGUGACAAGAAAUUUCACAGAUGCAUUACAAGAAAUAUAAUAGCAAUGUUGAAUGCUCAAUCAACAACUUAAAUAAUUGAAGUAAUUAAACAUCUUUCUUACAUGACAAAAUCAAAAUUCCAGAUGACAUAGUACUAUGAAUCACUAACCUUAAAAAUUACAAAAACCAAAACAAAAAUUGUCACAAAUGUCAUAUCAGAAGAACAAAGAACAAAAGACUGCUGCAAAAAAUAUCAUCAUGGAGGGCAAAAUGUAAUGGCAUAACGAUUUGCCAAACAAGACAUAAGCCCGGUUGCAUCAUCAUAAGCAUAGCUAUAAGCAUGAGGACAAACACUCUUAAAAACACGAGCAAACAUAGUUGGCUUGCAAAUUUUCGGAUCAGCAAAUUCACCAGUGCAACAAUACUUAUCUGAUUUUGUAGCCAAACAAGCACUUUUACACCCCACAACUUUCCCAUUAUGCUUCACAACAAGUUGAGAUGGACAACAACCAUUCAAAUCAGCUUGACAAGUAGCAAUGCCACAACCAACACCCCCACCAAUAGGUUUCAUCGACAUUGGAAGGUUAAAACCGUCAACUAAACUAACAUCAUAGUAAUGUAGAGGUGAAUGUGAGGUUCCAAGUGUCAUUUCAACAAGUGUAGCUGGAGGAACACCACCAAUUCCCUUGCAUUUCAAUUGGCCUCCGCAGUCUCCGGUUUGACAUGUGCCUUUUCCGGUUGUUUCGUGGAAGAAACAGCCUUGUCUUCCCCAGAUUCUUCCUGCCCAGUGGUUAGGGAGUUGGAGAACAAGUUCUUCGCCGCUUGGGAGGUGAAAUCCGCCAUCUUUGAUUGAAGGGUGUCCUUCAUUGCUGAGAAUUCCUGGCCAUACACUUUCCUUGCAGUUGUUUACGAGUAUGAGUUGUGUCCCGUUUCCAUCCUUAACAACACCUAAUAUUAUUAACACAAAUAACAUAAGUUCUCAACAGUUUUAACAACAUUGACACUUCAGAUUGAAAGCGUGUAUAAGAUGAAACGAUGCCUGAUUCAAAAACAAUCUUAUUAAAUCACUUAUGUUUUUCAAACUGUUAUCAGUAGUGUUUACGUGUCAGUGUCAUUUUCACUGUUUCAAAGAAUAUAUAUGUGCAUAAAAAAAAGUGAAGAGUAGCUAGAAGAGUACCUGUGGCUGUGACAGAGACGGAGAGAAGAAAGCAGAAGAAAAUCAAGGAAGUAGUCAUUUGGAUUUUGGAAAUGUGUAACCGUUUGUGCUUAGCUCUUUGAUGAGGUAUAAAGUGUGAAAGUGAGUGAUAUAUAUGUGAUAGUGGUGCAUAUAUAAUAUAUGUAUGAACGUGGUUGUCAUUUGUUUCCUUCUUUUUAGCCAUUUUGUGCAUUAUGUGUUUGAUAACCGUUUUGCUAAAGAGACUAGAAGCCCUUUGAUUGUUUUCCACCCAGCACCACUUCUAAAAUUUCUCCAUCACGUUUCAUAUCCUUUUGUUUAAUCACACCUCACAACACAGCUCUACUCUUUUUGUUGAGAUAUUUUUGCACUGAUAUGAUAUAUAACAUAGUAAAAUUCAGCAGAGAUUAAUAAUUAGAAAAAUGAGCCUAUAAUACAACAUGUAAAAUCAAAUGAUUUAAUUUAUUUAUUUAUUAAUUAUAUUUUAAAUUAGAGAUUAAUAAUAAUAGAAUAAUGAGCCUAUAAUACGACAUGUAAAUGAGUGACAAAAAUUCUAAACUUUGUUAUGGUUAUGAUAUACAUUUUCUGUCACUUAAUUAUUAUCUUUUAGAAUAUCUCUUUACCUCAUAUAUCAACAGCCAUAUUAUCUUUUUUAAAAGGGAUAUCAACAACUAUAUUAUUAUCUUUCGAAAAAUAAAACAACCAUAUUAUUAAUUAAUCGUUUCACCCAAAUUCUACUAUAUUAAAAAUAAUUUUAUCACACUUUAUUUAUCUUCCGGUUGAACUCCAUAUUAUCACACUCUUUUUUUUUUUUCGAAUCGGAAGAUUAACAUAAAAAAAAAUCACUAGAGUAUUUUUGUCAAGUUCUUACCAUUCAACAAACGUCUCUUAGAUUUUUUUUUUUUUUUUGACAAGAUAAAAAUAUAAUACCACACACUUUCACUUUGACAAAAAAUGACUAAUGAAACAAAAAUCAUUAAUAGCAAAUUCAGUUCUAUUUCAUUUUAUGAUGUGAAGAUUUUUAUUUAAGUAAUACGUCAAUUGAUAAUUUUACUAAUUUAAUAACGUGUAUAGAUUUCUGCAAGUUGAGUACUUAAAAAAAAGUUAUUUUAUUUUAUAUGUAAUGAUUUUAUCUGUUUGUGUAUCAAUUAAUUUAAGGAUACUUAAAAUAUGAUUUUUUUUCAUUCUAUUCAUGUGAACUCAUUAAAAUAUGGGUUUGGUAUAUGUCCAUGGUAAAUUUUAUUUGCAAUAUCAUGAAACAAUUUUUUUUUUUUAUGAAGGAAUGAAACAAAAUUUUAAUCAUCUUUAAUUAUAUGUCUAACCUAGACAACACCAAAUAAAUAUAGUGAUAUAUGAAACAGAACAAUUUUUUUAGUGGAGGGGUGUUUGUUCUUAAAUUGAACUAAUAACACACAAACUAAAAUGAAAAACAGGGUUGGAGUGUUUAGAUCGUUAUUGAUGGGAGUUAACAAUGCCUCCAUAUUUAGUUUGUCUUUUGCAAAUUUUGGAAUUUUGGUGUAGUGUCUAGGUUUAAACAAGGUUUGACUUUCUUUUGACAUUCACUCAUGUGAUCAUUUUAAAAAUUAUGUAAUGAUAUCAUCUUUUUAGAUGAGAUUGCGCAUGUUGAACAACUGAUGGAUAAAAUUAAAUUCUGCUCUUAAAAAUGAUUUAUGGGUAAAACUUCAUAACUAUUGUACAGUGUGAGGGAGUGAAAUUUGUCUUGUGCUUGGGUCGACAAUUGAUUUCGGCAUUGGUUAAGUAAAGUAAAGUGAGAUGAGAUACUUACCUAUUUUUGGUCGUUGUUUUCAUUUUGUAUAAAGAAAUGUUAUUUUAACUACUUUUUAAUUGUUAAACAUCGUAUAUACCAUUUGCAUUAUCAAUUUUUCUUUUUAAUUCCUCCAAGCCAUCAAUAAUUAUAAAAGAUCUAUUUUUAUCGCUCAACCAUCAAUAGAUUCGGUCGAUACGAGAUUAUAGAUUUUCUUAAAUAUUGUCAGUUUUUUCUUUGAAAACCUACUUAAAUGUUCCGACCUAUUCUCCCCUUUGAAUGUAGGUAUUUUUUUUUUAUUUUGGCUUAAAUAAGUCUUUCAUCCCUGCAAAUAUAAGUCGUUUGAAAUUUCGUCCUUGAAGUUACUAAUAUUUCCAAUCUGCUACUGUAAAUAUUAAUAAUUUGACUUUUGGUCCUAAUUAGUCUUUUUAGCUGAGGUGAGUUGUCAUUAGCAACGUGGUGCUCAUAUGGCAAGUGAUGAUUAACGAUGUGGUUAUCUUAAAUAGGUCUUUCGUUCUUGCAAAUAUAUGUCAUUUGCAUUUUCGUCCAUGAAGUUACUAAUAUGUAAUUAGAACCAUUUUUCAAAUGAUUAAUAUUGCAGUGGCAGAUUAGAAGGAUCAGUAACUUCAUAGACGAAAAUUCAAAUGACCUAUAUUUGCAGGGACGAAAGACCUAUUAAAGCCUUUUAUUUUUUAUCAAGGCCUUGGUUGUGGGCUUAUAAGUUAAGAAGUGGUGAGUGGAUUAAUUAAUUAAUUUUAAUUUCUAAGUAUAUAAAUAAAAAAUAAAAAAUGGGUUUGGGUUUUUAGGGUAAACCAGUGAGAAAACGCACAAAAACAACUCGCAUCAGAAGACCGACCGGCUUCGGAGGAGAGGAUCGGCACGAAUAUCGGUUCUUCCAUUCCACUCUUAAACCGGUUCAGUUACCACCAUUUUACCGCCGAAACCGGAUCCAUUCAAAACCAACCCUAACCGGUCCACCAUCACGGUUCUCCUCUCCCAAAUCCAUUCAAUAAACCGGUACGCUCUUUUCUUUCUUCCUCUUCGUAACUCUUGUCACUUCUUAAAUUUUCGUUUUUUAUCUAUGAAACUUAAAGUUUAUGCUUCAAAGAUUAAAACUUUAUCAUAAUUUAUCACUUUAGGGAUUGAUUAAACAAAUUGGGUCAUUAGAAUGUGCUUGUUUUUGUAGUUUACCCUAACUGGGUUGUUCUGUUUUGAAGUGAUUAUUGAUCAAUGGAGCAAAAUCUUGAACUGGUACCAAUUACAUCACAAAAACACGACCCAGCAUGGAAACAUUGUCAAUUGUUUAAGAAUGGUGAAAAAGUGCAACUUAAAUGCAAUUAUUGUCUCAAGUUUUUCAAAGGUGGUGGGAUUCAUAGGUUUAAGGAACACCUUGCUUGUCAGAAAGGCAAUGCUUCAAUGUGUAGUAGUGUUCCUGCUGAUGUAAGGCAACAUAUGCAGCAGAGUUUGGAUGGUGUUGUUGUGAAGAAGAGGAAGAGACAGAAGAUCGAGGAGGAGAUUAUGAAUGUUAAUCCUUUAGCUACUGUUUUGAAUGGUGGUAAUAAUCAGAUGGAUGUUAAUCAUCAUGGGGUGCAUGUGCAGCCUAUUGGAGUUCAUGAUCCAAUGGAACAGAAUCCGGUCUCGUGUCAGAUGUUUCAUUCGCCCGGUGAAGGAAUGAGUAGAAAUGUAGAGAGAAGGAAGAAGAUUAGAGCUACUAAGAAUCAGAAUCAGAAUCCGGCUGCGGUGGUUUAUAAUACGAACUAUGAGCCUGAACCUGUUGUUGCCCCCAUGGAGAAAAAUACAUUGUUUCCUACAAAGGUGGACCAUCAAAUUCAUAUGGCGAUAGGAAGGUUUUUGUAUGAUAUCGGUGCGCCUUUUGAUGCUGUGAACUCGAUAUAUUUUGAGCAGAUGGUUGAAGCAAUUGCUUCUGGGGGAUCAGGUUUUCAACGUCCAUCGCAUCAUGAACUUCGGGGAUGGGUUCUGAAAAAUUCUGUGGAAGAUGUGAAGAAUGAUGUAGAUAGAUGUAAGAUGACGUGGGGGAGGACUGGCAGUUCGAUUUUGGUUGAUCAAUGGACUACAGAAGCUGGUAGGAUACUGAUAAGUUUUUUGGCUUACUGUCCUGAAGGUGUAGUGUUUUUGAAAUCGUUGGAUGCGACUGAGAGAUUGAUUUCAGAAGAUUUUUUAUACGGGUUGAUGAAAGAAGUAGUAGAAGAAGUUGGAGUUGGGCAAGUUGUGCAAGUGAUUACAUCAGCUGAGAAAUGGUAUGCUGAUGCUGGGAGAAUGCUGACUGAGACUUACCCUAGCCUUUAUUGGAGCCCUUCUGCGGCUCAUUGCAUUGAUUUGAUACUUGAAGAUUUUGGAAAUAUUGAGUGGAUUAGUACAGUUAUUGAACAGGCUAAAUCUAUAACAAGAUUUGUCUACAAUUACAGUGCAAUUUUGAAUAUGGUUAAAAGGUAUACUUUGGGGAAUGAUAUUGUGGAUCCCUCUUUCUCUCGCUUCACGACAGACUUUACCACGUUGAAACGAAUGGUUGUUCUUAAACACAAUUUACAGGCCAUGGUUACUUCUCAGGAAUGGAUGGAUUGUCCAUAUUCAAAGGAAGCAGCAGGUUUGGAGAUGUUAGAUAUACUAAGCAAUCAAACAUUUUGGUCCUCGUGUGAAAUGAUUGUUCGCCUGACACAUCCUCUUUUGAGAGUUCUGAGAACAGCUUCAAGUGAGAUGAGACCUGCAAUGGGAUACACUUAUGAAGGAAUUUACCGGGCAAAAGAAGCGAUUAAGAAAGCACUUAUCAAAAGGGAGGAUUAUAUGGUGUUCUGGAAUAUUAUACAUCAAAGAUGGGAUAGUCUUUGGCAUCAUCCUCUUCAUGCUGCAGGCUUCUAUCUUAAUCCGAAAUUCUUUUAUAGCAUUCAAGGGGAUGUACCCAAUGAGAUUCGCUCAGGGAUGCUUGACUGCAUAGAGAGAUUGGUACCUGAUACAAGAGUCCAAGAUAAAAUUAGCAAAGAAUUAAACUUGUAUAAAUCUGCUGCAGGAGAUUUUGGGAGAAAGAUGGCAAUCAGAGCUAGAGAUAAUCUGCUUCCUUGUAAGAGUCCAAUAACCUAUUCACUUAGAUAUAUUCUUUUGCCAUGUUGUGUGAUUUAACUUUAACUUCUUUGAAAAAUAAAAUUAGAAGCUACGCGCAUUAUUUAUUUAUUAGAAGCUCUUCCAAACAAUCUCAAAAGUGCUUAUGUCAGUAGAUAAACUCAAAUAAAUCAAUUCAAACAGACCCCUAGCACAAACAAAUUAUUAGAUUUCAAAAAUUGUAAAAGAUAACAGGUGAGGAAANCCAUUUGAGUGUUUUAUUUCUUUCAUGACCACUUGUUAAACUUUCAUUUGCCAUUUUUUUUUUCUAGCUGAAUGGUGGUCAACAUAUGGAGGAGGCUGCCCUAACUUGUCCCGCUUAGCAAUUCGCAUUCUUAGCCAAACAUCAAGUGUGAUGUUCUGCAAGAGAAACCAAAUUCCUUUUGAACAGAUAAUCAAUACAAGGAAUUAUAUAGAGCGCCAACAUUUUACUGAUCUCGUCUUUGUUCACUACAAUUUACGGUUGAGACAAAUGUGAGCUUGAACUGCUGUAUAUUGGUAAAUUGUUUCAAUACAGUUGAAGUUGAAAGUAACUUAAAUUAAGCUGUUUGUCUUUCUUUCAGGUUUAUGAAUAAGGAGCAAGAAUCUAGCGAUCCUCUGUCAUUCGACAACAUUUGUAACGUUGAAGACUGGAUCGGGCCAAGGGAUUUGUACUUCGGAGAGUAUGGUAACUCGGAUUGGAUGGCACUUGAUUCAUCUUCCAUUAACACAAUGCCUUUAAGGUCUUUAAACGAUGAACCUGAAGAAAUGUGUGAAGGUAAAUUGUAAACCAUUUUAAUAAAUGUGGAAACUGUUAAACAAAAAUGUGGAAACUGCUGGUAGACUAACCAGGUAGAAAAUGUCAGUAACUAACAUGUUUUCAUCUGUUUGUAGGGUUUGACGAUGAUGAGAUUUUCAUUAGUCUGAAAGAUGAUGAGGAUGUGAAUUCCGGAGACAAGUUCGAAAACCAUUAGUGAAUGAUGAAAGGAACCAUGCUUGCUGACAGCUUCCAAUUUUAGUUUCGACAUGUUUUCCCCAAAUACUGGUUCGUAUGUGUUAAUCUUAAAAAUAGAGGGAAACUAGGGUGGAGUUUACUGGACAUGUGAGAGGAACCAAGUUAUUGUUGAUGUAUUAGUUGGUAUGAUUUGGAAGGUUUUUGUACAGUAUUUGAUAGUUUUGUAGUAUUUCUUACACUACUAGAGUUUACAACUUUUGCAAACUGGAACCUCCAUUUUUAUUUUUAUUUGCUAAGAUUAUGAAUUGUUGAAAGCUAAUUUGAUUUAGAAUCUUUGUGACAAACAUUAAAAAACAUGAGUUAAGAGACAUGAAAAACUGAAGUAGAAAUUGUCUCUUUUGGCCAAAUGGUGUUUGAGAGCUUUGAAAAACCAUAACAAACAGAGUAAGAUGAUCUCAUAUGGUGGUUUGCAUUGCAUUGAUGAUAUUCCAAUAUGGAUUUGCUUCUUGAUAGAAGAAGUUUAUACAACAAUAAUAAAAACAAUAUAUAUACAAAUCGAACAAAAUACGUAGCGUAGGCUUUGUUGAGUCAGUCAACUACCUAUCCUAUCGGCCACCGGAAAGUGAAAGAGACGAAUCAUAUCCACCCGUCGACGACCAUGUAUUCACGCUUUCAAAGAAUGGCGACAUUGGAUACAUUCCCUCAAACUGACGACCACCACCACCCUUUUUCACACCAAAAACAUCAAGUUCCGGCAACGGCAACUCCCCCUCCAAGUACCUAACUACCUGCUUCAUUGUAGGCCUCCGCUCCAGCGAAUCUUCAGAACACAACAACCCCACCUUAAUCACCAAUAAAACCUCCACCUCAUCGUAAACCCCAGCCAACUUAGGAUCCACAAUCUCUAAAGCCGCUCCUAACCUUAAUCUAUCCCAAACCCAAUCCACCAAAACAAGCUCCUCAGGCAAUGCUUUAGGCUCAAUAGGUCUUCUCCCACAAACCACUUCCAACAACAAUGCCCCAAACGCAAACACAUCAGAACUAGUUGUUGGUUUCCCUGUUCUCGUUAACUCGGGUGCUAAAUACCCCAAAGUUCCCACCACCCUCGUCGUGCUUGGAUUCUCACCAUGAUCAUAAAGCUUAGCCAAACCAAAAUCACCUAAUCUUGCAUUCAUCUCAGAAUCCAAAAGAACAUUCCCUGCUUUCACAUCUCUGUGAAUCACUGUUUGUUCCCAUUCCUCAUGCAAAUAAACAAGCCCCGAAGCCACACCUUUUAUAAUCCUAAACCUUUCUUCCCACCUCAAUAUUGCUCUUGGUUGUUCAAAUAUAUACUUAUCUAAACUCCCAUUCUCCAUGAAAUCAUACACUAAGAUUAAAUCAUUUCGCUUCCGACACCAACCUAGUAACUGUACUAGGUUCCUGUGACGAAGUUUACCAAUUGUUUCAAUUUCUGAGAUAAACUCUUGCAACCCUUGUCUUGAUUCUUGGGAGAUUUGUUUCACAGCUAUUUCAGUUUUGGAAUCUGGUAACACCCCUUUGUAAACUUUACCAAAACCACCAAACCCAAGAAGGUUCUUGUCCUUGAACCCUCUUGUAGCCUGCUUUAGUUCUUUGUAAGGAAAUCUAUGUGGUCCCACUUCUAGUUCCCAAGCUUCUAUAACAUCAUUGUUUUUCAUCUUGAAGUAAAAAGCUAAACCAGUUGUUAAAACUAUUAGAAUCACAAAUGAAAUAGUAAGACCCAAGAUUAAGGCCUUUCGAGUUCGAGUAUUGUGUGAAGAGAGUGAAGGAAGAUUUUUCAAAGACAAAGUUUUGGAUUCUCCAUUGAUUUUGAAGCUCCAACCCAUUAUAUAGUGUGAGCCAGAGAGUAACCCUGUUGAAGAAGAAAACCCAACAUACAUAGUUUCUUUGAAAAUUGGUGUUAGAUCUACUUGAUAUGAUAAGAUUGGUGAACUUGGUUUUGAUGAAGUUGGUGAGAGUCUAACUUCUAUAAUGCUUCUUGAGGAAUCAUAGUCGAUCCAUGCUUGAAUCACACUACCACUCUUCAAGUUAAGGUCUUGAAUUUGAACUUGUUUAUUCUCCGAGCCAUCAGUAAAAAAACAUGCUUUAACUGAUUUGUUUGAUACCAUGUUGUUAAGAUUGAUACCAACAUGAUUGUCAUUGAUGUCAUUGAAUUCGAAAUCUUGGACAGUAUCGAAUUCAACGGCGAAUAAGUGAUUCGAAAAGUUGCCUAAAUCAUGUGGGUUGAGAAGGCCUAGAUACUGACUAGGAUAACCAUUGGAGAGUGUUUUGGAAGGUGAAAUGGUGAAGGCAAAGCCAUGUCCUCCUAGUUUUGGAUAUUGAGGGACUAUUGCAAAAGCAAAAGAAGUUGAAAAGGAGAAAGCUUUGGUUGUGGUUUUGUUCUUGAAGUGGAUUGGUGUUGAAUAAAAAGCAUGACCAAGUACUCUUUCAGUGUCAUUUGUUAAACGAAUUAUGCCUUUGUGUUCAAUCACUGCACCUCCGUUUAAGGUUAUGUUGGUAGCAGCUUCAUUGAAUCCAGCAUAGAAAAACUCAUCUUGCUGAGAAUGAGAAUGUAUGGAGUUUGAGGCUAGAAGGACCAUGAUGCAAAGAAGAUAAAGAGGUAUAUUUGCCAUGACAAAGUUAAAGUUGAGGUUGAGGAUGUUGUUGUUAUUGGUUCAAUAUUUAUUAUGUUGUUAAUUGGAAAUCACAUGGUAGUAGCAUGUUGUUUGUAUACUAUAUAGUACUAGUAUUAUAUGUUUGUGUAAAGAUGAGUGUAUUGACUUGAUUGAGCAACCAGAGAGAGUGCGGUGUGCUUUACAGCUUGUAGUUUGUGGGUUGGAAACUGAAACGUGGUUGUAGCUUGUUUGUUUAAUUUCACACGUGGGUGUGUACUGUUUUGUUUCCUACUCCAUUUUAAAUGCCCAUAUAUUUUUAAAAGAUCUUCGAUUCUAUUAAACUGUUAAGUUGUUUCUAUAUUUAACCAUGUACUAUCAAUUCGUUCACGUAUUUUAACAACUUACUAUUGAUAUUUAACUACUUAUUAAACUGUUAAGUUGUUCAUGAACUUAUUGGGUGGUUAACAUGCAUGCAUACAUUGCUUUCUUGUUUAUUAUUAUUAUUAUUAUGAAUUGAGAUCACGUUUUUUUCUAUUAUCUUUUGUUGGACACUACUUUCUCCACCCGACAUCGGAUCAUAAAUGUGCAUUUAGAAAAAUCACUAAAAUUUGCACGCCCUGGUGUGUACUUUGAUAUAAUUUAUGAGGUUUGAAUGUACACUAUCGAGACACGGGUAUUUUUCAAUAGUGAAGAUAAAGUGAAAAGUUUGUUCAUAAAAGUUGUCUAAUUGUAUAAAUAUCAUUUUUCUUUAAAAAAAAAAACGUGUUAAGACGGGAGAAACUUUCCUCUGCACUGUUGUAGUUUUAUUAUGCACUAAAAAAUUACUACAUAGUUGUAUUGAUUUGGUUGUUUUAGACAACUUUUCAUUACUGAUUUAAAAUCUUUCGUUGUCUAAAUGUUUUAUUUUUUAUUGGAGAACAAUAGCAUAUCAUUUCGUUGUAGUAGUUAAAUUCUGUCAAUAAAGAAUAAAAUAGGAAAAAAAAUCUUUGUAAUAUCUAAACUUGAGCAUCUCAUGCUGUCGUCCUUUUCCCAUACAAAUUAUUCUCCACCAUUUGUCUCGUCCGGCUGAAUUUGGAUAGUAUAUCAUGUGUCUGUCUAGUGGUUCUUUCUUUUAUAGUAAUAAAUAAAUAAAAUAUAAACUGAUUUCUUUAUUUCUCUUUUUUAAUAUUUAAAUUCAACUAAUACUGCCUUAUAGUGGAACCUUGAUUGGUUUAAUAAUUUUGUUUGAUCAGCAAUGACUUCUGCAUGUUUUAAUUAGGUAUUUUCAAAUAUGGUUAAAUUAGUGAAAGUUAGGGCUGACAAUGAGCCGAACCAACUCGAAAAUAGUUUGAGAUUCGAUUCGAUAAUUGACUCGUUGAACUUGGUUCAUGAAUCAAAUGAGUCGAACUUGAGUUGAAAAUUAAGCUCGUUAAAUAAAUGAGUCGAACUUGAGUUGAGUAUAGUUCGACUCGUUUGGUUCAUGAACCAGCUCAAUAUAUAUAAAAUAUUAUUUUGCAUAUUGUUAUAUAAUAUGUAAUUUAUUACAAGCUUCUUCCAAUAAUUAUGUACUUUUUCAUAGGAAUUAUUACUAAUUUGAUUAAUAAUCAACGAUAAUUGUUAUGAUAGAGGAAAAAAGUUAAUAUCUUUUGAAGGCUUUUAAACAAACAUUUGUACACAAAUAGUCCCACAUCGGGUGUUUUGAAAAUAUUAGAGAGUAAGAGUGUAUAUAUAAGAGAGGUGGAUGAUAAUGAGUACAAUGUAAAAUAUGGUAUGCGCUUCAGUAGUAAGGGCUAUUGCCUUUCUACCUUCAUAGUUUUAUUUAAUUUAUAUUUUUUUUUUAAAGUCAAAGACAUGUAUUUUUGACAAAAAAAUUGAAGAAAAAAAGCUUUUGAAGUAUAUAAUUCGAGUAGACGAGUUGAACCUAACGAGCCGAACUGAGUUGUUCACGAACUUUAAACGAGCCAAACUUGAGUUAAAAAAAAGGUUUGUUUCAAACUCGAGUUGAGUUUCGAACCGAAUCAAUUCUUAUCGAGUCGAAUCGAGCUCAGACAGGUUCAACUCGACUCAUUUCCAGCCCUAGUGAAAGUCAAGAAUUAGCAUCAACUCAGCAUUUGUGUGUUUGUCUACAGUUUUCAAAGUGAGACAAUCAAAUAUCUGAAUGUGUAGGUAAAGUAACAUACUUCUAUAGUGCUAUGGAUAUGUUUGACUUUUGGGAAUAUACUAUACUGGGAAUUUGAUUAUCAUGUCAAAUAAGGAAAACCGACUUUUAGGUGAUGAAAUAGGUUUUAAAGCACUAGUAAACAUUUCCUUUUUAAAUAUUGAAAGUCAAAUUUAUGUAACAUGCAUCUAUUUCUUCAUGGGAACUCACUGCAAAUUUUUUGAAGGGAAUAGUAAUCUCUUUGAUUUUUUUUUGGAACUCAUUAGCAUCACAUAAAUUAAGGUCAUUAGGAUUAUCAUGCAAACUUGCAAAGAAUUAAAGUUAAAUAUAAACACUGUAUUGUUACUUUAUCAUGCAUGCAAAGAGUUAAAGCUAACACACUAUACUUUUAUCUUUUGCAAUCAAUAGAUUGUCUAGAAGAUACUCCCAAUAGGAUAUACAUAAAGCUAACACUUUGUUUGGAAUUAAAGAAAAGUUGAUCCUGACCAAAAAAAAAAAAAAGGAAAAGUUGAUAAAGGAUUGGGACAGGAGAGAAUGCAAAAACCCUUUCUUUGAUUGGUUUAAAAAUAGGGUUAAUUAAGUUUUUGGUCCAUAUAAAUAUCUGCAGUUUUGUUUUUAGUCCCUAUAAAAAUAAAUCACAUUUUUUAGUCCCUACAAAAUUUUAUUUUAGUGUUUUUAGUCCCUGUUAAAUUAAAAUUUGUUUAAUUAUGCUUAUACUUCUAAAUUUUUAAAAGAUGUUUUACAUACAUGUUCAUAACAUCGUAAGACACUCUUUUGUAAAUUUUUUUAGUUUUUUAACAUAUAAUAAAUUAAAUAUGAAUUUUUCUAAAAGCCAAAUUUUCAAGAUUAUAUUAAUAAAAAUUUGGACCUAAUAAUAAAAUUUUAAGCUACUUUUUUGCGGAGGAACUUUGUAUAAUAUUCUAAGUAAGUAUGUGAAAAUAUAUGUUACAAAUUUAAAAGUUUAAGCACAAUUAAGCAAAUUUUAAUUUUACAAGGACUAAAAGUAUGUGUUGGUCCCUGUUAAAUUGAAAUUUGUUUAAUUAUACUUAAAAUUUUAUACUUUUAAAUUAUUUUUAACAAACAUGUUAAGAACAUUGUAAUUAUCUCUUUUAUAAAAAAUUACAAUUUUUUAACAUGUAAUGAAUUAAAUAUAAUUUUUUUAAAUCACCAAAAAUUCAAGAUAAAACUAACAAAAAUUUGGACCUAAAAAUACAAUUUUGAGUUAAUUUAUUGUGGUGGAACCUUUUAUAAUGUUUUAAACAAGUAUGUAAAAAAUCAUUAAAUUUUUUUAAAUUUUAAGCAUAAUUAAACAAAUUUUAAUUUAAUAGGGACUAAAAACACUAACGGAAAAUUUUGUAGGGACUAAAAAGUGUGAUUUAUUUUUAUAGGGACUAAAAACAAAACUGCAGAUAUUUAUAGGGAACAAAAACUUAAUUAACCCUUAAAAAUAUGUGUGAAGGGUGAAAAAAAGUAGGACCCACAAGGCAAAAGCCAGCCAAUUUAUUCUUGUCUUACUACUCCAAUUGAGAAAUGAUAUUUGUACAAUCAUUUUUGUACAACUUUUGUACAACUUUCUCUCUCAUACUCACAUUAUCUUCUUAUUUUCUCUCUUCCUUUUUCUCUCUAUUGUUUUUGACCAAUAAAAAGAGAACACAACAAAAUUGUUCCAAAAGUUGUACCAAAAAAGUUAUUCAAAUAUCACUACUCUUUACAAUUUUUCUAAUUUUUUUCAAAAUUAUUUUAUCAAUUUUUUAAAAGAUAUUUAUGUCUUUUUAUUCCUAUCAUUGACAUUGUUUAUUUUUCUCUCUUUCAAUCCAAUCAAACAAGAGAAAAAAGUUUUUAUCAUUCUUUUCUUUCAUUUUCUUCACAGGCUCAUCAAUCAUCAUCAUUUAACUAGGAUAAGAAUAAUGGAUCUUAAAUAUUAGAAUCUAGAAAGAAAGAAAGAAAAAAAACAUCAAGGGUGUAAUAGGUAGAAAGAGAAAGGCACCAAAUUAAAUUAAACAUUGUACAUAUAACAAAAUUACAUAGGAAGACACUCCAAAAAGAAAAAUAAUAAUAAAAUUAUCUCAAACUUGGAAUCUUUUCCUUCCACCUAAUAACACAUUGAGAAUGUUACAAGCACGUGCCAUCACAACUUCUAGUAGUUGGAUCGAAGUUUGAGGCAUUUGAAUCAAGAACAAGAACUUUGUAAUGCCUGCACACAAAAAAAAAACAAGCCAAGAUUUUUUAGUCCAAGUUUUUAUUUAAACCAAACAUAAUAGUAACAUUAAUUAAGGUAGAUGCAAUUACAAACCUCCAAGAUCAUUGGAGAAACUAGAAUUUUCCCUCCUUAAUAGCAUCUUGAUUAGCAUCACCAAGAGCAGCACCUUCCAAAUACUUGUCUGCCAAUUGAACUCUCUUCACAUUCUCUUGUUCUGAGACAAGCAUGUUACCAUACUCCAAUAGCUUUUCUAGUGUCAUCUUUGGCUGCUCAAACACUGGUGGUCCGUCCUUUGAGUUCACAAGCUUCUUUCCAAUUGUUUCAAUACCAACUCCAGAAACCCACUUCCUCACUUCAUCAUCGUACACUCUAGCCCUCAAUGCACCGAAGAAAUCUGCAACAAUAAUAGCUCGUAAAUAAGACAGACAAACAAACAGACAGACAGACAGACAGAUAGAUAGGUACCGAUGGAUUGGCCGGGGAAGGUGUCAACAAUCUUGACAAUGUCAUCUUUUGCGAUAUUGUCAUGGCGGAAAAUUCCAAUGCAGACACCAAUACGGUCUUCUCUUGUAGGAGCCCAGUAGAAUUUCUCCAUACGACCAUCACGGAUGAGAGGAGCAUAAAGUGUUGAGAAAUCGUUACCGGUGACAAUGAUGGGCACACGAGCGUUAUCUUCCUUGUUGUACAUACCAGGGAGUUGGACAUUGGUGGGGUUAUCAGCAAUGUUCAUGAGUGUGGCAUUCACCAUCUGGUUGUUGACAGUGUAUUGUGUGGUUCCACCCAUACGACCUGCUCCUGCAUCGAGAUCGUUGAUGAACAGACAACACAUCUUUCCCUUCCUGAUAAUGUCAGCGGCUUCACGGUAUCUCUGUCUGAUCAGUUUUGCUGGCUCUCCUGCAUUUCCACUUUCAAGCUCUCCAGCACUCAUCAUGAUGGGGCUGUAACACAAUUUCAACAUCAAAUUAUGUAGAAGAUUAUGUAGCACAACAUAUGCUAUAUACUGAGCAUAUUUGGAAGAGCUUCUUUGGUCUUGCUUCAUGAAAUAAGCACUUGAAUUAGGCCAUGUUUGCACAAUAAGUUUAUUAAGACCUUAUAGCAUAAACAUUGAUCGUAUAUGUAUAAGCUAUUUCUAUAACAAAAAGAUAAAAUAAAUUCAAAUAAGCCAUAAACUGCUUUUGUACGCUAUCUUGGAGUGCUUAUCGGAAAGAAAAAAAAAGACAACAUCUUAUAGACAUCGUUUAUUUUCAUAAGCUCUCCUAAAUAGUCUCGCAAGCGUAUACGUCAAUAGAACUCACUUGAUUCCCAUCUUAGCAAAGACAAGCUCAGCUUGGAAAGAUUUUCCCUGUCCUUUUCCUCCCCAGACUCCAAGAAUGAGUGGAACCUAUAAAAACAAAAAUGAAAAUAUUGAAUAUGUAUCUCAAUUCUGCUAAAGUCAUAGCAUAGUUUAUAGAGGAAUCAUGUGUCAAAUUUACAUACCUUGAUGUUUGGUAGGGUCAAGAAAUUCUUGGUGAUGUGAACAACAAGCUUGUCCAUAAAAGCAGGAGCAAUGUAAAAUCCAUCCAUAGUGUUGUCAAAGUUGUACCUAAAACACCAUCAUCACAGGUUAGAUCAAAAGAAACUUCAUUUACAAACCAUAGUAAUAAAAUCAUGAGCAAAUUACGAGUAUUUGGUUUUGAAUUAACAAAAUGCGUAGCAAGUCACUCACUGUUUAAGUCCAGUACUAAGGUACUCAUAAGAACUCAUGACUGCAUAAUGAGUUCCAGUAUCUUGUGGUGCUUGGAAAACUGAAUCAACCAUACCCUUUCCUCUUGUGAUGUCUUGUUGGUCAUCUGAUAUAUCAUAGGCCAAACCCCUCCAUCUGUCUCCGUCGGUCUGUUUACCCUCAUCGAUCUCUUUAGCAAAAACUUUGAAGCUUCCUGAGGAAACUUUUGUGUUUGGAAGUCUUGCGGUAAGCUUUUUCAAGCUUGUGCCGAAGAAAGCUGAAUUAGAAACUGUUGGUCCAGCUACUACUGAGCCAUUCAAGCUCAUCUGCAACAUCGCAACACUUCACAUUAUUAAGAGUUCAAUUCUUACAAAUUACAAUUUACCUCCGCCUCUUUUUACUUAUCUAUUGUACAUCAUUUUUUUUGAUAAUUAGUCAAAAAAAUCUAUUGGAUCAUGAUAGAACUUGUAUCGAUUCAAAAAUCUUAGAUACAAGUUCUGUCGUGAUCGACUAGACCAACUCCUUGAAAUCUAUUACUCCUAUAUAUCUUUUUUAGCUUUACAUGAUUUCUAUAUUCGGAUCCGUUUGGAUAAAUAGUUUAAUUGAGUGUUUAUAGCAUAAGUGAUUAUCAUACAAGUGUAAAUGUGUAAACCAUCUAUAUAACAAAGAAUAAAAUAAAUUCAAACUGUUUUUAUACAACUUAUUAUCUGUUUUCAUAAAGCUUAUGAAAACAAUCUGAAAAACAUCUACGAAUAUGUCUUAAACUACUAUAAACUCUCACAGGUACUUACGUCACUAAAUAAGCUUAAAUAAGCCGAUGCGAACGGCCUUGAAUAAGUUCUAUCAUGCAUCAAAUUAUAUCAAAGUAUGAGUGUAAGACAAACUAAUCACCCUUCUAAUAUGGUAUCUAUAAAUGGAUCACUACAUCACACAACACCAUUCUGUGCUACAUAAUCAUGCAUAUUAAUGAUUAAGUAUCACAAAUUCCAAUUAAAAACAUAAUUAACCAAUACUAUGUAACUGCAGUAAUGUAUAUAUAGUACUAGUACUAGUAAUAAAAUUUAAGUCACAUGAUUUGGAGCAUUUAAUUAUUGACAAACACACCUAUGUGAAUGUGAACUAUAUAAACAUGCAAACUAUAUAGUAUUUAAUUAAACAAAUGAAAGUAACAUACUGGAGUUUUGACAGCUCCAACAGUUGAAACUGAAGCAGCCAUGGAUACUGCACUGAUUGGUAUUGCACAAAAGAGAAAGAUAGUUGAAAUUGAAGCAAAUUAUUCUAUGCAAAUUUGUGAUCAAAUUGAGGGAUUUAUAUUAGCUGAUUAAUUGAUAGGGUGUAACAAUAGGAUUGGUCAUUGAAACCAUAACGUCCACACAAUGAAGAUUACCAAGCUGCCACGUGGCAAUCAUAGAGUUGCUACAUUUCUCAUUCACUCUUAAGCAAUGACCUUGAGGUUGGUAUUGAAGGUAUUUCCAUCUCCACAAGUAUUAAGGAGAGUUUCUUACCACACAAGACUUGGAUAGGACUCAUCUCAUCUCAUCUUUAUUCUAAAUAUUCAAGCAUUGGUUACUCUCAUUUUACACUAAAAAUUAAAACAUCAAUGUCUUUUAUUGGUGAGUGACCAAUCAUAAUAUUGCUAUUUUAAACUGAUCAUUAUCAUAUUGGUCUUUCAAUUUAGAUUACAUUAUUAUUACAUACAAACCUAUCAUUUUAUUUCGCAUUAGUCACCCAAUUAUUUUAUUUCUGUAAAUUAAUUUGGAAAAUUCAAGAUAAUUUCAUAAUUUAAAGGGAUUGGACCCAUCAGUUAAUGUCACUGUUACAUUUUGCAUGUUGGCCUAGGAACUCAUAACUUUCAUCAUACUGCAAUUAAAGGAAAUUCAGAACUUUCCUACUUUCUUCACUGAUAUGCUUCACAAUAAUGUCACUUUAUUAGGAAAAAAAAAAUUGUUUUAAAGUAAAUGUCAUUUUCAUUAGAAUUAUUUUCCCCCCAACUAAGCCUUCUAAUUAACGGAUUGGAUUAACUUAUUUGAAUUAUCUAUUGACAUAAAUUUUGUGAAAUUGUUUGGAAAAAUUUAUGAAAACAACUUAUGACAUUGGUGCUUAAACUAUUAUCAGUUUAUUUUUGUAAAUUCUUCAAGAAUUUUUUUGAAAAUAGAUUAUAGUUUAUAAGAAAAAAAUUCAACAUUAUUUUAUCUUUUGUUAUAAAAAUAGCUUAUACAUAAACAUUAAUUAUGAUAAACAAUUGUGUUAUCAACUACAAAUAAGUUGUUUAUCCAAAUAAACCUAUGUAUAUUACUCUUAAAACAAUGUAUUCCACUUUAAUUUAUAACGAUGGAAACACUCUAUUGUUAAUAAGGUUAGUUUGUAAACUGUCAUAUCUUUUGACAUUUUAUAAUAUUUCUUAAACGUCAUUAAUUUUAAAACAGAGGGGCAGUAAGAACUAAGAGCAUCACAUACCUUAUCAAAAUUUCAAGAGGUAAUAGUCAUUUUGAUCCCUAAAUGUGUAAGGAGUAGUCACAAUAGUAUCUCAAUGUAUUAAAAUUCCAAAAUUAUCCCUGAUUGUGCAAUAUAUUAGUCCAUGAUGUUAAAAUUGUCCCUCAAUGUUGACUAUAACUCUUUCUAUAGGGACUUGUAUGACAUUAAGUAAGUUGGUAUGACAAUAAGUAAGUAUACUAAUAUGACAAUAUUAAUAUAAGACUUUAACACGAAAGACUAUUUUGAUUAUAUAAGUGCAUAAUCAGGGACGACUUUGGAAUUUUGAUACAUUCAGAAACUAUUAUGACUACUCGUUGCACAUUCAAAGAUCAAAAUAACUAUUAACCCAAAUUUCAAUGUACGAUUUAAAAUUCUUUCAUUUAACGGAAAUUUUGAAAUCAUCAUAGCACAAAAACUUAACAUGUCAUUGACUUUUUCUUCGAGUUGGAUUUUUUUUUUUUGUUAUCAUGAUAUUGAUACGAAAUUUCCAUCACCGUUUAACAACGACUAAUCUUCUUGGGAGAACAUGUGGGACAUAGAAGGUAGGUUCUCCCCUUUCAACCGAAUUUUUUCAUACGCAUGAGUCAUCAAUUGAACCCCCUGACCACAUGCUUAAGGGCAGAAGUCCCUUAUCACUAAGACUCAAUUUUCCUAACAAACUAGAUUCUUCCUAGAUUCUUCUUAACAAACUAGUGAGUCACUAAUCAUCUACAACUAAUGAGCCAACACUUAAUAGCAACACGGUCAGUCCACUUCUAAUGAUGAUCCUUUGGGGUCUCCCUAACUCAUUGGAGUCAAUCUUCGAUCCUAAUACAUUGUAGCUCAUAUCCUUGUUCGUAUCAUCAUCACUAUAUAUAAUUGAUAAAUUAAGCGAGAUUCACCAUAAUAGUAAAGAUGUCACUGAUAAGAGUUAAUUAUGGUUUAAUACAAAAACCAAAGAGGAGUCGACCUUCACUCAUAAGAUCUUGAUGGUUGUUCAAAAGGUCCCUUCAAAUUGUUCACAUUUAUGACAAAAGUAGAUCGAAAGUUAUGACUCGAUCAGAAUUACACACACAAAAAAAAAAUUGAUAAGAAGUUAUGACCUGAUUAGUUGAGCAAUUUGAGAGACCUAUUAUGCAACCAUUCAAGAUGUCAUUAGAGAAAAUAAAUUCAUUUCAAAGUUUACAAAUGAGGCCCUUAGUAGAGUAGAUAAUUGCUCUUCUCCCUUACAAAAUUGCUCAUUUCCUGAAAAAUGUCAUGCGAGAGUUAACUCACGCUUGACUUUUUUAAAUGUGAAUUAACUCACGCAAGCACUUUUCAGAUCGGUGAACGAGCAAAAACAAACGGGAGAAGAGCAAUUUUCAGUAGAGUAUUUAUAGAGUAAAAGUCCAUAUACCUAAAAAGGCCUUAAAAAAUUAAUAUGGGUCCAUUGGACUUGCAAUACUUAAUUAAAAAACUUAUUCUUUUUCCACCAUAUUGAUUUCUCAUGCGUCCUAUGUAGUUUAAAUUAUAGAAUUCGAACAGCAUAAACACCCCUAUAAAAAUUUUCAAAACACAUUAAAACAUUUCAGAUUUUAGAAUCCGAAUAAGAUGCGCGAGAAACUCAUAGUAUGAGAAAAGUAAUAGUCUGAUUAAAAUAAAACGAAAACAAUUACAAUUCUUGGCAAAUACAAAUACAAAUAAAACUAACAACUAUGUUAAAGGUUUGAAUUGAAAUUUUCAUUGUUUUCCUUGUUAUUUGCUCCUUUUAGCUCCUCUUCAUUCCUUCAUUUUAAAAAAAUUUGACCUCGAAUUUGUGUCUAAUAUGACUUAUAUGAAGAAAGAUACAAGUCAAUGAAAUGAAAUAGAAAAUUAACCUUUCCACCAUAAUCAAAUGGAAAUUGUGAAAAAAGACUAAAUGUACCGAUUGGGUGCAACAUAAUUCCACUUUUCGCAUUCAGCAAUUCAACAUACUAAAGGUAGAGAGAAAGCUAUACUCCCUCUUAAGUUGACAUUAAGGACCAACUUUACCUUCAUAAAAUUGGACUUGGUAACAAACGAUAAUCUAAUUUGUUUUUGCUAAGGUUUUUCAAUGUAAAUUGAGCAUCGGUGAUAUUUUUCUCAUCACAAACCAAUGAUGCUUUUUUCUUUAAAAAGACAAGUUCCUCAAACACAUUAGGAAUAUCAUAUGAAAGCUUAAAGAUUCGGCAAGAAUAGGUAGAGUAAGGAGAGAUAAGGUGAAGCAAAUAACAGUUCUCAAAACAUUAUAAAAAAUUUCAAAAUAAUAAUUUUAUUCUUUAAAUAAGUCAUGGUAAUUUAUUUAUGGAUCAUAAUCUUUUUUUUUUUUUUUAAGAAAUGAUCAUAAUCUAAUAACUAGCAUAACAAUGGCUUGCACACUAUGACAAUAAUAACAUAUAAGUCAUAAUCUUAUACCAAAGGCAUUUAUUUAUGGAUCUAUUAGCAUAAACUCGUUACUUUUAAAAAUUUACACACACAUAUUACUUUUAGGGUUAAAUAAGUAUUUUGUCCUUAUAAAAUCAUGUGUAUCCUUCAAAAUUUUAACUAUUUUUGCAGUCACGUUAAGUACAUUAUAAAAAUCUUUUUUCCAAAAGUUUAAAGUUUUUUAACAAUGGAUAAAAUAAAUAUAAAUUUUUAAGCAAUUAGCACUUAAAAAUUCAUAUUUUGUUAAAAUUUCAAAGUUUUAUGUGAGAGAUUGUUAUAAUAUUCUAAACAUCUCUAUAAAAAUUCAUUCAAAAAAUGUAAAAGGAAAUAUGAUUUUAUUAAAGAACAAAGACCAAAAAUCAUACCCGAACACAUUUAAGGGAUCAAACCUUGCUAAAAAAAACUUUAAAGAGACUAAAAAUAAAUUUUAAGAUAUUUAUGGGGACCAAACCCUUAUUUAGCCCUUACUUUUAUAUAAAAAUAAAACAGUAUACAAGCAUGGAUAAUAAACCAAAUAUAUUCAUUUUUAUCAAAAUAUACACACUUGAAUAGUUUUCAAAUUACGCAUAUAUGUAUCUAAUAUCACAUGUUAAAUCUAACAUAAACAAAAAUUACUUUUGAGAUUCUAUAAAUGAAUUUAGAACAUCAAACAUAUCAUCAUGUAUCCUUAAAAGGAAAAUUGUGUAUUGUGUACCUUCACCACAACCAUAUAUGAAUAAGUAUGUGUAGUCAUAUCUCCAUCAAAGUUACAUUUAUUUUCUCCGGUCAUAUUUAUAAGCAAAUUUUCCAUUUUUAGAUUCAUUAAAUAAUUGAUGUAUCUGAAUUAUAAUAUAGUCCAAAUAUAUCAGUUAUUUAAUAAAUCUUGAAAAACAAAAGUUAUUUAUAAAUGUGACCGAAGAGAGUAUUAUUUAACCAUAAAUAAAUAAAUUAAACCUACAUAUUGCAAGCUCUUGUGUGAAACAAGGAAAAUUUCAAACAAGGUGAUGAUGAUGGUUGCCCAAAUAAAAAUUUUAAGUUUAAUCCAAUGUAAGAACCGUAUGUAUGUUCUUAUAUUACUUUAAUAUAAGAAACUUCUUUAUUUCUUAAAAAAAAAAAAAAAAACUUCUUUAUUGAUAUUAAUAUUAAGGGGGGAAUUCCAAAGAAUCUGAUGAGUCACAUGAUGCUUACUAGUGAUACCGAGAGCGUGAACUAUAGAGGCAUGAUAAGAGGUUAUGUUGUUGACAGAAAUCCAAGUCUUUUUUUUGCAUUUUAGAAAAUCUCUUCAUUUCUGUUUUUCCAAAUUUCAAAACAAGUUACUAUGAAAUUAGUAUAUGCCUUCAUUCUAGCAUGGCGUAUAAACCAAAUCUGACAAUCCUGUAUGUAAAAAUUAUCAGGAUAUGUGGGAGAAACAUGCAUCCAAAUAGACAUUGCUCUAAGGCAAUCUUGUAGAGUAUGCAAAUUACUUUCAACAAUAGCACCACAUCUAUAUAUGACAGGAAGUAUCAGAGGGACGAAAAGACCUAAACAUGAAGACAAAAUGACCAAAUUGUUCAAUCCGAUUCUAAUAACCAUUAUUUCAUUUUUUUUUCUUAUCUUGUUUGAUUCGAUUCUCUACUAGUGUACCAUUUUUAAUGAUAAAAGACCUAAACAUGAAGAAAAAAUGACUAAAUUGUUAUUAAAAAUAAUAGGGUUAAAUAAGUUUUUUGUCCUUAUAAAAUUUUAGAAUUUCACGUUUUAGUCACUCUAAAAAUUUCAUUAAGUUUUAGUCCCCUGAAUAUUUUCGUCACUACUUAUGGUCCAUACUUUUAAGUAAAAUUAUUUGUAUCUUUAAAAAUUUUAAAUUAUUUUUUGCAGUCCUAUUUAAAUUCAAUACAUUAUAGAAAUCUAUUUUACAAAAGUUUAUUUAUUUAUUUUAACAAUAGAUGAAUUAAAUAUGAAUUUUUAAGUUAACACUUACAAAUCGAAUCUUUCAAAAAAAAAAAAAAGUUAACACUUACAAAAUCAUAUUUUGUUAAACAAUUAUAACUUUUGGUGCAAAAAGAUUAUUAUGAUACUCUCUAAACAUCUCAGUUAAUAUUUUUCAAAUUUCUGAAAUAGAAUUGAAUACCGUAGGGUCGUACCAAAACUCUAUCCAUUGCCUUCCCUGUACCAAAAUCAAGUAAUGAAAGCAUUUUACAUCUACAAGCACAACAAAUACAUAAGACAAUAAAUACUCUUGACUUUGAAAGUUGACCCUCUUUUGUGAUGGCCCUUGGCCGACCCAAAGGCCAAGUCCCACCGAUUACCAAUCUCAACUCUCAAAGACUUAUCAAAUGCUCAGUCGAGAGUUCAGCCCCCAACACAUGACAACCCUUAUUUUUUUUUCUUUCUAGAAAUACCUCUUAAGAGAGGCAUGAUGUAAAAGAAGAGUUUUUUUUUUUUUUGAAGGAUGAUGUAAAAAACGAGCGGUGAUAUUUAAACAAGCAUUUAUAAAAAUUUUCUAUGACAAUUUUUUUCUUAUUUUUUAUUGAUCAAAAAUAAUAAAGAGAAAAAGAAAGAGAGAAUAAAACAACUGUAUAAGUAUUACUCUUGAGAUAAAGUUGUUAAAAGAUUAUCAGACUUCUUAUAUGGUACUUGGUUCAAGACUUAACACUAAAAGCAAGUUAAUUGACAAUUAGCUUAUGGUAUUAGCAACAUUAGAAAGAAGAAGAAAAAAACUUAUAAAAUUGGAGAUUCACUUCGCAAAGAAUUGGCCCAACAUAUUAAGAGGUUUAAAACAAAUUUUAUCGUCAUACUUUAAAAAAGUUUAUAAGAAAACAUUGAUAAAACAAGGUUUACUUAGCACAAGGUUUAAACUUAAAGCCAAACUAAGUACUAUUCGUCCUGUUUUGAACGUGAAUACAAGAAAACUACCAAAACUAACUUGCCAACUGUUGCAUUUACAAUAGCUUAAUCAACGCAGUUCAAAGAAAAUUAUGUGGGGAACAAGAUGAACCGUACCUAAGGCAAAAUAUGUAAGUAUUGUCCUAUAAUUAAUCUAUCAUUUUAUAUAUUUAUAAGUAAAAUAAUUUUUUUUUUCAAAAUUUAAAGUUUAAAGUCUUGGAUUGCUUGGUCCUUGAACCAACCCUAACUUCAUAACUAGCCAUGAGCACGAAUAACAUUUAUGUGACAUUGUGGUCUCAAUGUCAUGUGACAUUGGCCAACCCUAAUGUAACAUGUGUCAAUAUUUGCUUAAAGAAAAUAGCAAAAAGCAAAAAAAAAAAAAAAUGGAAAAGAGUGAAGAAAACCACUUGUCACAUUGUGGUUGGCUAAUGUCACAUGACAUUGACACCACAAUUUCACACAAGUGCUAUCCCUAUAAGCAUAUACUCCCUCCGGUCUCAAAUGUAAGAAACUUUUCACUUUUUAGGUUCAUUUAAUAAAUGAUGUCAAUAGAUAUUUAAAUUGUUGGGCAAAAUUCUCUUAAUUACCUACAAUGUGUAGGAAAAAUUUACCCCUUUUAUGAGCUUUUUUUGUGUGAACUGAAUGUCUUUUAUGCAUAACUGCAAAGAUGAAUCCAUUUGGUCGGGUAGGACCGCAAUGAUGACAAAACUCUCUCUAAAAAAAUUAAUGUUGAUGCAUUCAACUACUUUAUGAGUUUGAGUGCAACUAUAAGGUAAAUUCAUAAGUACCUUAGAGUUUGGUUGAACUCCUAGACAAUUUUCUAAAUUUUAUUUUAAAAUAACUAAUAUAAAAAUAUGACAUGACAAUAAAUGUUUAGAUGAAGGGUAUAUACUCAAUCAAACUUUAUCGAUAUCACUGGUUCUAAACUUAACAGAUUUCAGAUUAGAAUAAAUGGAGUAUUACAUUCAUUAAGUAUCUUAGAUAGUUUAGGCUUUGUUUGAAUGCAUCUAAAAAAGUGAAAGGAAAGAACAAGAAGGGAAAGAUUGCCUAAGGAAAGAAAAAGAGUAGAAAGUGAGAGGAUUGUUUUGGUUGUUUGGUACAAGGGAAAGUGGAAUGGAAAGUUGGAGGAAAGAAAGAUCUACAUUUUGUAAUUGGCAUAAUUACCCUUAAACAAAAAUAAUAUAUUAGUAUAUAUAAACAUUUUAUGUACGAAGAAUAAAAUUUGUCAUACAACAAUCGAAUCAUGUAUGCCUAGAGACUAACAAAAAGUUAAAUGGUGAAUUACUUAAAAAAAAAAAAGUUAGGCGUGAAUUGAAAAAAUAAUAAAGAGACACCAACUAAAGUAGUAAAUUAAAUUAAAAAUAAAUAAUAAAAGUUGGGGCAUUUUAAACAAAACAUAUGUUUCCUCAUACUUUCCGUCCAAAUGUGGGGAAAGGUUUCUAAGGUGGGUUCCACAUAUAUUCUUUCUUUCUUUCCUUCACCUUUUUGGAGAGUUCCAAACAAUGGAAAAUCUUUCUUUCCCCAACCUUUCUCUCCUCCUCACUAUUUUUCCCUUGAAAUAAACAUAUUAAAAAUCAUUAUUAUAUAUAUAUUUCAAAAUACACUUAAGUUUAUAACGCGAAACGUAUCCUUACAUGUUUUAAGUUCAACAUUUGUAAAUUAGUAAUUUGUGUGAGGGAAAGUGAACAAGUUAUUUAUUUAUUUAUAUUUUAACAAAUUGGUUCGUUUUUCCAUCUAACUUUAAAAAUAAAAAAAAUGUUUACAUGACCAUUAAACAUUGAAGUGGAAGGUUCAAAAAGUGUUUAUGACAACAAACACGAUUUACAAAUAUUUUUAUCUUAUUGUUUUACCAAUUUAAUUCAAAUUAUACCAGAUAAAUAUUUCAUCAACAUUAAAAAUCAAAUAAUUUAUCAAUUUUGUUUCAAACCAAUACUAAAUAAUACACAUAUAAACCAUAAUUUUGAGAAUUGUGAUCUUAGACCUACCAAGUUAGUAAUAAACGUCCACAUAUGUUUUUUAUGACUAAAAGACUAGUUAUACAUUUUUACCGACAUAAAUGACAAUUUGAAACUAAAAAAUAAAAUGACUAAUCCGAUACAAACAUUAAACUUAAAAACAAGAUGAUGAAUUUAGCUUAAAUUAUUUUACAACUCUCAUUUUUUAAUGCAAAGAGCAUAUUAACUAUUAGCUUUUGAUACUAAAUCUCAACAUCAAAUUCGAUAGCAAAUUAGGUACAUCUCUUACAAUUUGUUAAUAAUCGAGACGAAAUGGAGUAUAUCAAUUACGAUAAAAUAUGAUCCACAAAACAAUAUACUUGUGAAAAAUCCUAUAAUUAAACAAAAACUAGAUAAAAUAUUUUAUGAACGAAAAUGUUAAUAAUACCCAUGAGAAGAGCUUAUUCAUAUCCAGUAUAAUACAUUUGAGAUGCUAAAAUUGUUUAUCUUAAUCAAAUUUCUCAUCAAGUUAUAACUCUUCUAUGUUAAUAUCCAAAUGAUAUCAAUGUAAACACAAUGCAACAGAUUAUAACUGUGUAGACAUUACAAAUUAGUCACUCUUCAACAAAAUUAACUUGAACCAUAGAUGUGCAUUCACUCAUGAAUAGAGAAAUCAAUAACAUCAAAUAUUAUAACUCUAAGCUACUUGGCAGAAACUUGAAUUAUUGCUCAAGUGUCCUAGGGUUUUACAUAUGAUAAUCUGAUCACAUUUGACAAAAACCCGACUCGCAAUUAAGUUACACUUAAAUUCUAAAAUUCAAGAAUUUUAGGUUUCCUUCUGUUUCCCUUUCACUUUGCAUCAUUCCUACUUAGAAACCCAUGCAGCAACAAACAUCUACAAGGGACUUUAUGCUACCAUGAUAAAAUCUAACUUAGAUAAAGUACUAUUCAUAUCCUAUGCUCAUCCAAGAAUCCAAAGAUGCUUGGUUGAGACACUAUAAAGUGAAAAUACUGAGUAAUUGUAUUAUACCAAAGCAAAAACUAAAGAAGCAAAGGCAUAAAGAAAUACCACAAUUGUUAAGGACAAUUUAAAUGUACUUGUGCUUUGUACUAUAGUAGUAAUUGGGGAUUGGUACAAAGAUGAUGAAAUCACAUUAAAAUUUCCCACAUUCAUCGUCAUCCAAAACAAAUGAUGAACUUGAGAAUAAAGUGGGUUGAAUUGAUAACUAGAUUGAAUAAGUCAACUAGCGUAUUAAAUGGAAUAUCUUAGAAGCCAGUCAUGGGUCAAAUACCAACCAAAAUUAAAUUACAAGGAAUGUUUCAGCUACUCUUAUUAUUAGAUGUGAAAGUAAUUAGUUAAACUAAUUAAUUAGUUACCCUUUCUAGUUGUUCUUAUUGGCUAUAUAAGAACAACUAAUUAGUUUAACAAACUUUUACAUCUAAUACUUAUCCAUCAUUGAUGUCUAAUUAUAAUCUAAUUAGUUGAACAACUAAUUGAUCAAAAGAUGUAAGCUAUACGGGUUUCUAAGUAGGAAUGAUACAAAUACAAACUGAAGGCCAAAAUCACAAACUAAUAAUGACAACUAUAGUGUCCAAAUUUAACUAGAGUUAGAUUCCUACAAUACUGAAAAAUUAAGUUAACUGAGCUUAACAGCAUUAUCUACUUUAAAGUCUUAAUUGAUGUGAUUCAUUCAAUGGAAGGGGGGAUGAACCAACCCCACACCACCUUUCCCUCAACAAAGUCUAUCUCAUUGAUCAUCCUACUACAAACACAACACUCCUCAUGAAAAACUAUUCAAUUAAUGCACAACUGUCCAAAGGCAUACAUAAUUUUACUCAUUAAUCAAUCAAGCAUUGAAUAUAUAGGCAUAUAUAUAACACAGCUACGCAAUAGAAUCAAACAAACAUAUAUGCUUACCAUAAAAUCCUGAUUAAUAUAGAAGGCUGCAAAGAAUCAUAGUUAAACUAAUCCAAUAAAAAACAGAUAAUCAGAUAGACAGAUCAAGAGAAACAAAAUUAUCUAAACAUAAUUAACAUCUAAUUCUGCAAGGUUUCUUAGAAACAGCAAACAAAUGAACAAAACAAACAAUCCCUAACCUUGCUAUAUAUAUUCUUACAACAAAAGCAGUCAGAAGUAGAACAUACUGCACACAAGUACUAGCUUAGUCAGUAAUUAAGAUUAAGAUUAAAACAUGAUUAAUUAACAAGGUUCCUAGCUAACUCUUUCAGAAAGAAGGAGGAGGACGAGGAGGUGGAGGACCCCAAAACACAUCAUGAGGCAUUUGAGUACCAUUAUGCAACAAAUUUGGAGGCAAAUUAUACAUAGGCAUUGAAACCUGUUGUAGUUGUUGAUGAUGCUCACCCAAUUCCAAACCUUGAGAAGAAGUACUAGUAACUGCAGCUGCAACAGUUGCUGAAUCCACACCAGAUUGUUGAACUUGAACUUGCAUUUCCUCUUGAUCACCACCACCUUGUUCAUCCUCCAAGGGCAAUCUCUCAUAGGUAGCAUUAGCAAAAGUAGCAGCUAUAACCAUAACAGGUCCAGAAGCAACCAAAGGACCUGCAACAGAACCACCAACAACCUGCCCCUGACCACCAGCUAAAUAAACAGUUAAUCCAGUCGCUCCAGCCGGAGAAGGCGGAGGUAGAAAAGCUCCCGAAAGUGAAAGUAUCUCGAAUCUUCCAUGAAGAGUAAUAACACCACCAGGAGCAGCCGGCUGUCUAAGGGUUACAUUAGCUACAAUGCCACUCCCACUCAAAACCGACACACCGCGGUGACGGCGGUUAGCAAAGGUGGCAAUACUCUCCGCCACAUCACUACCACUGCUGAUUUCCAAGACAUGGCUUCUUAGCGCAUUUGGGGAUUCUUUGGUUAUAACAAUGGGUGGUUUGGGUUUGUUUUUGGAUCCUGGUGGUCUCCCACGUGGCCUCCGACCACCACUGCUACUGCCUGGCUCAGAUGGGUUUUGUUCUUCAUUGUUGUUGUCUUCCUCUUCAUUAUUGUUGUUGUUGCUGUUGCUGCUGUUUGUUGGAGUUGAGUUCGCGUUGUUGUUGUUGUUUUCCAUCAACUCUUGCUCUCUUUUCAGAUGUUGAAGUGAUGAUGGUGAUGAAGGCAUUGAUUCUCUAUGACCCAUAGCCACAUUUCCAGUCCACCAACGAUUUGCCAUAAUCUUCUUUGAUUUGGAAGAAUGAAAGAAAAUCUUCAAGUUCAGAGUUGAGAGAGAGAGAAAGAGAAAGAAAGAGAUAUAGCUUUGAAAAGAAGCUGAGAUAUAUCAACUUUGUUUGAAUCUAAAGACUCAGAUCUAUCUCUGCAGCAGAAACCUUGAAAACCAAAACCUUAUCUUAUUAUCUCAAAAGAAAAUAAAAGAAUCUAUCAAGUUUCAAGUACAUGUUUUAUUUUUGUUUUUUUGCAUGUAAACCCUAACCACAUAAAUAAAAUCAAACAAGUCACAUCCACCUAAUUAUAUAACAAAAAAUAAAAUGGUGGAUGAAUAUAUAACAAAAGGAGAGAACAAAAGAGAAGUAGAAGUAGAAGUAGAAGAAACCGUGUUGAAGAAGUACAAGAAGAAAAAAGGGAGUAAGUAACCCUUGAACUAGAAGAGUCUCAGGUUUUGUGGCAUUUGAAUCAGAAAAGGUGUUGUAGUGUAACCUGGGGAAAGGAAAGAUUGUGAUAAUAUGCGUUUGUAGUACCUCAAUCUAUGCCACUAAAAGGGGUCAGAUGAUAGAUUAAUUAGUACAGUUACAACAGUACUGUAGUAGUACCUUACCUCUCUCUAGUGAGAGGGACCCUCAAAGUUUCUAUAUCUGUCUGGGUAUACGUGAAGUGUGUUUCAGUUUCAAAAGAAAAGAUGAUAACAUAACACCGUCCUUUGAACUUGCCUUUAUCUAUAUUUGUUAGUGGUUUUGUGUGAAGUGAAGGGUGGUUUUUGGUUGUCUCCCUGGUAAGCGGUUAUAGAGUUGUGUUCAAAGUUUUCAACUUCCUAAGUAAGCAGAAACACAUCCACUUGGUGUUGUUGUGUCACCUACUCGUGACCCUUCUUCGUUCAAAACAAGAUUAGUAGAAAAGAUUGCGCAACUUGCGCAAGACACUUUGUUGUGUGUACUCCAUAAUUAUGAUGAUGCAAGGAAAAUUAUGUGUUCAAGAGUCAUGGUUAACCAACUUUUAAUUAUGAUAGAUAGAUCUACUAUGUUUAUUUUGUUAUGUACUCCCUCUGUUUGAAAAUAUACCUCGUUUAAAGUUUUUACGUACAUAUUAAAAAAUGUAUUGAUUAAAAGAAAAAGAGAUGUUAUUUUACCAAAUUAUUCAAUCAACUAUUGGUUUUGUCGUUUAAAAAGAUUAUGGAUGCAAUUUGUUAUCUGUUUGACUUCUAUUUCUACAUAUUUCCUCCAUCUCAAAAUAAUAUUCUCCUCGUCCUAUAUUAUGUGACACUAUUGACUCAGCCACAUAUAUCAAUGUACAAUUUUGAUCUUAAAUAUCUCUAAUAAUCUAUUAGAAAAGAGGCUUAAUUACAUUUUUGGUCAUCUAACUAUUUAAUUGGUAACGGUUUGGUUCUCUAACUAAAAAAAUAUUUAUUUUGGUCCUCUAACUUUAUCACCGUUACCAUAUUUCGUCCUUUCUGAUAAAUUAAAUCAAAUUCUGUUAAGUGUGUGCAUAGAUGGCAAUUAACUUCAUGCUUCAACUUUCCAUUUUUCUUCUUUUGCCUUGCAAUCUUCAUAUCACGUUCAUCAACAUCAUCACAUUUAUCAUCAUCAUCAACAACAAAUUGAAAAUAGUUACAACCACUAUCAUUUCGAUUCCUCCAAUUCCUACAACCCCAAAACUUCUUCCCACAGUUAGGGUUUGUAAUUUCAGUAACAGUCUUCAGAACUACAAACUCACUACACUGACAUUUUCGAAUUUGUCUCCUAAACCCAGAACUUACAGAUCCGGACAUGGCCCUUCCACCUUCGUUGUUGUUUCUUCUGUUAAAUCGAGAUCCUGCACUAGACAUGGUCAAGUGACGAAAAUGAACAAGAAGAGAUUCGAAUUAAAGGAAGAUGAAGAAGGACUUUGAAUUGGAGGAAGAUGAAGAUGGAACCCUAAUUUUUGGGGGAAAAAGUAACAAUAAGAACAAACCACCAAAAACCCACAAGAUUAUAUAGUGCUGACUCAUAUAUUGUCAAAUCAGCCCUUAAUUGCCAUCUAUGCACACACUUAACAGAAUUUGAUUUAAUUUAACUGGAAGGACGAAAUAUGGUAACGGUGAUAAAGUUAGAGGACCAAAAUAAAUCAUUUUUUAGUUAGAGGACCAAACUGUUACCAAUUAAAUAGUUAGAGGACCAAAAAGAUAAUUAAGCCUAGAAAAAAUUAUGAAAAUUUGAUGUUUUGAAAAUAUUAAUCGAAACAAAUUCAACAUCUUAUAUGUUAUAAUUUAUCUUUGUAUAUUAUUAGAAAAAUAUGAUCAAGGUAUGUUAUGUGAAUAGUACACGUUUUCAAAUUAGGUCAUUUAAAAUGAUAUGGAGUAUAUGCUGGAGUUAAGAUAGGUUUGUACAAAGUUUUUAAGGAAAUGAUUAAUUGUUUUAAUUUUAAUGUUAAAAUGAGUAUCAUUUACUAAAAUAAUCUUAUUAAUUGUAGUUAAUGGAAUAAUUAAGUUGGACGAAAUUCAAUAAAUAAUAGUAUGAUAAUAGAAAAAUAUAUAAAUGAUGCAUUUAUAUUUUAAAUAAUAAUUAUUUUGAGACAGAGAAAAAAUGUUAAAGAUACAAUUCUUUUGAGACCGAAGGAGUAAAAAAUUGAUUGAACAAAUUUUAAUUAAUGAACUUUAGAAGUUAUGGUUAAUGGACUUUAAACAAUGCUCUCUUUAAUAAGAUUGAUUUUUUUUAUUUAAAAAGAUUAAUGAUGCAAGAUGUUGUAUGAUUGUCAUCUUUUUUUAUAUAAAAAAAAUAAUCAUUAAACCAUUUUCAUAUGAUUAGGUAUGGCAAUGGGGCGGGGUGAGGACGAGUUUUAUCUUCCUCGUCCUCAUAUUCGAUUCUCAUAUAUUUAUCAGUUACCCUGCUCAUAUUCAACGUGGAUGAAAAAUUGAAUCACAUCGUCGUCCCCGCAUUGAAUAAUUUUUUUUAAAGAAAAAUUGAAGUUUUUUUGCAACCCCUAGAGGAAUGUUGUGAUGCAUUAUCUAGCAAUAUGUUCACUUUAACAUUUGUUAGAACGAAUGAUUUAAUUGCUCCUUUAAAUAUCAAUGAUAGUUUUUAUAACAUGACCAUUAUCAAACAAAAUAACAUGACAUAUCAACAUAAAGUAAUUUUCUACAUUCAGGACGGGUUUGAGUAUAGGUUCGAGGUGGAUAUCUGAUACUUGUUACAUAUCUCAUAUCCGUAUUUUUAAGUCGGGGAAAACUCAUAUCCAUUCCCAAACCCAGUCAAAACAGAGAAAACCUGUCAAAUUAAGUUUGAUUCGAGUGAAUAACUGCGGGUAUGAGUUUUGUUGUCAUGCCUAUAUAUGAUAGAUCCUCCCCAAGAACAAGUUCAAAUUCUAAUUAAAAGAAUCAAUGAUGAAUCAAAUUCUAGAUUACUACAUUUUUCAUUGGAAAACAUGCAAAUUUAAUUUCUAUUUUCACAUGUACUUUGCCAUGUCCUCACUUUUCAUGCUAGUUCAUUAAAAAAAUGUGUGACACACUGCUUUUAGGGUAAAAAUGAGGAUUAGAGCAAAAGUGCAAAAACAUGUGAAAAACAGGGGCCAAAACAUAUGAUUUUGAAAUGGAGAGAUACCGAUUUCGUAAGAAUACUACUAAUAUAGAGGAUCCAAAAUACAAUUAAACCUUUUAAAAGUUUUGAUUUAAUAGGGUUUUGUUGAUAUAGAAUCUAAAUCCCUAUUUUUAAUUUUAAAGAUAACAAACUAAUUAAAUUAAACUUUAUUAAUUCUGAUUUUAAUUGUUAUAUAACUUGUGCUCUUGAGUAUCUUUUUUUUAAGUUAAAGGUAUAAAAGCAUUGUACAAUUAUCAAGGAAAGCACCAAGUUAUGAUGGAGAGAUUGAUCUCAAGUAUUGGUUUCAAAUAUGGAUUUAAUGUUCAAAUAAGGCCAAGCACGUACAGGGAAAUGGAAUGUUACAUUUGAGGAAGCAAUAAAUAUUUCAAGCAUAAAUUAUAUCAUGACAAGGGAAUAUUAUUUGAAGCUUACUACAAAUGAACAUAUGAACAAAAAGAACAUAUUUAAUGUCAUGUGCAAAAAUGGUUGGCAUGAGAAUGACCACUAUAUUUUCGACAACACAUCAAGAGUGUAAGACAAAUACAAAACUAUAAACCUUUGGAUAUUUACUUUAUGGUCACUUCACAACAUGACAAGAAAGCUACCUAGUACAAGAAAAGCCUUUUCUUUGGGCUCAAGUCUUAUGGUACAGCAACAAGUGAAAAGGAAAUGAGCUGUACAAAGCUCAUGUCUCACGUAGCAAGCAACAAAGUACAAAGGAAAGCCUCAGCAGAUUUAGAGAUCGAUCUCAACUUCGAAAGGAACAGUUUCAUCUCAAAGGCUCCCUUGAAACUUGCGCUGCAAGAAAGGAAGAAUUUAACAAGAGUUUUUCUCCUAUAAAUAGAAGACUUCAGCAAGAGAGAAAAACAACUUUUGAGAAAAAGAGAAAAGAUAAUAUUCAUUAAGAAUUUCUUUGUUUACAAAUCACUUAAGAACCAUAUCUUUGUUUUGAGCAAGCAGCUCUUUUGUGUAUUAAAUCUUUGAAGAAGUUUAAUACUUUUAAAUACUAUUGUAAAAGAAUCUGCAAGUGUGCAGAAAGGUUGUAGAAAUUCUUGCUCGUAACGGCAAGUGACUUGACCAAGUGAAGGUUGAAAGAAAGUGUUGUAAAGAUUAGAAAGAUCUAAGAAGAAAGAAGGAAUUGAGAUUAAGUCAUAACUCAAUUACCUAGUGGAAAAUCUCACAAGUAUUGUGGGGACUGGACUAACCCAAGUUGGGUGAACCAGGAUAACUUUUUUUGUGUGAUCCUUCUUCCUUAUCUAUUUUUUUAUUUGCACUAGUCACACACCUUCACUAUAUCUAUUUAAAAUUCCAUUUAAAUCACUAACGUUUUUGUUGAGAAUUUUUAAUAGGUAAUUUUUAUUACAUCACAAUUCAAACCCCCUUUUCUUGUGAUAUUAUUUACUUCAGGUUUUAUUUUUCUUCAUUUUAUAUUUUCUUUUCAAAGCAAUGCUUUAACUAAAUAAAAAGCUAAUUAAAUUUUUUAAUGCAUAUAUGUAUUUUAAUUAUAUUUUUUAAAGCAUAUAUGUAUUUAAGUAUUUUUAGUGCACUCGAUCAGCUGCAAUCAAUUGGACAAUUCAAAUUUUAAAACAAUUUUUUAAUUUAAAAUUAUUACGUUCAAAUCCAAAUCGUCUUAUCUUUAUUGGAUGACUGCAUGUAAUCGUCGACUUGUGACUCCACACAAGUUUUAUACUUAUUUUUAGUGUGCGUAGGGGCGGAUCCAUGAUUUUUUUUUUGUGUGGUUAAAAUAAUAGUCAAAAAAUUUAUCCAAUGAAAUAAAAGACAAUGUAUUAUUUAACCUAAAAUAACAGUUUUAAUAAUUUUAUUUGGGCUAGUUUUAUUAGUUAAAGCCAAUUUGUAACUCUAACAAAGUAACGAUUGCUAAUUGAAACAAUAAAAAAAAUGUUAAUUGAAACAAAAUGAGUUAAAGCCAACUUUCUCUAACAUUCACCUUAAGAUGUAUUUAACAACUUUUUAGUUAUAUCUUCGGUAAAACGCACCUUAAUAAAAAUUAAUGGGUGUAUUCAAACAAACCCCAUAUAUACAUAUAUAUGGAUGAAUUCACCAUAAAACGUGGUGUGGAUAAAGAGAGUAUGUAUGUGAGAAAAAGAAUGAGAUUAAAUCAAUCGAUGAGUUAAAAUAUAAAUAGAGAGGACUUUUAUAGUGAAUGACGAUAUUGACUUUUAAGUUAUUGAAAUCUAUUUAAGCUAAAAAUAAAAAUCGUAACACAUUUUAAAUUUUAAUUGUCUGUUUGACCAAGUAGUAGUAUAUAUAUUAGUGUCUUGGUUGGUCACUUUGAACUAUGUUCUUGCACCACCGUAGCUCGAGCACUGCGUGGGGCUCCAUAGGGAAAAUUGCAUUGCACUGCGUGGGGCUCCAUAGAGAUGUGCUUUCGAAGGUAUUGCAAAGGAGAUUGUUCUCCGACGAGGGGAAAGAGACAUGCAAAGCGAUUAGCACCUCGAUGUUCAAGUUAGUGAGAGAAAUGAGGAGGAAAGUGUGCAAAAUGUGGUCAAAUUAUAAUCAUACAUUGGGUGUGAUGUUGGGUCACACUUUUAUAAUUGAAGACGUUGUAACCUUCUCCUAAAAACCCAACGCAAAGUGCGAUAAGCCAUUAGACAUUGGUCUGACGGCUACGGUGUAACCAAGAGUGCUCUUACGCGGCGAGGCGUAUAGGAGAUCCAUUGUGGUGUCCUGAUAUGUGAAGAUUUUAAGUUAAUAGACCUGUUAAUAUUAAGUCGGCGAUACAAACUUUUGCCCAAUCCAAAACAAUUAUUAAUUUAAAAAAGUAGAGAAACCAGAACCAAUACCACAUCAAAUCUUAAGAAAAAUCAAUCAUCAUCUUUCUUCUCAAUUUUAUCAUAGUGAAGAAAAAAUAUAUAAAUUAAUAAAAAUGUUAAAAAAUAAUGAGAAAAUAAGAGUUAUCAAUUAAGUUUAGUAAAACAGAGAAAGUGUUACAAACAAAUACUCCCUUCAUUACUAAUUAUAAAAAAAUUGACUUUUUAAGUUCAUUCAAUAAUAAUAUAUAUGGUUCAUAAUAUAGACCACAUACAUCAUUAUUAAUCGAAUGAACUUAACAAAUAAAAUUUCUUUAUAAUUAAAAUCGGAGGUAGUACAUGCAUAUCUCCCUACUCCAUAAGAGAAAAAAGUUGGGCGUGUAUGGAGCUGGAGUGGGGCAACGUGCUGGUUGUCACUGCAGUGGGACAUCACUGUCUGCAAACAAGGACAAAGGAGCGAGUGCCAAUGUCUGAAUUCCAGUCUCCAUUCUCCAGAACUUCACCAUUGACUACCCAUAAAAAUUAUGGAGAAUUAUUUCAAUGCUUAUUUAAUUUUAAAAACUGACCCGUUGUAUACUUUCUCCUCUGUUUUUUUUUGUUGGUGGAAUUAGAAUAUACUUGCCCCAUUCUUAGCACGUGUCUUUGUAUGAACAAGAAAAUAUUUCUUAUUAAUAAAGAUAAUUUAUCUUUAAUUAAUGAUUUAUUUUAUAUUUUAUAAUACUUGUUCAUUAAUUUUAGCAGAGAGACAAUAAACAUUCUCGUAAUAUUCUAGCAUGACCAAAUUUUUAUGGAAGAUGUUAACAUGUGUCCUUAAGACACAAGUUAAGAAGCUAAAGAUAGAAUAUUUUUUUUGAAAAUUGUGUAUUCAACAUCAUAAAAAUUUACACUUUUAUGCUUUUAAUAUAAAAUUUAUUGUUUAUUUCCUUUUAUACCUCCUUAACUUGUCCUUAAAGUACAAGUUAACAUGACUAAAUUUUUAUUGGUCCUAAAUUGUACGAUUCAUUGAAGAAUAAAAUAUAAGAAAUGUUAACUAGUGCCCCCGGGACAUUGAGGUACUGAUUAAGGUCUUUAAAUGAUAAUUUAUCAUGAAAAUAUGUGUAAUCAAUGCAUCAAAAAUCAAACUCUUUGAUUUUUUUAUAACAUAAUUUCUUCUUUUAGAAUCCUUAAAGAGUAUCUCUGAGACACUCGUUAACAAGAUCCAUAAAGUAUUUAUGAAUUUUGAUUUUAUAGGAAAACCUCUCCCUUAUUAAUUAUUGUCAGGACCGUAAAUCUCUUUUUAGCUAUGGUCAAGACCAAGCUGUCUCCUUCUCGAAAAAAAAGGACCAAGCUGUCUCUUUUAAUUAUUGUUAGGGAUCUGAUUAUCCAUUUUUAAAAAAAUCGUAAUAAACUAAAACAAAUUUUUUGACGAUAAUUUAAGUUGAUAAUUUUUUUCACAGGGAGCAAAUUAAAUUUCUCCCUUUUCUUCUUUAUAUAUUCACUCUUUAUUAUUAUAUUAAACUACUUUUUUUUUUUACAAAGUGAUUAUAUUAAACUGCUAAAUUAGCAUAAAAUCUAAUUCUAACUAUAUUAUAUGUAUGCCCUAAAAAAAACUUUAUUAUAUGUAUGAAAUUAAAAACAGAUCAGCAACACGUGGUUGAUCCAAGCAUAUGGCUAACCCCAAGACUCAAGCUCUACUAAAGUAAAGGAUUUAGGUGUCAAAAAUAAUUUACUUACAAAGAGAAAAUGCCUUCAAGGAAAACAAUUUAUGUUACUAUUAAUUAUAAGAACAUCCGCAACUGUCUUAAAACUAUUUGAUUGACAAGUAAUUGAAUUAUUCGGAAGGAAUGCAACUUUAGGAUCUUUCAAAAUAAAGAAUCAACUAUCAUUGAAAUUGUUGACAAGGUGAAAUUUUAUUCAUAAUGGUGGCUUAAGGUUUAUAAAUCUCAUACUUUUGUCGAUUUUCAUGUCUGGUGGACUAAACCAUUUGUCUGUCUAGGUUACUCCAUCUUGCAGUAAUUUAGUUGCAACUGUUUUUGUUUUUUUGUUUUGCAUUUUGUCACACCAUGUGUUUAACUUAUCGUUUUUUUCUCCGAUAUUUAUUUAAUUAUGCCUUUGGCUUCUUAAAAAUACUAUUAAUUAUAUUCCAGUUUCAUUUCAAGGAUAUACAUUGAAAUAAUAUCUACGUUCUCUCAUAAGACCAAGUCCAAUGGUGUGAAAAUGCUAUGUUGAAAGCAACAUUAAACAUGUGAAAUGCUUCAAUGGUGGUGUUGAAGGAUGAUGUGGAAGAAAGAGAGGUUGAAUGGUUUCAACAUUGUUUAAUCUGACCACGUAGGGACACGUGGCAAGCCGAGAAUGGCCAGAACGGCGCGUAUAGCACACGCGCGAGCAGCGCGUGAUGCUCAGAAAGUGGAGAGAGAAACAAAUUUUUGGAUAAGUAGGGACACGUUUUCAGUUCUGAUUGGUUGUCCAGAUUCUUAUCAUUUUAAUAAUUGGACCUCAAUUAUUUCUUUUAAAAUUAAUUUUUUUUUUAAAAAUACCAAAAUUCAUGAUUUUUUUUUCUCUAUAAAUAGAGAUUUGAUUCAUUUGAUUUGGACACAGAAAAAAAAAACAAGUUUUUCACUAUCUUAAUCUUAUUAUUAUUUUUCUAUUAGCAAACUAAGUGAAGUUUUAAUCUUAUUUUUAAUGAAAUGGAUCCCAAUAAUAACCAUUUCAACACCCAAAAUUAUUCUAAUUACCCAUUUAACUACGAAAAUUCCAACAAUUUUUCAACCAACGUCCUCAAAACAUACUUAAUUUUGGUUUUACACCAAAUUUCAACCAGUCAUACUCUAUUCCAAACUUUCAUCCAUAUUAUGGAUCUAUGAUGAGAUAUUCAUCUCAAACACCCUCGUUUUAUGGUUAUAUGCCAAUGGAGAAUGAAAAUUUUCUCAGUGUUGGUGCAUCUCAAUUUCCUGAAUUUUCAACACAAAUAACUCCUGGUGGCAUGGCAGUUGCUAAUGAAGUCACUCCAAAUCCAGAAGAUUCAACUCCUAAGAGCAGGAAAAGUAAGGAACCAGCAUGGAACACUGAACAAAAUUUGGUGUUAAUUAGUGUAUGGAUUAAGUUUGGAACAAGCAAUGUUGUCGGGAGAAGCUAGAGGGGUGAAAUAUAUUGGGGUGAAAUUGCUGAGUAUUGUAAUGAGUAUGGCUCAUUUGAUUCUCCGCGGGAUCUAGUUGCAUGCCGAAAUCAUUUUAAUUAUAUAAGCAAAGUAAUAAAUAAAUGGAUUGGUGCUUAUGAUGCCGCUAAGCGUUUGCAAGGAAGUGGUUGGUCGGAAGAUGAUAUUUUGGCAAAAGUGCAGGAAUUAUUUGCAUGUGGGAAGAAUGUUCAAUUUACUUUAAAGGAAGAAUGGCACGCUCUCCGUGAUCAACCACAUUAUGGUAGUCAAAUGGGAGGAAAUGUUGGGUCAGGAAGUAGUGGAUCUAAGAGAUCUCACGAUGAUUCUGUAGGAUCUAGUGCUCGUCCAAUGGGUAGGGAGGCAGCUAAAAAAGAGGUAAAAAGAAAAGCAAGAACGAUGCCUUGGAGGAGGUGGGAAAGGAGUGGGUUCAAUUCAAAGAAAUCAAGGUGCAAGAGAUUGAACAAUUGGAAGGUAGUGCAUCUCGUACUAGAAAAUAUUUCAAUAGAGAUCAUGCAACGGCAAACCAAAGACUAAUUGACGACUACUUUGCCAAUGAGCCUACAUAUGACGAUGCAAUGUUUCGUCAUCGGUACCUGAUGCAAAAACACGUUUUCCUUCGAAUCAUUGGAGACCUUUCAAGUAGUGAUAACUACUUCACCCAGCGAGUUGAUGCAGCCAAUAAAGAAGGUAUAUCACUGUUAGCAAAAUGUACCACAACAAUGUGAAUGUUAGCAUAUGGUGUGGCAGCAGAUGCGGUCGAUGACUACAUCAAAAUAGGAAGUAGUACAAAUUGGAGUGCCUACUUAGAUUCUGCAAAGGAAUCAUAUGAUUGUAUGAGCAAGUGUACUUGAGAGCACCAACCCAAGAUGACCUGUGAUGACAGUCCGUCAUUCGUUAUUUUAGAGUCUUUUUAUAUGUAUUUUGAUCACAAAUUGGAGUUUACAAGGAAACUUAUGCAGCAAAAGAGUAGAAAACUGAAGAAAAUACAAAGAAGAGAAUCGUGUCACGAUUUGGUAAAAACGUGACACGAUUUUCGAAGACCAAAAUCAAGCUUCGACAUUGAAGAAAUCGUGUCACGAUGGCAUAAUCGUGGCACGAUCUGAGGAAACCCUAAUUCAGUGAUUUGCGAUUCAAGGAGAAUUGUGCCACGAUUUACUUAAAUCGUGGCACGAUUUUAGGCGGAAUUCUGUGCCUAUUUAAGCUGAAGUCUAUUCCAAAGACAAGGGUUACGAAUUGGAGAGAGCAAAGUGCGAUUUUGAGACCUAAAGACGGCUAGGAUGGUGAUUUCUUCAACCUUCUAUUAGUUCAUGUAUGUUUUGAUUCCACUAUUGAUUAUGCUAUUUGUAAAUUCAAUUAUGAGUAGCUAAAUCUCUUAGAGAUUAGGUGUGAGAUGAUUCUUUGUAACCCCUAAUUGAACCAUGUUGCUGUGAAACUCUAUUUACUGUGAAUGACAAUCUAGUUUUUAUUCAAUUCAAUUGUUCUUAAUGCUUUUUAUAUCCUGAUCAAAUAUAAAUAUGAUUUAGUGAGAAUGAAUGACUACUGACCAUAGCUUUCUACUUAGACAGAAUUGAAUUGUUAUAAUAAACAGGGUUAGUCUAGGAAUGGAUAAUCGUUUGUUAGUGAUAUUAGGUUAACGUGCUUAAACCUUCAAAGAUUAUUAGACCACCUAAGGAAUUAGGGGUUGUAAUUUGAGAAGAGGGUCCUAACUCAAGGGAUUGAUUAGAAUUAUUUUGUUAACUAUCGUGAAACUAGAAAAUCAUUCAUAAGAAUAGGUGCAGUAUACCAAUUAGGGAAACAUAGAUGAUUCGAAAGACCUGAUCUUAUCUCUCUCUUAUUCUUUCCAAAACUAUCUUUAUAUUCUGUUUAUUUAAUUUUAUGCAAACCAAAACUACUGUCUCAGGCAUUAAAAUAAUUUACACAUCCUAAAUAUUAACCUUAUUGCUAAAUUGAGAUUAACACAGUCCUCGUGGGAACGAUAUUUUUACUACUUCGAUAGUAUUUAGUGCACUUGCUAAAAUUAUCUAUCAACCUGCAAAGAAUACUGCAUGUUAGUGAAAUGCGGGGGUUCCCAGGGAUGAUCGGGAGUAUUGACUGCAUGCACUGGGAGUAGAAAAAUUGUCAUAAAGCAUGGGAAGGUCAAUUUACCAGGGGGGGAUAAGGGAACCACCACAGUUAUUGUUGAAGCAGUUGCAUCUCAUGAUCUAUAGAUCUGGCAUGCCUUUUUUGGAUGUCCAGGAACGUUGAACGAUAUAAAUGUUCUAGACCGGUCACCAAUGUUUGAUGAUGUGGAAUAGGGCAAGGCUCCAAGGUUGAAUUACUUUGUGAAUCAACGUCCCUAUAAUAUGACAUACUAUGUAGCUGAUGGUAUCUACCCUUCUUAUCCAACUUUUGUCAAAUCAAUUAGAUUUUCUCAAAGUGAACCCGAUAAGUUAUUUGCAAAACAUCAGGAGGCAUGUCGGAAGGACAUCGAACGUGCUUUUGGAGUGCUUCAAGCUCGAUUUAAAAUCAUCUGUGAACCAGCUCGCUUGUGGGACAUAGCCGAUUUGGGUNCUCAAAGUGAACCCGAUAAGUUAUUUGCAAAACAUCAGGAGGCAUGUCGGAAGGACAUCGAACGUGCUUUUGGAGUGCUUCAAGCUCGAUUUAAAAUCAUCUGUGAACCAGCUCGCUUGUGGGACAUAGCCGAUUUGGGUAUCAUCAUGAGGUCAUGCAUCAUAUUGCAUAAUAUAAUUGUUGAGGAUGAACGAGAUACAUAUGCUCAACGUUGGACCGAUUUUGAGCAACCUGGGGGAAGUGGAUCUAGUACACCGCAACCAUGCUCGACCGAGGUGUUACCAACUUUUGCAAAUCAUGUGCGUGCUAGAUCCGAGUUGCGUGAUCCAGAUGUUCAUCACGAAUUGCAAGCAGACCUAGUGAAGCACAUAUGGACAAAGUUUGGAAUGUAUCGUGAUUGAAGAUGAUUUCUAUCGUACUAAAUAAAUUACUUGCGUGUUGUAUGCUUAGUUUGUUGUAUUGCAUUUUAAGUUAUUUGUGUGUCGCAUGCUUAGUUUGUUGUAUUGCAUUUUAAGUUAAGAAAAUAAAAAUAAAUUAUUUUGUAAAAUUUUGUUUUUCCAAAAAACCUAAAAGAUAAAUAGUUAAUUGUAUUAUUUUAAUUUAAUUAUAAUCGAUAAUUAUAAUCCAUAAUUUUAUGUAAUUAUAAAAACAAAAAUUAAAUAAAAAUAAGAAAUAAAAAGUGGUGGUGUAGGGUGUUAAUGAAAAACCAUUAGAGAGGGUAAAGUUGAAUGAGUAUAAGAGAGAGAAAAUGAUGUUGAGUGUUGAAAUUGAAAAAAUGAAUAUUGAAUGGUGUUGAAAGCAAAAACCAUUCGAGAUGGUCUAAAAAGUUAAUACUAUUUACGUGCAUACGUGGGUGGGGGAAGAAGUAACGAUGAUGCGUCCUUUUUUGUUGCGUGAUGCGUCCUUUUAUGCAUUGGAAUCCUUCUUCUUUUUUUGUACACUCCCUUUUAUGCAUUGGAAUCCUCCUUCUUUUUUUGUACAUUCACCUGCAAAACCUUCUUUCGUACCAACAACAUGUAAGCAGGAGGACACAUAUCAGGUGCAGUGGUGCUGAUGCUUCUUUUAUUCAAUAUUCAUAAAAUUUAAGUGUUGGUAUAUAGGAUCAUGAUAUGAGUUAGUGAUGAUACACGAUCCUUUUAAAGUGGAUAGGAUGUCGUGAUUGGAGUUCAAGCCUCGACAUGUGUGAAUUUACAAUGAGUAUUAUAUUUUUCUUUUAUCUAUAGGAAAAAGUGACAGUGAUAAAUAACUAAGAAAUGAAAAACUAGUAAUAUAAUUGAUUGAGUUCAAUGUUACUAAUAAUUUCCUUAAAAAAAUGUUAGUAAUAAUUGAUAAAUAACUCAUAGAUAAGAAAAAGACCCCCAUGGAGCUUAUAUAUGGACUCACAUUUUUAUGAGUAGGCCAAGUAUUUUCCCUGGUGCUAUUGAGGGUGAAGUUUUUUCUAGCACAAAAGUACUUCCCUCUUACUAUUAAUAAUUAAACCAAACAUCUUAAAUUUAAAAGAAAAGUAGAAAAAAGGGGUCGUCCCCGUGAACUUAACUCACUUAAUAAGGAAUAAUGCAUAUUAUAUACAGGGGCUGAGAUUCGAACCCCGGAUACCUCACUUAUUCACCUUUGAGGUAUUUCUCUAGUCGUUAGAUUACUUGACAAAAAAAAAGGGUCUGAUGCACUUGUUAAAGAAUUAAAUAUAAUAAAAUUAUCCCGUAUGCACUAGCUAAUUAACAUGACCUGGUUUAAAAUAAUCACUUCCUCUCCAAUCAAACCCACGAAUCAAAUCCAUGCUUCAGUAAAGCCAUUUUUCGAUAAAUUUAUAAAAGCAACAUUAUUAUAAUGAGAUAAGAUGGUAUGUCAAGUGACACAAAUGAUAUAUAUUUGAGUCUCUUAACCACUUAAUUCAUAGUUUGAUCUAUGGUUGUUGUGUAUAAAAAAUUUGUUGAUAAAUAUCGAUCCUUUAAAUAAAUAUCAGUUAAAUCGAAAGAUUAAUCUCUACAAUGUUGCAGAAAAAUAUUUUAUUCUAAACAAACAACCGAAGUCUUCAUUACUCAUAAUGUCGUGCCUAAAAUUCCAAUGAUUAAAUUCUCAAAUUGCACGUGAGAAUACUUUAUUUAAAAAAAAUAACAAAGUCUUCAUUACUCAUAUUGUCGUGGCUAAAAUUCUAACAUGAUCUCAAAAGUUUUUUUUUUGGGAAACAUGAUCUCAAAAGUUAGAUAUAGCAAAACCAAAGUCUUAACUACUCCGAAGAUUGAAAGUUAACUCCACAAAUAUCGUUAUCUAUUCAUAGAAAUGGAAAUUCGAAGAAGGAGGGCACAAUUAGAAAAUUCGAUCGAACGGCAAUAGCAGUUGAACAGUUUUUUUAUAAAAAAAUUAUUGGUUAAACUUUACUCAUGGAUUAGCAAGACUCAUUUCCUCUAAGAACCUACGAGUUAAAAUUGAAGAAAACAUUCAUCGAUUUUGAUUCUCUAAGAACACUAUAAGAUUUGGUAGGAACGAUUUUAUUGGUUGAAUGUACAAUUUGAACUUUGAAAUUAGAACAAACUGUUUCUUUUUUGACUGAAAAACAAAAGAAUUAUCAAGCAACUUGAGCAGUUGAGCUUGUGCAUUUUACAUAGCGUGGUGGAUAAACCGAUUUGUCUAAUUACUAUCAACUAGACUCUAACCCGUGCGAUGCACGGGUUUUGUAGAGUUUCAUAUAUAAAAUAUCAAAUUGGCUAUAUUAUUACUUGUAGAGUUACAUUUAAACUCAGAAACAUUCAAAGUAAGUGACAAUUGAAAGUGAUCGACAUACACAAUCUCAAAGAAGCAAAUUAACAACAUUUAGUUUGCAUCAAUAAAAAUGAAUAUGGAAUCAAAGUCAUUACUUUGCCAAAACAAAGUAAUGUUAUAGUCUACUGUAGUGAUUUUUGCAAAUAAAAAGUCAGAAUAAACAACUUCAAGUAUAUAAUAUAAGAGAAACAAAGAGGUCGACAAAAUUACAGAGAAAAACGAAGUUUCUAAUGAUAAAAUUAUCAUCUAGAUCAAUCAAAUUAUCUCCAAUUUUAAAGAUGCAACUUUAAUAUCGUAAAACGUAGUAAACGUACACAAAAAAAAAUGAAAAAGAACUACUACCAAUAAAGGUACCGCUAAUAAUAAAAAAUAACUGCUAUUAGAGAGGAAACCGCUAAGGCGGUUGGGGCUUUAAAAAAAUGUUUUAGUCAUGUAUUUCAUUUUUGGAAGCAACAAUAUUGCAACAAAAAUAGAAGUAGCAUAGUGGUUAUAGUUGUAGAGUGUAAGCAUAUGGUACCUGAUUCAAUUCCUUUCAAACUCUUUUUUUCAUAAAAGUUAUUCAGAUCCACCAAAAAAGGCGGGAUUAAUUAGGGCAAACUUAUCAGAGCUGUUUAACAUUUAUAUAUAUAUAUAUUAUAAGAUUAAGAUUGGAAACCGGAGUUGAAAACCACUAGAGUAUUUCUUGCCGUAUAUUAUAAGAUUAAGAUUGGAAACCGGAGUUGAAAACCACUAGAGUAUUUCUUGCCGCCACGCCAUACUAUCAAGAUAAUAAUGGCGUAUUUUUUUUAAUUCGGUAUCCGAUCCAAGGACCGACUAAUCUGAGGGACCAAUCCCAUCGCCCACUUGCGAAGGCACCGUUCUAAGCCAGCCGAAGCAAAGCUCUGUAUAGACUUGCCCACUGAAAUUAACAUCAGAGAUAGUCGAACGUGAGACCUUGAGAGAAGCACACUUAAAAAUGUCAAGCCAACCACCAAGUCAACCCCAAAUGGGUUAUGAUGACGUAUUGUUAGUGUAUACUUCACAAUUAUUUUACACAUACUACUAACGAUAGGUUGUUGUAUUUCAAUUAAUAAAAAUGAAAACUCUAUGUCUACCAAAAAAAAAAAAAUGAAAACUCUAUCAUAUUAAUUAAUUGAGGUGACAUCACAUUAUUGGAUAUAUAUGUAAAGUAACUUUACACCGUUAGUGUAUAGUAACAAAAUAAUUAUUUUAAAAAAAUGAAUGGGAUCUUUAUUUCAUUUGAUUUGGUUUUAAUGUGUCUCGGUUUUAUGGAAAGAACGGAAUGAUAGGUUAUUUCAGAAUCGUCAAAGUUCUAUACCACUAUUGUUAGAUAAAGUAAAAUCAAAUACCUUGUGGUGGUUGAAAGCCAGCAACAUAGUCUUUAUUUUUGGUACACAUAGUUGGUGGUCGAGCCCGCUUCUAUGUAUGUGCAUUGACUAUCUUUGAUGUAAUUUUGACAGGGUUGUAAUCUUUUUGUGAUUGUUUUGGCACGUCUUGUGCUUCAACAAUUACAAUGUUCAUAGUAAUAUAUUCCAUUUUUGUUUCUUAAAAAAAAUAAAAUUAAUGGUUUAUUUUUAAGGUUUUAUUUUCAUAUACCGUCGUGUAUUGUUAGAAUGUCAGCACAUAUGAUAUCCAAUCAUGUUCAUGUACAUGACUCUAGAUGCGGUUAUGAACAAAAUAAAACGUUUUUACUAAUCAUUCAACUAUGAUAAAUUGAUAGUACGAAAAUCAUUUCGGUGACACUAUAAUAUGAAUUAAAUUCUUAUUUGUAUAGUUUAAAAACUAAGAAGUUAUAUAACAAUUUUUUUAAUGUAUGAUUUCAAAUGCUUAAAACUAUAAAAACAAGAAUUUAAUUCAUAUAUGCAGUGUCAAUUGAAAGAUGAUUUUUAUAUUACUCCUUCCGUUCUAAAAUAUAAGUUGUUUUGGAUCAAAUAUUUGUCUCAAAUCAUAAGUCGAUUUACAAUACAUACGAAGAAUUAUUGGUAUAUUUUUUUAUCAUACACUUAUCUAUUUAUUAAUGUCUCUUCUUUCAAUUUUUACUUUAUCUUUCAUAUACUAUUUAUUAAGGACAAUUUUGUAAAACAACUCAUAAUAUUUUUUUCCUAUAUAAAAUAAAAAAAUUAAUUACAUUUGUUAAUACGUGUGAAAUUGUAAAAACAUCUUAUUAUUAUUUAGGAAGGAAGGAGUAGUAUUUAUUUAUUUUUUAACCAUAAAAACUUGAGCUAAAUUGAACCAAAGAAAAACUACAUUCAUUUUCUCCGCGAGCAUAACUCAGUUGGUAUAAACAAUGCAUGAUAUAGGUAAGGGCCGAAAUUCGAAUCACACACACUCACUUCUCUAUAUUUAAAAUAUGUGAGCUUCAGUCAAUAAACUAUUUGACAAAAAUAAACAACGUCUAUCAAAACAUUGACCGAUCAACCAUAACAAAAAUAAGACGUAGUAUUUAAUUUCUUCUUAUCUCUCCACCAGCCCUUAUUCCUUUACACGCUUAUGGAUUUCAAAGCCAUCUCUUUGCAACUUUCAAUGCCAUCUUAUCCAACCUUGAGUAGUAGUGAUACGCUUAUCACAAGGUUCGAAAUCAACAAUUUCUCAAAUUUCUCACAAACUACUUGCUUGUUUUCCCCUUGUGAGCUGAGGGGCAUGGAUCCAAUUCCUUUUUGGUGACAACUGACUUGUUAAGUCCAAUAAAAAGACUCAUACUAGGUUUCUUAGGAGUGAUUUCCCCUCUCUUGUUCGUGUCGGUGGGUUUAGAAAUUCAAAAGCUGUGUUUGUGAGUUUGGAGAGAAAGGAAAGUGAGGGUUUGUGUUUGUGAGUUUGGAGGGAGAGGAAAGUGAGGGUUUGAAAAAAGAGGAAGGAAUAAGUGAAAGAAAUAGAGGAUAUUGGAGAUUUAUUUUUCUUUGAAAUAUAAAACCCUCCCCAUUUGGGGAAUUAAAAAUUGCACUGGAGAUUUUUCGGGGGUUUGAGAGGAUUUAUAUGAAUUCUUCAAAUAUAAUAUUUGUUAUUACAAUAUUUUUAAAAUUAAAAAUUAAAAAUAUAUUAAUCAUAAACAUUAGUUUAUCAUUCUCUAAAAAAAUAAUCUUUCAAAAAAUGUGAAAUUUAUCAAUUUCCCCCUAUAUUUCUCAUCCCCCAAGGCCCUUCAUUCCCUUCCUCUCUAAACUCACAAAAAAAGCCUAAUACAAGAGAGCGCGAAGAGAAGCUCAAAAAUUAUGUUAUAGAAUUCUAUAUAUUUUUUUUAAAUGAAGAGAAUUACUAGUUUUAAAGAUAAUUGUGCACAUUCUUUAAAAAAAAAGAAGAAGAAGAUAAUUGUGCAUAUACUUAUAUUUGUAUUAAUAUAAACUUUAAUACUUUUUUUUUUUUUUUAUCAACCAAUGUAUGUAUCUUUUAGGAUUAAUUAAGGAAACAAUCUCUAUAAAUAUUCAAAAAUUCGUUUUUAGUCCUUGUAAAAUAAAAUCACACAUUUUUAUUGUUUAAAAAGAUCUCUCAAUUUACCGUAUAAAUCAGAGGAGUCGUGAUAAGACAAAAUAGUGUAACAAUCUGGAUUUUAAAUUUGAUGCUUGACGAGAGCACCAACAAGAAAAUGUUGAAGUUGAAAUUGCAAAUUAAUCUACUCUCAUGAAAAACAAAUCAGUGUUUCUAUAUAACAUAUUACUUAAAUCAUAAUUUACUAUACUAUUUCCUUAAUAACUCGCACUCUAUAUUAGUAUGUUGGACAAAUGAGUAAAUAUCACUAAAAAUGUGACAAUCAUACGAUUUUUAUAACGGGGAUGCCAUGACCUUCCUAUGUCCGUAGGAAAGUCCGCCAUUGUCGAGGGGUCAUCACCCCCGAUAAAAGUUGAAUAAAUCUCAGUAGACAUAUGUUGUAUAUAGCAUAUUUUAAAUGUAUGUUAUUUUUUUGAUAAAUUUAAAAUGAUUGAGAAUCCAAUAUUAAACAAUCAAAGUAAAAAAACAUAGUAAGAGUGCACAGGAAAACCUAACCGCCACACUCUCUUCAUCCUUGUAAAAGAUGAGUGAUUUAGGACUAAUUUUUGUCUGAAAUCACCACUGAAAAUCAUUCUAGUUAUAUUCUUCUCCUAAAUUCCAAAUAUCAUAUGCAGUAUCAUCAGGUACAAGACCUUUAUCAAGCAUCUCAUCAUGCAUAAAUAGACCUUCAGAUGGUUAACAAGGAGACUUAGGAUCAGACAUUAUGGAAAUAGACUUCAUAUGAUCUGAGGCAGAAAUAGUCUCAUGGUGUACUAAUACUAUGGCCUUACAAUAAAAUAAGCUUUAUUUUGAGAGAAUUGUUAAAAUAAAAUUUUAAACCAACUUAUACAUAAGUCAUGAAUUAUUUUAUACACUUAAUAUUAAUCACUUCUUAUGAUCAUGCUGGGUUGAAAUCCAUUCGCAGUAAAUCCUCCAUCAACAGAAAUAACUUGUCCAGUGAUGUAAGAAGCAGCUGGCAGACAAAGGAAAGCCACCAAGGAAGACACUUCAUGUGUUUCUGCUAUCCGUUUUAUCGGUGUUCGAGAUAGUACUUCAUUCACAAACUCUUUGUUAGCAUAUAACUGUAAGAAAGGUAAACAGUUAGCAACAUAACAUUAUUAUUAUCAGAACAAACUUAACCAAUCUUCAUAAAGAAAAAAUGAUUAAAGGUGUGAAAAGAGUAUUACAUAAUCAUUAAGCGGUGUUUUUGUAUACCAAGGCGCGACGCAAUUGAUCCUUAUAUUGUCUUUUGCCCAUUCACAAGCAAGACCUUUGUUCAGCUGAUUGAUUGCAGCUGAAGAAAACAGCACGGUGGAUCGAAUCUCUUUAGUAAAUGUCGAAAUAGUUUGUAUCCGUCAAUCAUGUUUAAGCAAAUGAAGACAUAAUGAUACAUAUAGUUACCUUUACAUGCUGCGUAUAUCGUUCCAGAACCUACGUGUGUCAGAGAUGCAACAGAGGAAUUGAAUACAAUGCUUCCAUUUCCAGAUUCUUUAAGAAGAGGAUAUGUCAGUUGGCAUAGAUGGUAUGCAGAAUCCAAGUUAAUAGUCAUCAAUUUUGAAUAAUCUUCUGUUGUAUACUCAAUUGUUGGUUUCCUCACAUUUGUUCCAACAUUGUUUACCUAAGUUCAUUAAGAUUAUGAAAUGAGCACAAUUUAGUAUGAGCUGAAGUCAUGCGUGACAGUAAGGAAGUCUAGCAAUUUUUUUAAGCAUAUCCACUUUCAAGUUAAAAUGUGUGUGACAUGACAUGGAACAUGGUGCAGCAAAACACAGCACAAAUUUAGAAACACCGUUAGAAUCAUAAUGCAUUAGAUUGAUCAACAAUACACUCAAAAUGUGAAAUUACGAACUGACAAGGUUUGGGUAAUUCAACUCAUUUGAACCUAAUGAUAAAGAGUUGGAGAUCCUGGAUUCAAACUCGAAUAAAAGACUAAAUACUAAUCUAACAAUUAAGUACCAACAUUUGUCAAUAAAAAAAAUCUAAUAUAAAAUAAUGAGACUAGGAGAGUACGAUUGGAUAAAUAGUUUUACAAAUUGUUUUGGAAAAUAAAUGCUAAAAUAAUAUUUUAAUGAUUAAGAGUCUUUUUAUUUUUUUAUCAAGUAGCUAUUAGGCUAGAAAUUCACCUCUCAAGUGAAUAAGUGGAAAUCCGGGAUUAAAACUCAGGUAUAUGCAUAUAUAAUGCAAUGUUUCAAACAAUUGAGCUCAUGACACAAUUAAGAGUCUUCUAAAUGACGUGUUUACGCAUAUGACUGGACGUGUAUGAAAACAUAUUUUGAAACAAAAAUUUCCACUAAAUUUUCAACAAUCAUCUAUAAAUUUAUGAAGAGAAAAGUUAAAAAAAGAAUAUAUGUAUUGUAUGAGUCAGUUUCAUGAAUUAAAGGUUUAAAUAUGUAAAUCGUCUCUUUAAGUUCGCGUGUUUUUGGUUUUCGUCCUUGUAUCUUUUUUUGUUCUAAAACACACCCUGUAAGUUAUAAACAUUUUGCUUUUGGUCCCUGCCGUCAGCAUCUGUUACAAAAAUGCUUAUGUGUCUGACGGCAGCUGACAUGACGAUGUGUGACAUGGCAAGUGAGGCUUAUGUGUCAUUCCAAAUGUCCAGUGGCAAGGUUAUAGGGACUAAAUCCAAAAACGAAAACUUACAGAGGGAUGAAAUUCAAAAAAACGACUUAGCAAAACUUUAAAUUAAAAACUUUGUUUUCCUUUCUUCACCUUCUUCCUUCCUAUCUUCAUCAUCUUCAAUCUCACCUUCAUCAACAUUUAUCAAUCUUCAUCAUCUUCAAUCUCACCUUCAUCAACAUUUAUCAAUCUUCAUCAAACCCAGAAAACAUAAAUUAAACAUUCAAAUUCUUUAAUCAAAAUCUCAUUUUUCAUUUCCUCUUAUUAAACUCUUCUUUUAAACUCUUUGUUUUAAACAUAUUCUUUCUUAAUUCUCAAUUCUCCCCCUUCUUUCAAUUCCAUAUUCGAGACAUAACAUAAUUAAACAAAAGAAGGAAAAAAAACUUCAAUGAAGAAAAAUAUAUAUGAAGGAUGUUGAGAAGAAACCCAAAACCCAAAUCUUCUUCUUAUAAUUCCAAUUUUAAUUUCGUCAAUGUGGACUAGAAUAUAAGCUUAGAUAAAACAAACCUACGAAUAUGAUAGGAUUUUUUAUGGCUGGAAGAACGUUGCAAUGUUUCAAAUUAGCAUCUUUUGGAAAACUGGGCCUCUGAAAUUUGCUAGAAAAAAUGUGUUGCUCGAAAGAAAAAAAUGCAAUUGGUGUGUGGUUUAAUGUAAAAUUUUGAAGGUUAAUUUAAUUCAAGUUAUGUGUUGUUGUUGUUUGAAGAUUUAUGGGUACAAUUAAUUUUCGGUGAUUAUGAAUCGAUAGAAGGAAAUAGAAAAAGAACCAAAACAAGGAUCCUUAAAGUGUUUAUUAUACUAUAUAGUAUAUCUAAAGAAAAGAGAUGCAAUUUGGGUGUAGAUGUGGAGAUUUUAGGGUUUGAGUAUGAUUUAAAUUAGGAAUUGGGAAUACAUUGAAUCUGGUGAAUGAGAAGAUUUUGAUGGAAAUAGAAAAUAAGAUUUUGAUUAAAGAGUUUGAAUGUAUAAUUUAUGUUUUAUGGGUUUGAUGAAGAUUGAUGAAUGUUGAUGAAGGUGAGGUUGAAGAUGAUGAAGAAGAGGAAGGAAGAAGAUGAAGAAAGAAACACAAGAUUUUUAAUUUAAAAUUUUGUUAUUCCUGUUUUUGAAUUUCGUCCCUUUGUAAAUUUGCGUUUUUGGAUUUGGUCCCUGUAACUUUGCCAUUUGACAUCUGGAACGACACAUAAGCCUUGUUUGCCACAUCACACGUUGCCACGUCAGCUGUCGUUAGACACAUAAGCGUUUUUGUAACAAAUGAUGACGUUAGGGACCAAAAGCAUAAGGCUUAUAACUUACAUGAUCUGUUUUAGAACAAAAAAAGAUACAGGACGAAAACCAAAAACACGCGAACUUAAAGGAGUGAUUUACAUAUUUAAGCCUGAAUUAAAAGCUGAUUUAGACUAAUUUCAACAUCAACAUAACAUAGAAAUGCAAAACAAAAUAUAUAGAAAAGAAAAAACUCACAAGAAUGUUGAGCUUGCCGUUGAAAGCAGAAGCCACUUUUCUAACAAGCUCUUCUCUUUGAGAAGAAGAAGUCACAUCACAAACUGAUCCAUAAACAGAAAAACCUUUCUCCUUCCACUCAUUUAAGCAUUUAUUCAAUUCUUCUUCAUUCCUAGAACAAGUGUACACUAUAGCACCAAACUCAGCAAGUUCCUCUACGAUAGCAUGACCGAUCCCACGAGUUCCGCCGGUGACAAGAGCUGUGAAUCCCUUGAGGGACCAUCUUGAGCUUCUGCUUCUGCUACUGUUCUCUUGCUUUGCCAUUAUUGUUUUUGUUACCUUAUCUUGCUAACACUGAGAACGUGUAUGUGUUUUGUGGUUAUUUUAUAUAUCAAAUGAUUGAAGAUUAUUUAUAUUUGAAAAUUUUGUACAGUGUACUAUAUUUUUGGAAUAUUGUUUAUAAGUUGUCAAUGACUUCUGAGUAUACAACAACCAUUAUUGGUUGAAGUGUGUUCUAAUCUUAUACAAUAUGAAAAUCUUUAAAAUUUGAAUGUAGGAAAAAGUUGUAUUCCUAUUAUAAAUACAUAUGAACAAUAACAACAUAAAAUUUGAUAUCUCUUGCUAAACAUGAGAUAAGUUUUUUUUUUUUUUUUUUGACGGAAUGAGAUAAGUUAAAAAACUAAUAUUUACAUAAAUGUGUUACUCUGUAUAUAUACUAGUGUGUGACCCGUGACGUUGCACGGGCCGAUUAUUCGUUGGGAAUAUCAACAAUUAAUCGCUUAUCAUCGCAAAUUGAAAAUGAAACAAAAUAUCAAAUUUGUACACAACACUCGUCCGCAUUGAUUUAAUUUUUAAUGUUUUAAUUCAAAAUAAAUGAUAGAUGCAAACGUCAAUACGCAAUAGAGGAAAAAUCAAUAAGUUUUCAAUCAUUGACCAUUCACGAUCAAGGAUACUACGCAUACAGUGACACGAAUAUUACGUGUGAUGAUAGUUGGUUACUUAAUUACUAUCACAUAAAUGAAAAAAAAAAAUAUCAAAGUUAGUUACCUAUUAUGAAAAUAUAUCGAAACAAAUACGCUUAUGCAACAAUGUAUUAUUACGUACAAAUAAAUUAUUUAUUACAUUAUCGAGAAGUCCUAGCUCAAUUGGCAAAAAUAUCGAAAUUGUUAGGCUGGAUGUCAUGACCGGGGUUCGAACCCCGUUACCUCCACUUGUGUGUGAGAGUUUAUAAUGGCUUUGCCAUUUCGUCUAUCUACAAAAAAAAAAAAAAAAUUAUUAUAUUGAUGACCAGAAUAAUAUAUUCAUAUUUCCAUAUUGUAAAUGAUUGGCCACAACUACCGGAAUAUUUUACAAAAAACAAACAAAAAAACUACCACGACCAACAUUUGUCAACAAUCAUAAACCGGUCUAAUCUCUGAUGUAACAUUUUUUUUUAUUACCAUAAUAAACUUUUAAAGAUUAUUAAUACACACGUUUCUAAAAACGCAAACUAUUGCAGACCAAACAAUAUCACCACAACGGAAGAAAUACAAACAAAUCACAUUCACCUUCAAUUCCGCAAUCGAAAUCCAAGACAUAAAAAAAUAAAUAACGUACAAAGCAGUUAAAAAAGAGGACUACAUUAAUAUGUUAAGAAUAAACUAUUGCUCUGUACUGUCGGGUACCACAUAAAUUUUAGAAUAAGCGGUUAAAAUAAAGUAUUACAUUAGAAAGUUCUUGCAUAAAUUUGAUAGCGUCUAUCAUAUUUGCAAUGUUCGCACAGAUUAAUUUGAUAUGUCACUAUUCAAUAUACCUUUUUCAAUACAUAACCGUUUUAGGUGAAAUCCAAACUUUGCUUGUUAAGGUUGCAGAGUCAAGCUCUAACUAUUAAGCUGACAUCUCCCAAACAUAUCAGCAAGAGAAUGACUACGGUUCAGUCACUUACAACCUUAGAAAGUUUGAGGUCUAUUCUUGGGCCUAACUUGAUAUUUAACGAAGAAAUGUAAAGAAAAAAUUGUAACGGAUUCACCAUAAAAUCGAAAAAAAAUAAUAUAAAAGUGCAAUUUUAGGAGUCACAAAAAGACAGUUAUAUGUAUUUAAUUCUUAGUGUUCCUUCAAAAAAAAAAAUGUUUUAACUGAUUUUUAACAAAACGCUGAUCCCACUUAGUGGGAUAAGAUUUAGUUGUUGUUGUUGAACUGAUUGAUUUUUAACAAAAUCGAAGCAUAAUCCAUAUGAAUUCUCGAUUAAGAAGUUGAAAGAUAAAAUGGAACAUGCCGAGAUUUAAGGUUUAGUUUACGGGAACUUCUAUGGUGUUACUCUGUAUAUAUAUUAAAUGUGUUACUCUGUAUAUAUAUUAAAUAGUUAGACUUAAACCAUCCUAAAAAAAAAAAAGUUAAACUUACAUGGAUAUUUGUCAUCUUAUUUUGGCUAAUUGAUGAUUUUGGUUGGAAUGUUGGUUUAUUUAGAAGUCUAGAUAAUGUGAUUAUAGUAAUAUUGAUGGUCGUUCGAUUGGUAACCAUGGUAGAUCAAGCUUUGAGAGUUUUAUCGGGAACUCGGUUGGUGGUUGGAUCACUCGUUUUGUGGGGAGCUGUGAUCAUACUACUAAUAUUAAUGUCGAGUUGCAUGUUGUUUCGUAUGAGAUGCAAAUCACUUGAACCAUAGAUUUAGAAACAUCAUUUGCGAGUCAAAUUGUCAGACAAUAUUAACUUUUAUCAAGGACGGGUCAGGUCCGGUCUUACCUACUAAUCACUAUGCUCCUCUUAUUUAUAACAUCUAUUCUUCUAAUAUUGAAAAAUUAAUAAAAAUCUUAUAUAAUGAGAACCAAAAGUUAUUAGUGGGAAAAAGAGAUAAUGGGCAAAGACUAUGUUGUUUAGUUGCUGUCCAAAAGUUAUCUUGAGCUUGCAAUAUCUGUCCCCUUUUAUUUCUUUAACCCAAUAGAAUUCCUUUGUUCUGUGCCAAAUAAUAAAAUAAAAAUGAAAAUUGGGCUUCAUCCAUAAGAAUAGAACAUUUUUAGAAUUUGCAAUUGAUAUGAAAUGGUGCCUUUUCCCUAUAUUCCUUCCUAGAUAAGUCAUAGUUCAUAAAUAUAAUCAGUACUAACAUUUAGAAAACAAUGAUAAAUGGUAAAAUGAGAACCAGGCCCUUGUUUUUGACAGAUCCUCUAACUAGAAUUUGAUGAAAUGCCAUUGUGUUAUUUAAACAACCCAGAAAAUCCAUUUACGGUAAAUCCUCCGUCAACGGAAACAGUUUGUCCAGUGAUGUAGGAAGCAGCUGGCAGGCAAAGGAAAGUCACCAAGGCAGACACUUCAUGUGUUUCUGCUAUCCGUUUUAUCGGUGUUCGAGAUAAUACUUCAUCCACAAACUCUUUGUUAGCAAUAAACUGUAAGAAAGGUAAAGAAUUAUUAGCAACAUAAGUUAUGUACAUAACAUUGCCAUUUGGAUUAAUAGCUACAGAUGAUCACAGUGACAGUACAGUUACAGAUAUGUUUUUGAUUCAUCAACACUUAAAAGAGUUAGACUACUAAAACAUGAUUUUGGUCGCAUGAAUCAGAUUAACAUCAGAUGAGCCACAAUUGUGUGCCGUAUACAUAUGUGAAUCAGAGUAAUAUCAUAAGAGUAUCAAUGAAAUCACAAUGUAGCAAAAUAUAUAAAACUCUAUAUGAGCCAUCCAAAUAUGCAAGCAAUUUUGAUUUUCCUAUUCAAUAAUCUAAAGAAUUAUAGAAACUCAAAAGACUAAUAGACAUAUACUUCUACCUUAAAUUCUUAAUACUCCUACACUUUUAAUGAUCCUUAAAAAGGAGUAUGAUAUGAAAAAACAUCAAAAGCACGGAGUAUUUACGAUGAACACAAAAAUAGCAAAAUAGAAGAAUACUAUAUGCUCAUCAAACAAUGACUGAUCAGUCACUGUUUUUUCAAAUGAAAUCAUCACUGCAAACUUAACCAAUCUUCAUAUAGAAAAAGUGAUAAGGCCAGAGAAUGGAUAACUAAAGGUGUAAAAAGAGCAUUACCUGUUCCACAAGCGAUGUUUUUGUAUACCACGGUGCAACACAGUUGCUCCUUAUAUUGUCUUUUGCCCAUUCACAAGCAAGAUUCUUUGUUAGCUGAUUGAUCGCGGCUGAAGAAAGCAGCACGGUGAAUCUCUUCAGUAAAUGCCUUUCAAAUAGUCUGUAUCCAUUAAGUUUAAGCAAAAGAUGACAUAAUGAUACAUUAAGUUACCUUUACUCACUGCAUAGAUGCUUCCAGUACCUACACUUAUUAGAGAUGCAACAGAGGAAAUGAACACAAUGCUUCCAUUUCCAGAUUCUUUAAGAAGAGGAUAUGCUAGUUGACAUAGAUGGUAUGCAGAAUCCAAGUUAGUAGUCAUCACUUUUGAAUAAUCUUCGGCUGUAUACUCAAUUGUUGGCUUCCUCACAUUUGUACCAGCAUUGUUUACCUAAUAGCUCACAAGAUUAUGAUAUGAACAUAACUUUUAUUAUAAGCUGAAGUCAUGCAUACCAGAAACAAGACGAAAAGGUGAACAUUUCUGAGUAUAUUUGGAGCAUUCAUAAGAAAGUCUUAACUGACCAAAGUGCAUCAAAAGAUUGCAAUUUUUGUUAAGUAGGUAAUGUAACCACUUGAAAAUCAAGUGCGUGUAAGAUUGGCGAUGGACCAAUGCUCAAGGCCCUCGCUAGGUGGAGUAAGCAGGCUUAUGACAACUUUAGCAUAGUGACAAGCCCUCACUCAAAGCCUAAAGCGACACUCAUUUUGAAACGGAGGGAGUACUAUUUUUUUAUCACUAGGAAAAAAUCAUAAAACAUGUUGCAGCAAUACACAGAAUGAUGAAACACCGUUAGAGUUAUAAUGCAUUAGAUCGAUCUCCAAUACACUCAAAAAGUGAACUGAUAUUCCAACAUCAAACAACGAGGCUAUAAGAGUAAGUUUGGAUAUAUACUUAACAAAUUCUUAUAAAAAGCGAACGUUAAAAUAACCUUUAAGACAAAUGUACAAAUUAAAUAAUAAAUAAUGUAUUCUGUUGUGCAGGUUGAAAUUAAUUCUGACAUUUCAAUUUUUCGGAAAUUUUUCCAACUAAGUUUCCUACAAGCAUCAACGAAUUGAUUAAAAAAGGUUAAAAACUGAAUAUUUGUAUUAUAUGAGUAAUUUUCAUGAAUUCAAAGACUACAUUUAUGCAAAAUUCAACAUCAACAUAAUAUACAAAUGCAAAACAAAAUAUAUAGAAAAAGAAAAACUCACAAGUAUGUUGAGCUUGCCGUUGAAAGCAGAAGCAACUUGUCGAAUAAGCUCCUCUCUUUGAGAAGGAGAAGAAGCAUCACAAACCGAUCCAUAGACAGAAAAACCCUUCUCUUUCCACUCAUUUAAGCAUUUAUUCAGCUCUUCUUCAUUCCUAGAGCAAGUGAACACUGUGGCACCAAACUCAGCUAGUUCCUCCACCACAGCAUGACCGAUUCCACGAGUUCCACCAGUAACUAGAGCAGUAGUUCCCUUGAGAGACCAUCUUGAGCCUCUCAUACUGCUCUCCUGGUUCUCCAUUGUUGUUUUUGUGAGUUCUCUUACACGGAGAACGUGUUUGUUUUGUUGUUGUGAACCGGAUAUCCUUUGCGCACAAUUGCAGUGACUAAUCCCUCGAGUUGGGUGGGACUGCGAGGAGUGGUGAAACUCUCUCUCAAGAAAUUUAACACUGUAUUCGCAUGGCUGAAUUUGAAUCAAGGAUUUCUGGUUAAACUGAAAGAGAUCGUUUAUCAUCUCAUGCAAGUGUUCAUAUGCCAAACAACCUCGUUUAUUUAUAUUUGAAAAAACUGUGCAGUGUGCUGACUGUGGCCAAAACCUGAUUUGGGGAGUCAAAAAACAUUAUAUUGAUCUCCACCACAUGGGCCCAUUGUGGGGGUAUCUUUAGUUAACAAGAAACAGAAUAAUGAAGCAAUUCAUGAAAAACAAAAGACAACAAUGAAGCAUAUUUUUUUGUUUUAUUAUUCUUGAAUGUGACUCACACAUUCACAAGUUACAUACUUCUGCUUUUGAUCAAAGAUGCCCCUGAACAAAGUGAAACAUUAUAUCAACUGAAAAACAAAUUUGAAACAGUUACCAUUGAAGAUGAUUCUACUAUUGAGCUGUUGAUCUUAACCCCCUUUCAUUAAUUUAUUAUGUGCCAAGAAUUCAAACAAAAUUUUAGACUGGAUACAAUAAGAAUGCAACAUCUUAAGAAUUUGCAAUUGACAUGAAAUGCUGCUUUUUUUGUCCCUCCAUUUAUUCCUUCCUAGAUGAAUCAUAGUAGAUGAACAUAAUCAGGAAAACCAUCCAGAAAAUAAAAUGAGAAAUAAUGAACUGAAAGCCAAACCCUAUAAACAGGAGGAUUUGGUGAAUACCUUUGUGCUGUGUAAACGAAGACAAUAAAAAUGAUAUUUUUAUUUUAGUUAAUCCUUAUGCUGGGAUGAAAUCCAUUUACAUUGAAUUUUCCAUCAACAGAAAUAGUUUGUCCAAUGAUGUGGGAAGCAGCUGGCAAGCAAAGGAAAGUCACCAAUUAAGAUACGUCAUCCGUUUCUGCUAUCCGUUGUAUCGGUGUUCUAGAUAAUACUUCAUUUACAGACUCUAAGUUAGCAAUCAACCGUAAUCGGAAGAUAAACUCUACAGGUGAUCACACUGACAUUACAGUAACAGAUAUGUUUUUGAUUAUUCAUCAGUGGUUAAAGAGUCAGCCUGUGUUAGCAGGAAAACCUCCAUACCAUACACAGACAGACACACCUACCAUCUACACAAACACAGCAGGCCAAAGAAAACAUCGUCGUGAAUCACUUUAGUAAACUCCUUUAAAAAAUAUCAUGUUUGAACAAAUGACAUAAAUGAUACAUUCAAGUUUACGUUUGCACGCAGCAUAUAUGGUUCCAGAACCUAUGCUUGUUAGAGAUGCAACGGAGGAAUUGAAUACAAUGCUUCUUGCAUUUCCAGAUUCUUUAAGAAGAGGAUAUGUCAGUUGGCAUAGAUGGUAUGCAGAAUCCAAGUUAGUAAUCAUCACUUUUGAGUAAUCUUCGGUUCUUUACUCACUUGUUGGCUUCCUCACAUUUGUGUCAGCGGCUCACAAAAUUAUAAUAUGCACAGUCGAACACAGUUCAGUAUAAGCUGAAGUCAUGCAUAACCGAAACAAGUCUAGCGCAUUAACAAAAAGAACAAUAAAAAGAAACAAUUUCUAAUUUUAUGAUUGUUAAAUACAAAUAGCUAAUUAGUAAUAUAUAUAGAUCCUGAUUUCAGUUGUUAAGUACAUUUUGAUGAUAUUAAUGCUGCCCUUCUGAGUGCAUUUGAGGCAUAAAUAAGAUAUUCCCGAUUGGCCAAAGUAUAUUGGCUUCAAAUUUGUGGUUUGGAAGAACAGAGAAAUCGUGACACGAUUUCAUCAACGUGUCACAAUUUUCAGGUAGUGAGCAUGGUUUGCAGGGUGUUCAAUCGUGUCACGAUUUUGAGAAAACGUGACACAAUUUUCAAACUUGCUGGGUACGUUUUUCAGGAUAAGAUUGGUCUUACCUUGGGUCGUACGCACCAAUCGUGUCACGAUUUGGAAAAACGUGACACGAUUUUGACAGCUGAAGACUGCUAUAUAAGUGUUCUUGUGCAGAUUUUGAAGGAGAGCUUGAAGAGACAGAAACUUGGAUUACAAAGGAGGUAACUUUAGAGUUGAGUGUCGAUGAUCUUUUGGGUUGGGAAACAUUGUAAACACCUUGGGGAGUGAGAUUUCAUCAUUGGAAUGAUCAAAUAGCUUCCUUUUGUGUUUUCUCUUAGGAUUCAUUAUUGAGAGUGUGGGUGACACAAGAUGGGUAGAAAUUAGGUCUUGCUCUUGUGUAAGCUUAUAAGCUAAUUUCUUGUAACUCUUUUGUAACAAUUUCAUCAUAGUGGAUUGGAGGGCUGCUCUCUCCCCCAGAUUAGGUCAUAUUGGACCGAACUGGGUCAACAAUCUUUUGGUGUGUUUGUUCCUUUCUUUCAUUGCUUAUCUUUGUGCUUUGAUUAUGCUUAUGGUGUUGCUCUAAACUUAGAUCUAGGUCUGUUUUUGUUGUUGUUGCUUGGAGACACUUUACACAUUGAUUACCACUUCCUUUGCUCCACACAUCUUUGUUAUUCAUUGGUGUGAUUUUUACCGGAAUUCACAACACAAAUUUUUAAUUUUCUAAGCAUUUAACAAUAUUUGCAAGUCAGGUGCAUGUAAAUGGAAGUUUUUGUUGGUUGUACGCUGCAUGAACACGCAUGCACACACGCCCGCUCAUUUUUACAUUAUCAUCUCACUUUUUUAUAAUGGCAAAUAUGUCAUUUACUAAAUAUGUAUCUUUCCUUCUUCUAACUAUCUAUUCACUUUCUCUCCUACCAAAAAACCACCUCACUUUCUUCAAACUUUCAUUCCUCUUUCUUUCUUUCUUUCUUUUCUCAUCCAAACAAAGCACUAAGAUUUUGAGAGCUAUGUGCAAAGUAUAAACUUCUUUUUUUUUUUUGAACAAACAAAGUAUAAACUUCUUAUCCUAGUUUUUUUUCUCUAAGUCUUGACGCACAUGCACACUUCACUUUUUUUUAUAUCAAAUAAUCCAACUCUUUGUUUUUAGGGAUCCAACUCAUUAUUUAUUAUUCCCUCCAUCUCAUUUUAAUUGUCACUUUAGCAUUUUUUCUAUAUAUGUCUCAAAAUAAUUGUCACUUUAGAAUAUCAAUGCAACAUUUAUUAUUAUUUUUUGUUAAUAAUAUACCCCUCUUUAUUGAAUUUCACUUCACUUAACUACAAUUAGUAAGACAAUUAUAAUGAGACAGAGUAUUAAUAAACUUUAUUUGAUGCAUGCAUGCAUACAUUAUAUCAUAUCACUUCUCACUGGCCAUAUUAUGUAUGUGCCAAAAGUAUUUGAAGGAUUAGUAAAAAAUUUGUAAGAUGCUCCAUUUUUGGUCGUAGUAGAGUCAUAUUACCGACUUAUCCUUCCGGGAUAGAGAGUAUGCAUUGUACGAUAGCUAAGUGUUAAGCGGGCCAAUUGCAUUGAUUUAUUUCUCCACCUUGUUUUCUCUCAAGUACUCCAUCCGUUUUAAAAUAACUGCUUCUUUAAUAUUUUUUUCCUGUCUCAACAUAAUUGUCAUUUUAGAAUAUCAAUACAACAUUUAUUAUUUUUUUCACUAUUAUAAUCUUAUUUAUUGAAUUUCAUCUAACUUAAUUGCUCCAUUAACUACAAUUAAUAAUGGUGUUUUAGUAAAUGAUAUUAAUUUUAUCAUUAAAAUCAACAUAAUUAAUUAUUUCUUUAAUAACAAUGCACAAACCUUAAAAUACUAAUAUUGUAGUAUAUGCAAGAUUACUACCAUAUACUGUUCUAUUGGAAAAAGUUUUCUUAUAAGUUUGUGUAUAGUUUGACAAUUUGGGUUCAUUUAAGCAAAACAUCUAGUUUUAUGUUGUUCUUAACAUUCAGAGCACGGUUAAAAUAACAUAGGGGUCUUGUGAAAAGUGAUGAACAUGUGCCAUGAUCUCUCCAUCUAAGAGUAUCAUGUUUAUAAGGAGGUUUUCAAAAAUUAACUUAACAAAAGGUGGGUGGCCAUUGUAUGAAUUACCAUUGUUUGACAAAAGCAACAGUGAAAAAUGAUCAUGAAAUAUUGCAAAGCAAACAUGAAACAACAUUGUGUAUGUUAUGGAGAUAUAUAACUCAAGUUGCUCCUUGGAAAAACUGAAAAGAAUGCAAUUGUGCUUAGAUUUAAAUAAGCAUGAACAAUCAAAGCAUACAUUCACAGAGAUAAUUCACAAUGAUAUGAAGAAUUUUUUGUACCAAUAUCAUUGACCGAGUUACAAAGCUUGACUUUAGUGUCCUAGAGGAAACAUUGAAAGGUGGGAUCAAUUUUACUAUUCUAGGUCUUGAGUUUCUGAUUUACUUGGACCUAAGCUACAAUGAUUUUAAUUCACCAAGUAUUCUGCCAAAUCUAUACAACUUCAUGCCUCUAACCUUCAAUAUUUGGACUUAUUUUCAAAUAUUCAUACUGAUAAUUUAUAUAGUAAAAUCUCAACCUUAGCAAUAUUGAUUUUCACAAAGAGCCCAAUUGUCUUUAUUUGGUUUCUAUGAUUCCUAAUUUUUCGGUGCUACACUUCCGUCUUUGUAAAUUAAACAUCAUCUACCGAGGGUGUUCAUAAGAUUUUGAGUAUCAUAUGCAAAGUAUGAAUUUAUUAUCCUUUUUUCCUGUAAGUGAUCACGCACGCACGCGAACACAAAACUAUGUGUGUGAUUUAAGAAUUUUACUACUUCGCUAAAAAGAAUAUAUAUAUAUAUAUAUAAUCUUAUUGUGCAUGGAGAGGAGUCAACUAUGACGACAUCACUAAUAGAGUUACAAAGCUUGAUUUUAGUAUCCACAAGGAAACCGAGAGGUGAGAUCGAUUUUUACAUUCUAGUACUUGAGUUUCUAAACUACUUUGAUCUAAGGCUACAAUGAUUUUAAUUCACAAAUAUUCCACCAAUUCUACACAACUUCUAACAUGCCUCUAACCUUGAAUAUUUGGACUUAUCCUCAAACAAUCUUUGUAUCGAUAUAUUGGCUUUCUAACAUUUCUUCCAUCAAAUAUCUCGAGCUUAGUAACAUUGAUCUUUCUUCCAUUACACACGCACGCACGCACACACACAUUUCCACAUUACUAUCUCACUUUUUUUAUAAGGGCAAAUAUAUAAUUUACUAAAUACGUAUCUUUCUUUCCUCUAACUAUCUAUUAGUUUUCUCUCCUACAAAAAAAAAAAAAAAAACCAUCUCACUUUCUUCAAAUUUUCAUUCCUUCAAUAUUCAUUCCUCUUUAUAUCUUUAGUAUCAAGUAGUCAAAAGAGCAAAAUUUACCAACCAAAUCCAUUCUUAGAUAAUUUCACUGUAAGGAAGCAUGGGGAAGUACUUGACAGCUGAUGUGGCCUUCCAACCGCUACAACUUAAUUUGAUCAAUGGAGUUCGAAGGCUACACAAGCAUGAAAUAUCAAAUGUUAUAUAUAAAGUGUUCUAUUUUACAUAAUAUUCAUAUAAAUGUUAUUGAUAUUACUUGUAACUUCAAGAAUUUGGUCUGAGGUAUCAACAUCUUUUUCAAUCAAUGACCAUGAUCCAUGGGCAAAGGAAUCAAAAUUCAAGAAGCAGUUUUCUUUCUUGCUAUCAACCAAAAGGAGGCAACUUUUGAAAUGGGCAAAUCCUUUGUAUUAGGAACAUUUUUUGUUGGAUCUAAAGAUGAACAUAUAUCAUAGGAACUCAUGAUUUGUUUUUCAGUUAAUGACAGCUGCUCCUCUGCGUCAACUAACUCAGUGUAGUAUGGCAGCAAAGUGAAUUUCAUGUAUGUUGUCAUCGAUGGUUAUGAUCUUGCAAAAUUCCUUUUACGGUAAGAAUGCUAGGUUUUGAUUCAAUUUUCUGUGGUAGUAAUUGUUCAAUAACACGACUUUAUGCAUCUACAUCAUAAUCAGAUUAUUAAAUACGUUUGGAUCUUUAAAUUUAAUAUCAGAUAGAAACAGUUCGAAUAGUUUUUAUUUAAUCUUUGGAUUAGCUUACCUAAAAGGAAUUGCAAGUAGAUGUCAAAGUCAGAAAUUUAAAUUGGGUACCAUGAUUGAAGAAUAAUUUCUGUUUUGAUGUCUAUUAAUCCUUAGUAUUUUUUAUAUCAAAUCAUAUCUUUUUUUUAAAAAAAAAAUCAAAAGUGAAAUUUUUUAUCAAUUUGAAUGCCAUUAUUGACCAAUUCAUAACCAUCUCUGAGGGGAUUUAAAAAUUCUACUUGUAGCUAGCAACAAUAACUCAUACACUAAGCAAUCAAAAAAAGAAUAAAACCAUCUCUUUUGGUUUUUACUAAGAGAGGGAUAUAGCUAUGUUAUAAACAAAAUAUACUGGUCUUUCAACCCCUAUUUUCACAAGACCAAGGAUUACAUACAUAGACAUUGUAUACACAGUGAAUUCAAGUUCGGUUAUUCAUCCCAUGUAACUAUAUAAAUCAAGUUCUAAUUUUUAUAGACGGCUAUAGCAUUCUAUUUUUCGAAUUCUAUUGUUUGGUUUAAAAUAGUAAAGUCUUUGGAUUUCAAAUAAUAAAAUGCUUCAAAGUGAAUGAAAAAAAAACCUGUUUUGCAACUUUUUCGUGUUGUGAUGUUGGAACAUUGUCAUUGUAGGAAUCAUCCUCUCGCAACAAUGGAGAUACCAAAUACUCAAGGAAAGAUCCGAUUGCAUGAACAGUUGGACACCCUUUUGCUUUCCUCAAACAAGUUGGGCAUACUUCCAAGAAAUUUAUCUUUGAAUCUGAUGUGAAGAAGAAAACUGGUCAAAAAGAUAGCAAUGUCUUUUCGUGUUCUUUGGUUCUCUCAGAAAUAAUCUAUAUUGAUGAUAUAUUCUAGGUAUUUAUGUUUAGGCUGUUUGUUCAGUUCGAAAAAAACUCUAACACUAAAGGCAAGUAAUUACAACCAACAACACACUACAAUUAUUAUAAAAAUAACAAAAAAAAACCUAUAUCCAGGAAAAAAACCUAUGUGUCUUGGAGCAGGAGACGGGGGAGGAUACGUGGUUAUGCCCUCUAUGUCGGAAUAAUCACGCCCACCCCCCGAUGAAUAACAUGAAUACAUAUGCCACCUAAAUAAAACAAUUCUCUUAAACAAAACAUCUUACCAAUAUGAUUGAGGUCUUCCAACCGUUUUAUCGAAGAAAAUAAAAAACUUAGAAUAUGAUUGAGUUUUAUUAAAUACCCGUUUACCCUCAUCUAUUCUAAAACCAAUAAUAAAUUAGUGUAAAAAUUCUCCUAUGUUAGUGAGAAAUUCAGAAAACAUGCAUUUCACAAUAAGAAAUCCAGAAACAUGCAUUUGCAUUUCACAAGAGAAACUGUUACAUUAAUAUUAUACCGUAAUACAACACAGUGGAUGAAAUGUUUUCCAAAAACAAAAGUGGAUGAUGAUGGUGAUGGGAAGUUGCCUCCCAAAAAAACUCCUAACACUAAAUGCAAGUAAUUACAACCAACAACACACUACAAUUAUUAUAAAAAAUAACAACAAAAAAAAACCAAUGUCCAGGAAAAAAACCUACGUGUCUUGGUUUAUUUAUCAUCCUCUAAUUACAACCAAACUAACUUUGAAGGACUUUUAAAGGUGGAAUCAUUGUUUUAUUCUUUGAAACUGAAAGAAGAGAAACCUCUUUUUAUUUUUAUCUUUGUGUUGUACCUGUGUUAUUGUAGUUCCAAAUUUUAUUAUACUUGUGCACCACUCAUACUUGUAUUAGAGUCAACCAAUUAAUCAGUCUAACAAUUUUUUAACAAGCCAAAAAUAGAAGAAAAAAAAUCAAAAAAAGAUCAACAUUUGAGUCUCAACAAGCUAAUGAAGUGAAAAAUACACUGACACAACAAUUAGGUCAAUUCUUAAAAAAAGUGAUAUAUUUGAUAAUAUUGAAAAUGAAAAAAAAAAUAGAUAUGAAAACAUGGAGAGUGCAUUUAUAAUUCUUUGAUAUUUAGAUGCCUUCAAUUUUUCGCCAAAUUGUACAUAUAAUUUAUAUUUAUACUGGCUUUCUCAACUUUCUUCCAUAAUAAAAUAUCGACUUUAGUAAUAUUGAUUUUCACAAAGAACCAACUUGACUUAUGUUGGUUUCUAUGAUUCAUAUAAUUUGUGAGGGCUACACUUCCGUCUUUAUAAACUAGACACCAUCUACCGAGGACCGUCUAAAAGAGUGCCAUAUCUACAUGAGAAAUGAUAUAUGUACAUUAUGAACUUAUUGUCCUUUUUUCCUGUAGUGGUCACGCACGCACGCGCACACAAAACUUAAUAGGCCAACUUAAUACUUUUCACUUCAUCAAUAGACUUCAAAUAGGAAGUGUUAAGAAAACUAAAUUGAAAUUAUAUUGGGUUAGCAUGGUGGUAUUGACUCGAGACUUGGGACUUGGGAGUGUGCUCCUCCUCAAUGUUUCAGGUUCGAUUCUCUCCGUGCCAAUUUGGAUGGGCUAGUUUAGCUUCUUAAAAAACAAAUGAAAUUAGAAAAUUGCUUUUUUGACAAAUGAAAGUUCCUAUUGACACAAGUAAAAUACAUAAAUACCCCCAGCGGUAGUUAACUACCGUUAUCCAAAGCGUCGGCAGAUAACUGCCGCUGGAAGCUAGCAGUUGUUAACAAACGCUACGUUCUGCGAAUAAACAAGAACAUAACCCUCAUUUUUCCAUUUUCCAGAUUUCUCAACUUCCAAAUUUCUCCAAACUUGUACUUCACGAAUUUGCGCCAAAUUUCAUCAAUUAAUUCACAAGUAAGUUCUUUCCUUCCUAUUUACAUGCAGUGUAGUUUGUUUAGGGUGUUAGUUUUCAUAAUUUUGAGUCAAAUGUUAGUUUUAGGUUAGGUUAGAAAAUUGAAAAUUAAGCUUGAUUUAGAUGUUUUAAAGUAUUAUUUAUGCUGAAUUGUUGUUGUUUAGUGUAAAUGUAGGUACAAUGUAGCCCUUUAGAUGUUCAAAUAACACUAGCUGUGCUCCUAAUUUAGAGUGCACAUAAGGUGUUUGAUGAAAUGCCUAAGUGAGAAAAUGUUGCUUUUUUGUGUAAUUUUUUUUCAAAUAUGUUCAAUUUUAUAAUGUAUAUAUGCUGUAAUUAUUAUAGACUUGGAUUUAUAAAUUUUUUGGCAAGUUUGAUGAAUGACAUAAUAUGGUAUAUUACAUAAAGUUUGAUGAAUGUGUUAUAUUAAAUUUUAUUUAUCAUAUAUGCUUAAGUUUAAUUUGUGAUAAUGUAAGGGUUAGAACAUUGCUCCAUAAAUUUGGCAUAAUGAUAACCAUAGUGUGAUAAGUGGCUAAUUUCAUGGAGUACAAACUUUGCAGACUCAAAAAAGUUAGACAUCUAUCAUUCAAACAUGGCUUGAGGAGGACAGGCAGUGAAGAAGGAAUAGAAGCUGUCUUUGGUCUUUUUUAAGUUAUGCCUUUGUCUCCACAUGAAUCACCAGUUUGCAAUUUUUUUGCUAAACAUUGAAUUCUUUGUUCUGUUUCAAGAAUUCAAACAAAAUUUUAGUCUUGAUCCAAUAAGAACGGAACAUUUUAAGAAUUUGCAAUUGACAUGACAUGGUGCCUUUUUCAUUUGUUCCUUCCAAGAGUAGUCAUAGUAAAUGAACAUCAUCAGGAAUACUAUUCAGAAAACAAAAUGAUAUAUGACAAACUGAAAGCCAGAUCCUAUUAAACCAAAACUUGACGAAUAGCAUUAUUGUGUUGAAAAUAAACAAAUCACAUCCAGUGCAUUAGGUAAUCCUCAUGCUGGGUUGAAACCCAUUCACAGUAAAUCCUCCAUCAACAGAAACAAUCUGGCCAGUGAUGUAGGAAGCAGCUGGCAGGCAAAGGAAAGUCACCAAGGAAGACACUUCAUGUGUUUCUGCUAUACGCUUUAUUGGUGUUCGAGAUAGUACUUGAUUCACAAACUCUUCGUUAGCAAUUAGCUGUAAGAAAGACAAAUUAGCAACACAAGUUAUGAACAAAACAUUGCCAUUAAUAGAUUAAUACUACAGAUGAGCACACUAACAUUACAGUCACAUAUAUGUUUUGAAUCAUCAGCACUUAAUGAAUUAGCCUAUGAUAGCAGAAAACCCUCCAUACACAGAUAAACAAACCACCUACACAAACACAGCAGGUACAACACACUACACUAGAGCAUGUGCAGAUCCAAGAAAGAUGUUACAGAGCCAAACCUAUGUGUCAUAACAAAUAGGUCCAUAUUUUCCAUGUUGCUGCCCUCAAAGCCAGUUCAUUUCUUAUUCAUAUGUAUUAAUUUCUAUGUAGUCAAUCCCGGAUAGCGGCCGACCCCAAAAGUGGGAUAGCGGGUAGCGGGAUCGCCGGGAUUGAUCAACUUUUGGACAAAUUACAUGAAUGAGGUAAAGUAUAAAAAACCAUAUAUUUGAUAUAAAAUUAAACAAAUAACUCAAAACUCAUGGAACACUCAUAAAUCAAAAACAUUCACAAGUCUUAAUCAAAACAUUACAUCCAAUUCCAAACUCCAACACAAGUCAAGGAUUGGCCGGGAUCCUCUCCGUUGCGAUUUUCCUCUGGGCUGCUCCACUCCUAUGGAUCGCGCCAGGAUUGGCUGGGAUUGACUACCCAGAUUAUUUUAAGAAGUAUAUUCUAAAACAUGAUUUCGGUAUCUUCGCAUACGUGAAUCAAAGAGACGUGACAUUGGAUGAGCCACAAUUGUGUGUCAUAUACAUACGUGAAUCAAACAGAAGGCAGCAGGUAGAUAUUAUUUUUGAAAAAAAUUAUGGAGAAGAAAAGCUAUCAGAUCAUUAAAAAGUUGUCAUUUACGUCACCCUGUAUGCAAUACUAAAUGAAUUAUAUAAUGCAAGUAUUCACCAGUGUUAUCAAAUGGCUACCAUGGCAGAAUGACUUGUCUGAAUUUUUUGACAACCACCAUAGACAAUGGCGCAUUUCUAUGGUGUAUUUUAGUCUUCUGCCAUAUUUCACCAUGGACAACACUGGUAAUCACCGAGAAUAAAGCAACAACCAAUUUAUUAUCUUUGGUUCUAACAGACAAAUGGUGCUUUGCUAAGUGCAUAUACAGACACUUUGCCUGUUGAUACCUUAAAGUUUCUGAUUAUCAAAUGAUCUUGAUGGUAGUAAUUACGCUGAUUGAAAACAAAACACCAAAACAUACAUUUUCCCGUCAAUAUGGAAAAUCAUUAGACUUGUGAUAAGGGCACCACUACCAAUGAAAUCAGAAUGUAGCAAAAUAUGAGUCAUCCCAAAUAUGCAAGCAAUUUUGAUUUCCCUAUUCAAUAAUCCAAAGAGUUAUCGACACUCAGAGACUAUAGACAUGCAGUACUGAGUUCUAUCUUAAAUUCUUCCUAAUCCUACACUACCAAAUGAUCCUCAAAAUGGAGUAUCAAUGUAAAAACAUCAAAACACAGGUCAUUAUUUACUAUAAAGAACCCAAUAACAAAAUAGAAGAAUACCAUACCAUACACCUCCGAUUAAACAAUGACCAAUCAGUCAUUUCAUACAAAUCAAAUGAUCAUUACAAAUUCAAACAAUCUUCAUAAAAAAAAAAUGACAAAGCCACAGAAUGAAUAAUUGAAGGUGUGAAAGAGCAUUACAUGUUCCACAAGUGGUGUUUUUGUAUACCAGGGUGCGACACAGUUGCUCCUUAUGUUGUCUUUCGCCCAUUCACAAGCAAGACUUUUUGUCAGCUGAUUGAUUGCAGCUGAAGAAAACAACACAAUAAAUCUUUUAGUUUGUAUCCAUUAUAUUUCAACAAAAGGUUAAAGAUAACAUAAUGCUUCCAUUUCCAAAUUACCUUUACUCGCUGCAUAGAUGCUUCCAGUACCUACGCUUGUCAGAGACCCAACAGAGGAAAUGAAAACAAUGCUUCCAUUUCCAGAUUCUUUAAGAAGAGGAUAUGUCAGUUGGCAUAGAUGAUAUGCAGAAUCCAAGUUAGUAGUCAUCACUUUCGAAUAAUCUUCGGCCGUAUACUCGAUUGUUGGCUUCCUCACAUUUGUUCCAGCAUUGUUCACCUAAACUCACAAGAACAUCAUAUCAACAUAUGAGAUGAAGUCAUAACAUAGCACCGACACUUCUGAUCGAAGAGAUAUCCAAUGUAGGACACAGACACAUGUGAUUACAUUCAUUUUCUUAAAUUCAGCAUCAAUUAUAUAGAAAUGCAAAACAAAAUAUAUAGAAAAGGAAAAACUCACAAAUAUGUUGAGUUUGCCAUUGAAAGAAGAAGCCACAUUUUGAAUAAGCUCCUCUCUUUGAGAAGAAGAAGAUGCAUCACAAACAGAUCCAUAAACAGAAAAACCUUUCUCUUUCCACUCAUUUAAGCGUUUAUUCAGCUCCUCUUGGUUCCUAGAACAAGUGUAGACUGUGGCACCAAACUCAGCGAGUUCUUCCACGAUAGCAUGUCCGAUUCCACGUGUUCCGCCGGUGACGAGAGCAGUGAAUCCCUUGAGGGACCAUCUUGAGCUUCUGCUACUGCUCUCUGCGUUCGCCAUUCUUGUUUUUGUGACCUCUUCGAUAAUUUUAUCCAAGAACCAACGACGUCGUUUAGUUUGAAAUUUCUUUCCGUGUGUUUUACCAAAUUUGCUGAGCGAGAUCUGGGCCUAACAAUAUUACACUCGACUGUGCUUUUCUAGCCCCCCCAAUUUCUCCCAGACCCCCCCAAGUUUUAUUGUUUGAUUCAUGUUUUAUAUUUUGUUUUAUGAUAUAUACGUAGAUAUGGUUGAACCCCUCAUUGUUCCAAAAAUGGAUCCAGAGGUCUAUUCCAUUGAUAAGUGUGAAAUAUUGUCCCUAAAAGAAGUAUGAAGAUCGAAAAGAGAUUAUUAAUUUGGUUCAUUGUCAAGCAAGAAAUGCAUGAUUUACUAUAUAUUAAAAUAGAUAAAUUCGAUGGUGAUUAUUUUUCCUACUAUUUUGUUGAUGGAUUCCACUUAUAAAACCAAACACUACAAAAUUUCAUUGUUUAAGAUAGCUGGGGUCACCUCAAUGCAAUUGGCAUACUCUGUUGGGUUUGAUUUUCUGACUUGUGAAAAAGAGGAUAAUUUCUCUUGGGCUCUAUAUAUGAGUGUAUUGAUCUUUUGAAGUGUAAAGAAAAUAUGUCGAAGUUAAUUGUUAUGGAUAGGGAUAUCACAUUGAUGAAUGUUCUUGCCAAAACGUUUCCAACUUCUACUAAUUUGGUGUGUGAAUUUCAUAUUUCGAAAAAUGUGAGAGCUAGGUGCAAGACAAAUUGCAAAGUGACAAGUUCGAAAUAAAAAUAGGUGAAGUCGACGAAUUUAUGUAACACCAUCAUGGAUGCUUGAAAAUUAGUGUAUUCUCUUUACGAGGAACUAUAUACAUAUGUAACUGUACACUUGAGAAAAGUAUGAAAUAUUACCAAAAUUCAUGAAUCAUGUUGAAAGUACCAUAUUGAAACCCUUAAAGAAAAAAACUAUGAAGGUGUGGACAAACCGUGUUAUGCAUUUUGGUAACACAACAAAAAAUAUAAAUGAAUAUGCUCAUGGUAGAUUGAAACAAUAUUUCGGGUUGUGGUUGGGAAACUAUACACAACAUGUUAACGUUGCAAUUGAUUACAUCUCAAUGUCAACAUCAAUAUGUUCAAUCCGUGAGCUAGAACCUUCUACUCCCUCACUCACAUUCACUUUGACAACAACCACAUCCACGUGUUGGAGGAGAGUUUGCCUCUCGCUCUCUGCGAACAUGAAACAAACUGAAUGGAGAUAACUCCUAAACAGUUCAGAUCGUAUCUCCUGAACGUUAUGCACAAUUGAAAUUUUAGCGUGCCUGAAGCAAUUGGUUUUUCUAUUUGGAUGGUUUCUUAUUCACUUUGGUUGCUCCCCUCCAUUGAUUAUGCUACUGGUUGCUUUGAUUUUUUUCAAAGUUAAUUUUGUAACAAGUUUAAAGUUUUAGUUUGAGAGGGUAGGGUUAGAACAUUAGUUGUUUUGAGUUUAUAUUAUCGAAUAUAUUUUUCAUUAUUUGAGAAACUCUCAAUGCUUUUUGUCGUCGCUUUGCGAUUUUGAGAGAAUGUGUUAGAUAAUAAGUCGUUAGACUCAUGCCCUUGAACCUUUUAAGUUUCUAAGUUAAUAGAGUUCAUUUAAGUUUAAUUAUAUAAUCAGUCAUCAGUUUUGCUUUUAAAAACAACAAAAAAACUAAGUAAAAGAAUGUUAAAAACCUGUCAAAUAAAAUCAUAAAAAUACCACAAAAAAAUCUAAAAAUUAAAUAAAACUAAUGCAAAUUUUUUUGGAUUUUUCUGAGAAUAUGAAAAAAUAACAAAAAAAUAAAAAAUGGGUCUAAACGAUGAAAUUUUGGAUUUUGAGGGGCGGAGGAGUCAUAGUCAUUGAAUUUUUUUCUGAUUUUCUGGGAAGUUUCGGAGCAAUCCGAUCAAGUAGCUCGAAAACCCAAUUUUUGACUAAUAACGGGUAUCAAUGACCCAAAACAGAAGGAUAAGAGUUAGGAAGAUUAAUAUUGUCCCUAAAAUGAGAGUUACAAACAUGUUUAGAAUUUGUGCUGAUACAGUUCGGAUUAUAUAAUCUGAACUAUUUUUCCCUUGAAAAAUGGUGUUUAGGGGAGUGUUCGGAUUAUGUAAUCCGAAAAAAUCAUGUAAUAUUGCGCCCUAUUUUUUGAAGUUUUCGGAUUACAAAAUCUAAAAACAUCCAUAACUCAUUUUUUUCACUCUAUAACAAAGGAAAACACCAGUUCAGAUUAUGAAAUCCGAAAACAUCAAAAGCAUUUUGAUCAAAAACGCAGGGUGCGCAAGAAUGACAUAGUGUGGGAAAAGUAUUACUCUAAAUUCUUUUGUAACCUUUGGUCUAGUAUGCUAUUGGUAUUUUAUUCAAACUCUAAGUGUCUUUCUUGUUUUGUUCUCUUUUCUAUUUGAUUAACAAUGACGAUACAAGCUUGAAUUGUGAGAUAUUGGUUCAUGUAGGGAUUUCAAUCACGUGGCACGUUCACAUGUGUAGGUAAAUAGGAGCCUAAAAAUAACAAAAGUUACAAUCACGGAAAGACUAAUUCAUUAUGAUUAUAUUGUAAUCUUCUACUGCCAUCACGUGCAUGUAGAGAGAAACACCCCUAUUUUCAAUUUGUCAAAUGAGCCACUACUUUUUUUUUCUUCCAAAAAAAUUAUAUCAAGUUCUCUAUUCAGAAAGAGACAGUAUAAGAAGGAGAAUAAGCUUACGAAGUGUCAUUUGUCAAAGUUGUCAUUCAUACAUAAUCAAUUAAUGAAGAGAUUAAUUAUAUCAGUAUUGAAAAAAUGUUUGUGUAGUUGUUUUCACUGCUUAGCCAGCUACACUUACUCUAUACAUCUCCUUGGCAAUAGUUGCAUGAAAAGAGUAAUAUAUACCUUCUACAGUAAUAACUUUGCAUACAUGAAAGAACACUAAAUAAAGCAUAUCUAGCUAAAUCAGAGUACUAAUUAUAUAUAUACCUAUAUAAAGGAAAAUUUCACAAUGAAUACACAUACAUCACCCCAUGUGAGUUCUCUCCACAACCAUACAAUGAAUACUUUCUAUUCUCUUGAUUUAAUCAAAUUAAUGUCAAGGUAGAUCAAGAAUUAUUCUCUUUUAUCAAUAUAUGAGAUGUUCAAAAAAAAUAAAAGAUCAAGAAUUAUUGAAAAUUAGGAAGAGAAAAUAUAUUGUUUUGACUUUUGAGUUAGAUCAAAACAACAUAAUAUUGUUUCUAUAUAUAUCAGCAAACUAGAAAGAGCAUGAAGUCAACACAGCUAUAUAUUUCAUCAAAUCAAAUCAAAUUUCUUUAUUUAGAAAGGUUGAAAAUAAGAUACUUAUGGCGUCCCCGUGUAUUCUGGAGCAACGGUCGGUGUCACAAUAAUAAUGGAUAAUAAGGUGACUAUAAAUUAAACUGCACUAUAUUUAAGUUGCUACAAGCAGAAUAGUCUCGAGCUUCUAAAAAAUUGACAUAUUUAGAGAUAAAUAUAGUAAUAUACAGCAUAGCUAAUUAAUAACGUGGAUAUGGAUGUAUCACACCAAGAGGAAAAACAAUAACAUGCUGCUAUAAAGCCAAUGAUGUAAUGUUUUUUCUUUUCUAACUUCACCAAACUUAAUUCAUUGAUAUUUAUAUGACUGUUUAUAAGAGUAUAUUAUUAAUGUUCAAUUCCCGUGUGUAGUUGGUUGGUUUUUUGGAUGUGUUAGGAAGCAACAUGUGGAAAACAAUUGGAAUGCUGUGGUGUAGGAAGCAAGUAGGUGAGAGUGAUCCAUCCAGGUAAAAAUGGUGAAUGCCAAAAACAAAAAAACAAUUCUAGGUAAAAAUAUUUAUUCAUAAUUUUGUGCAUGUGAGAAAGAGAACUGUUGGCUCCUUGGAAUAUAAGUAGGCAAGUAGCUGAAGUGACUAAUAACUAUCACUUACUGUCAGGUCUCAUAUCAUUUUUCUUUAUUGAAGAAAAGUUUUACUCACAUCGUACUAUUGAUUAUUGGGAUUUGAGAGAUACAGAGAAGAAGCUUAUAAAAGAAGGGAGAAUCUCAUAAUCUAAAAAACACUGCUAAGUCUUAUAUCACGAAAUGAGAUCGGUUAUAUAGAUCAAGCAACGUCAUAAUAUUCUAUCAUAUAUUAUAUAUCUAUCAAACUCGUUAUUCUUUAAAUCAUUUUUAAUAGUUUUUUUUUUUAUAAUUUUUUUAAGUAUUCCUAUGUCAUUAGUGAUUUGACUAUUUUUCAUCUGAUAUACUCCUUUUACUACAAAAUUUACAUAUUUUCUCUCUAAAAGACAAACCACGUAGUCUAGUUUUCACCGUCUUUUAUACUAUAUUUGCUACUCUAACUCUCUCUAGUGUUUUUAUUUUUAAUCCUAUCAUAUUUAGUUAUACCGCACGUCAAACUCAACAUCCUCAUCUCUACUAUUCUUAAUUUAGUUUCAUGUUGGUUCUUGACAAAGCAACAAAUUUCAUACAACAUUGUCGAUCAUAAAACUGCUCGUUCCUUUAACUUUAGUGGUAUUUUCGUAUGACAUAUAAAACUAUGAGGCCCUUUUUCGUUUCUACCACCCAACUUGAAUUCGAUAAUUUACAUAUCAUUCUAUUUCUCACUUAUUUUGUAAUAUGUAUCCAAGAUAUCUAAACUGUGUAACUUAUAGUAUGAUAUGAUCUCCAACGUUCACCUAUAAACGAGAAACACUUUGCCUUUUGCUAAUAAUACAUUUCAUAUACUUUGUUUUGCUUCUUCUUAGGCGGAAACCAUAUGUUUCUAGGGUUCGUCUGGAAAUUUCCAACCUCCCAUUUAACGACUCUCUAAGUAGGAAUAUAUCAUCAACCAAAAACACACAUCUCGAUGCUAACUUUUGGAUAUGUUAUGUACGUACAUCCAAAACAAAGUAAAAGGAUAAGGGUUUAAGGUCGAACCUAGUUGCAAUUAUAUUGCUAUGGAUAAAUCAUCGAUGUCUUCAUCUUGUGGCCUCACACUAGUUGAGACACCCUCAUAUAUAUCCUUGAUUGCUCGAAUAUAUAUAGGCAAUCCUAACUCAUUUCUUUCUAGGGAUUUCUAGGCACAUCUCUCUCACAUGAUUUCCCUAAAUUUAUGAAAACUAAGUGCAAGUCUUUUUUAUCCAGUAUUGAUCCAUCACACAUCGUAGUAAAUGGAUUGCUUUCAUGGUCGACCUCCCAUACAUAAAACCAAAUUGGUGAUCAGUAACUCGUGUCUCCUUUCUUUUACUUUGUGUUCUUGAAUCCGAGAUAUAUUAGUUGUAAUUAUGAUCCGUUGAUAUAGAUCUCAUAUUUGUCAUCAUAUAAUAUGUGGAAACACUUCUUCCAUAUCUAUCCUUUAUAUCUUUUUUUUAACCAAAAUUUUACCUUCAUCUUUAAUACACUUCAUUUGAUCAAAGUGUCUUGUCUUUCUUUCCAUUUCCCAUCCCUUAACAAGUCUAUACAAAGAUUUUUCUCCCUCCUUAGGAUAUGAAAAGAGAGACAUCUCAUAAAAUAUCGGAUAAAAGAGAGUGAUAAAGUUAAGUAAUACUUUUUUAGUUAAUACUUUAAAGUUGAUUUUUUUUCCCUGUUGAUUCUUGUCUAAAACUUGCAGUUGCUGAAGGUGUCAAAUAUGGCAGUGUAACUGUGAGACAUAGUUGAGAACCAGAAAGGGGAGGGUGGAAAAUAUUAUUAUAGAUAAAUAAACUCAACCUGGUUUACCUGAAUAUAUUUUUCUAUACAUUUCUAUGAAUUCCCUCUCACUGUGAAACCCUAGCCUAAAGAUUCCAUUUCCCAUUAACAUAUUAGAAAUUAUGAAUUUGCAUGUCCAACUUGAUGACAAUAAUAUAAUAUUGAUUGAUUACAAUUGUGUUAUGUUUUUAAUAUUUGUAAUAAUUUACCCUUAAUGAACUUUAUCUAAAGUGAUCACCAUAAAUUUAUGCAAUUGUAUAUUUGCUCAAAAAUGGAAAAUCAAAGUGAUCACUAGCUUCUACAUAUGCAACAAAUUAAAUAGGACUGUCACAUGUAACCUGAGAUAGAAUUAGCAUUCAAGUUAAACAUUUCAUUUCUUAAAAAAAAAAAAAAAAAAAAAAAAAAAAAAAAAAAGUUAAACAUUUCAUGAAAAUAAUGAAACCUUGUCAUUAUUUUCAAGGUUUUAAUUAGACAAAGAAAUUAAAGGUCGUUGCAUAGAUAUUUAUCUAUGAACUUCUAAUUAAUAAACUAGAAAAAGGACAAAACACUGACCAUUAAUAUUCCAUUACAAUCUGUUUCUGUCCUAUAUGCUAAACUUUCUGUGUUAGUUUCCCAAGCCUGAGUUCAAGAUCCAAGUCUUCUAUUCCAGGCUUAACUCCAAUUACAAACUCUGCAGACUGAAAAGUUAAACAUCUAUCAUUCAAACAUGGCUUCAGCAAGACAGGCAGUGAAGAAGAAAUGGAAGCUGUCUUUGGUCUUUUAUAAUUUAUGCCUUUGUCCCCACCACAUGAAUCAUCCUCAGUUUGCAAUUUUUGGCCAAACAUUGAAUUAUUUUGUCCCAUAGACAAACUUGUUUCAACAUAAUCAUUACAACCAUAACCUUUGAAAAUUUGCUCCUUUGCAUUAGCUAGCCCUUUUUGUUCAGAAUCAAGAGACUCCUUGUGGUUAUUCCCCCAUUUAAUUGAAGAAGAAUAUGAAGACAUGUUUGGCUGAAAACAGUUUUCUUGUGUAUAUGUAGUUGAUGGCCAAGUAGAAGAGUUAUCUCUGCUUGUUGUAACUGUAACAUAAUUUAGAGUAACAAUUAGUAAAAAGUUAAGAUAACAAUCUAAGUGAAGAGUGAAGAACUUACAAUGAUUUUUGUGAUGAGAAUGAAGUUCUAAUUCAUUAUGGUGGUUAAGACUUUGUUUGAGCUUAGCUCUAUCUCUUCUAUGAACAUUCAUGUGACCACCUAAAGCUUGAGCAGACCUAAACUCUCUUUUACAGAAGUGACAUGAGUAAGAUCUUGGAGGCCAUAUACAUCCACCAAGUAUCCUAGCUGCAUCUUCUGCAAAAGCUUUUUCCUCCCAAGACCUAUUGUUGAUGGUUCCAAAUGAUGGUACUACUUCAUUGUGUGAGUGCAAGAUUUGUUUCCUUUUCAUCCACAUCAUAUUUAGUGAUUCCUCCAUCUUGAUAUCAAGUGUAGAGUGUGUAGAAAGUAAUUAACAAUGAGAUCUAGUUAUAGGAUAUAAAACUGGUGGAAGAAGCUUUAUAUAAUGAGAAAAAUAGCUAGAAAGGGAACUGAGUUAAUUAACAUAGUGGUGUCUAUUUUUUAACUAGGGUUGCAUUUGUAUUUGCAUGUCCUUGUAGUUCUAUUUGAAAGCAACUUAAAAGAAAAUAUGAGAGGAGAGAAAAAAAAGGUAGCUGGAAAAGUAUUGUUAUAAGGUAGCUUCUGUAUUUUGCUUGCUUUUAGUACUAAACUGAACCUUUUCUGUUGUUUUUAUUUGCUUGCUAAACAGGCCCUAAGGGGGGUCCCAUUUAUGAAACUGUUUUGCAUUUAUAGAAGAUUUGAUUGAUUCACCAUGGUAAAGGAGAUAAAUAACGGUUAUGACUGAGUGUGAUAAAAUACUAUAUAGUAAACUGUUUAUCUUAAGUUUCCACCAAGCUCAUAUGGUAUAUAAUACUGUUAGUCUGUUACUACUGUCUGGUAGUGUAACUUAACUUCAACUAUUUAGUAUGUACCUAAAGUGUGUGCCAUAAUUUAACACAUUUCCAUUGUACCAAAAACAAGUGUAUAGCAUUUCUGUUCCACCACAGUAACUAUUUUAUAAUUAUAGUAUGUAGAAAACGUAUUUACUCUUCUUUCCUCUCAUCAUGCUUGCUUGCCAAUUUUAAACCUAAUAAAUAACAAUGCAAAAACUCAAAAUGAAUGUACUAAAUUUGAUAUAGAGAAAUGUUGUUAAAAUCUGGACUUUUACUUCAGGUUGAAAGGGAAUAGCAAAAUCGAGACUCCUAAAAUCGCAAUCAAAAUCGAUGAAUUUUGUCUAUUUUGGGAUUCUACUAUAGAUUUGAGUCGUUGAAGGUGAAGAAAGUCGUAAAAUUCAGGAUUUUAAGAUUUAAGUCAGGAUUUUGAUAACAAUACGUGUACAACCAUUUUUGAACAACGUUUGGAUAACUUUUUCUCUCAUACGAUCAUUGUGUUUUUUUUUUUUUUUCUCUCUAUUGUUUAUGACUAAUAAAAACAGAGAAGAAAAAAAUUAUCUCAAAAAUUAUCACAAAACGAUUGUACAAAUAUUAUUAAUGUUUUUGAUAUAUUAGGUCAAGUUAAAAAAUAUUUAAAAAAGGAAAAGAACUACUAGAAGCAUGCACAUUGCACAUCCUGCUAUUCUGUUAACAAACUGCAUUUUCGGUUUCCACACCAAAAACAGCAUGCAGGUUACUUAAUAAACGGAUUGCCAAAAAAAAGAAAGUAUCAAGUUACUUACAGUUGUUGAUAACCAAUUUUUAAAUAAUAAUAAUAAUACAGUGAAUAAAUAAAUGUAUAAAAAUGUAAAUCAAAGAGUUGAAGUCAUUCCUUUCUGUCGUCCAUGAACAAAGGAUAUAUUAAGUUUAUGAAGUAUAGCUAUAUUUUAUUUGAUUAUCUAAAAACCUUUUCCUUUUGCAUGUUUUGCUCUAGAAACCCAAAAUGAGAGAAUCUAAAUCUCUUUUGUUGAGUCACUUAAAUGGUAAAAGUUUGACUUUGUUACAUCAAGUGACAUGAUUCAAAUCACAUUGAAAUCCUUGUAAAAAUGACAAUUAAUAUGUCAUCGUUAUUAAUAAUUAUUUUUCUUCCUCAAAUUUUUCUUAAAAAAAAUGAGAAACUAUGCCCACCCUCAAAUCAUUUUGAAUGUACACAUCAAAAAAUAUAAUUUUUUAUGUUGUCUCGAUGUGUAUUUCCAGACAAACCAGAGUUUGUGUCUGAAUAUACACAUCUAAGAUUAUUAGUGUUUUUUAUACAAAUGAAUGAGUAGUUUUUUCUUAAUUCUAUGCUGGCAAUUCAAAUUUAUGUGUCAAGUGGGCAAUGGAUUUAAUCUGUGUGUUUCUUUUUGUAUAAGAAACCUAUACACAGUUAAAAGAAAAUCAAUAUUGAAGGCUAGACAUGAUUCUUUUAAUGAUGUUUAGUCAAAAUAAUGUUUUUAAUAAUGUUGAAAAAAUAUUCGAUGUUUGUGUGAUAUUUGAUAUAAAAAAUCUGCCCCUAUGAAUUUGACAGGAGUUCAUAUUUAUAAUAAAUGGCAAAUGUUAGUUUUUAAAAAAUAAAUGGCAGCUUUAAACGAAUAAAUUUUUUAACGGCAAAUGAUAGUAUUUUAGUUUUUUUUUUCUUUCUUUUUGUCAAGGCUUAAUUUCUGGACCUCCAAUUCGUUAAUCAUUAACCAUUAACUCAAAUCACUUGAGUUAUCUAACCUACCUAAACUAAUCUUUUAUCAAUGAAACUGUUUUAUAUAUAUAUAUAUAUAUAUAUAUAUAUAUAGUUUAUUAUGAUCCAUCUAAAUACGUAUAUCUCAAAGAUAAUUUAAAAGUGGACCUUUACGAUAUUUAAUAAAGAAAUAAAUAUUUUUAUUGAUAAAAAAUGGAUAGUAAUGUAUAUUUAUUUAAAAAUUAUUAUAAAUAUUAAAUUUUACCUUUAAAUCGGGUUCAUACUAUAAGAUAACUAUUAUUAGAAAGUACAUGCUUAAAGAUUGGACUUUUUUUAAGGAAAGAGUGCAACACAAUGACUUUUCAGAAGGUCACCCAUCCUAAUGCUACUCUCGUUCAAGCACGUUUAACUGAGAAGUUCGUGUAUGAUCGCAUCUUGGACUUUUCAACUAUGUCACACUCUCAUGGAGGGUAAUAUGUGUGCUGAUUUUUUAGCCAAGCUUAAAACAAAGACUACAGAUGAUCUAUUGGUUGUGCUUAAUCGUCCAGCUAAGCUUCGCUUAUUGCUUACGGUAGACAAUAUGGAUGUUGUUUAUCAUCGCAGCUAGUAAUCUCUUUGUUAUUUUUAUUUUUACUUUGCCUUUUUCUCAUGUAAAAAAAAAUACUAGACACUCAACUUAUUAAGAAUGAUUAAUUUAAUUUAUAAUCGGUGGUUGCGUUUUCAAACAAAUUUUCUGUAACAUCAUACACAGCUAGUUGGUACUAAAUAAUUAAUUACUUUUGUCAGCUUUCUUUUUUUAAAAUAUUUAGUCGACUUUUGUGGGGAGAAGUAUUAUUGCAAAGGGCUUAUUUAAUUUAAUUUGAUUAUUUGGUCUCUGACUAUAAAACGUUAAAAAUAAUUUAACACCAGCCCCACAUAGCCAGUGAUUCAAAUACAUUAUCACCUAAUCCUUGUUCUUAAGCAAUAAUACUAAGUGGCUUGUACAAGUGAACAACGAAGAAAAUAUGUGUUUAGCUACCUUUGCUGAAGCAAUUGGUCUACUUAUGGAGUAUAUUUUAUUCCUUAAAAAAUGAAGUAUUUUUAUUAUAUUUUAUAAGCUACUUAUGGAGUAUUUGUUUAUUUAAUAUUCCUGCACACAUGGAUUUGGAAGCCGAUUAAGAUACGACAUAGUAUUACCAUUAUCAUUAAUUAUAAAAUAGAAUUUAACAGCCAUGCAUCUACGUAGUACGUACUAUUAUUUAAUUUAAGUUCAUAUAUAAUUGCAUUAUUAUAUUCUAUUGUUUUCAGAACAUUUAUGCCCUAUAUAGUACACAUGGAACAACUAUAUGAUAAAACAAAAUGAUUAAAAAUAAUUUAUACAAGGCACCUGAUGCCAAAUUAAGUACAUCAUCAUCAUAAUCAUGCUAAAAGGUAUAUUUCGAAGAGAUAAGUACAGCGAUUUGUAUAUCUAAACGGCAAGAAAAAUGAAAUCAAUAUGCAUGGUUGAAAAAAAAAUAGUAUAAUGAAAAGAGAAUAUACAACGUUCAACAAAAAAAAACAUAGACAAAUAAUAAUGAAAAAUGAAAUGGGUUUGUAUAUACUUGGAGUCAAGGUCAUUGACCUGUGAAGAAGUAAAUUAUAUAUUAAAAAACUCUGCUGAAAAUGCAUUUAACUCAAAUGAAAACUAUUGAAACUAUUAACAUCAUGAACAAUCGGAGAGAGAAUUCUGAUGAGAAUGGAGCAUUUUCCAAUUCAUUCAACUCAAAUGAAUUAUUACAUUGUGGAAGGUAAUUAUAGUUUAAACAUCUAACUAAUUCAGUUAGAACUAAAUCCGUCUUAAGAUUAUUUUGCACGGGUCUAGUGUGUAAUUUAUACUUAUGUAAGUUAGUGUUUUUAAUAAGUGUUUUUAGAAAAAUUAUAUGCACUCUAUGAAUGGUUGAAAUUAAGAAUUAUCUAAAUAAAAAUUCUUCUAAAGAUAUGAUGUCAACCUCUAAUGUCAUAAAUUUCAAAAAUCUUCUCUAUACACUACAUUUGAAGUUACCUUAAUAUCUUCACAUGAUUAAGCGAAUGUCCCGCUUAUUAAUAGUCAUUGCAAAGAUAGUCUAGAUAUGAAAAUCUUAUCGCCAAUAUUAAUUACUUCCUGACAUAACACUUUGUUUAAGGACACUCUUCACAUUUUUUGCAAUAAUUAGUCGAGUUUCAUUGUACAACAUCAUUGACACUCCAACUUGAGUCUCAAAGCUUUAAGAUCGUCUUGAGAGCUAAAAUUAAAGAACCCACCAAAAUCUAUUUGCAUAAACGAUCUUAAAGCUCUCAAGACGAUCUUAAAGCUGGCAGCAAAGCAAAAUCCAAAAACAAUUGCAUUUGCACUCAAUGAAAUGUAUAUAUUGGAACAUCAGGGGAGUUGGCAACCUUGAGACCCAAAUACAUUUGUUCAAUAUGAUUAAAACUCACAAGCCUGACAUCUUGUUUCUUGAUGAGCCUCUGAUGCAUUUUACAUCUAUUCAUGCUUGGUAUUGGAAGAGGCUUAAUCUUCACCUUAGCAAAAAUUGGACAGGGACUCUCUUGGCAUUCCACUCAAUGGUGGCCAUCUGCACUACUUUCUUCCUUAAUUUUCUCUCUAGAGAUAGAUUAGGGAUGCCAUUUACUAGAUUUCAUAUGUCUUGAUUGUUUCCCUCCCUCCCUCCCGAUUUGGUUUUGGGAGGGUUUGGUUUUGGUUUGUUUUGAUCGGUUUAAUUGUUUUUAGAUGUUAUCUUGUUUGAGGUUCAGGCAUCACCUGACUUUUAUAUUGAAUUUCUAGCUUUAUCAAAAAAAAAAAAAAAACAUCAACAUUGCAAAGAAUACAAAAAACCAUAAAGCCGAGAGUAGGAAAGCACAACAAACCUCUUGAUACGUUUUCGAAUUGGAAUAUCAUAUCAAUGACCAUUAGAAAUUAUCACAAAUAAAUGCAUUGUCAAAACGAGAUGUGGGAUAAGAGUGGGGGCGAAAAAUUGGAAUGAGUUGUCAGGCUGGACGUCAUGAUCAGAUUUCGACCCCCCGGUAUCUACACUUAUGUAUGAGUUUAUAAUGACUUUGACAUUCUGCCUCUCUACCCAAAAAAAAUAAAAUGAAAUGCUAUGAACUUCUACUAUAGCCAUCAUCAACAAUUGUUUUAUUUUUUUUUAUGACAGAAGGAAUGGGUAAAAGUUUAUGAAUAGAUUUUAAUUUUAAUUUUAAUAUAUAGAUAUAAUAAAAUCAAAUAAGCUUAACUAACAAUCAUAAUCCAUAUAUAAGUUGUUAAUUAAGUUUGCUAAUACUAAUUACUAAGCUUGAAUGAGUAUAUAAACUGCACUAUAUACUAGUAAUUUUAACACGUAUUUUAUGAUAGAUAUUAGAUCCGAUAUGUGAAUAUUAGUAGCAUGCUCUACAGUUUGUAGACAAGCAUAAAAUAGUUUACAAGUACAAGUAGAAAUUUAUAAUUAAUUUAGUAUGCCGACCUAAUUGCAUAAUAUAGUACAACUACAGACUACUCUGCAGACUGACUACUACUGUCCAAGAAAAUGAAAAGUCAAGCGAUGUAUGCAUGCGUUCGACAUUUAUUGAAUGUGAUAUAUGUAUGACACUUGGUAUUUUUGUACACUUAAGAGCGUCCAUAAUGGUAGUAUACUAGUAACAGAGACUCAUUAAAUGGAUCAUGUACACAUCAUUUAUUUAUAAUUUUAUUGUGAAAUGCUAACUUGUACCCUUAAGAUACAAGUUAAUAAUUCAAGUAUAAAAAUAAUUUGUUGGAAUGUAUGCAUUGUAUUUAAUAUUUAACUUUUUAAUGAAUUGAAUUUACAAAAUUUUAAAAAAUAUUUCUUCUUUUGGGUUUCUUAACAUGUGCUCUUAAGAUACAAGUUAGCACUACCCUUAAUAAAAAUACCUAUUAAGAACUCAAUGACUCCAAUGACAAUACAUUAAUAAGGAUUCCAAUUAAAAGUAGUUAAAUAUGUCUCAUUAACUUAAAUAGGUCCCACUAACAAGGAUUCCAAUUUAAAGUACUUAAAAUAUUACUUUUUUUUUCCUAAUAGGAUCAACUAGUACAUAUUUUAUUACUUCUUUUAAACAUGGAUACGGUAGUUGCCCAAGAGAGAGUGUGUCAUUAUAUAGUUGUCUGUUACUUAAGGGAUUGAUUUUUACUUCCUCCAAUGAAAUGUCCUUAACGGGGAGUGGACCUUGUUAAGUAAGGACCCUCCAUCGAAGAUGUUGGUAGUUUUUGUAUAAGUUUUUGACAAUUACUCUUCUCAUUUUUAUAUUUGUUCCAAAUCACUUGAAAAAUAUCAAAAUAUCUUUCUAAUAAAGGAAAGAAAGCCUCAACCAGAACCACAUUCCUUUUGCGUGCGGAUUUAGCUAAGUGUCUGACUCUACCUCGCGAUGUACUUUUUGACCGACUCGCCUUGGAGCUGACUAAGUCUUGCCAACUGUCGUUUAAAUUCGUUAUAAAUAACAUUAACGAACCUAUUUAAUUACCGUUGAAAUAAUUUAGUAUUUUGGUGUGUUUUGGAGCAAAAAUAAGAAAAGUAAUAACUUAAGUUUUUGAAGAUUGCUUUUUAGGCCCCUCCAAUAUCUCUUUAGGCCCCCUAAAAAUACAAAAUUAACCUUGGUAUUUAAAAAUUGGUGCCUCCGGAGUGUAUCUACCGGAUGCACAGUUUUCAGAUUUCUGUUUUAAACCUCCAGUAUAUACAUACCGUACUGCAGGUAGCUAUAUAUAAAAGGGUUUGUUUUUUCAAAUUUCUUUUUUGAACCUUUUAUUGUUUGUUUCAACUUUAUGUCUCUGAUUAGUCCUUGUAUUGGAGCUCUAAUAUUAUGUGUUGUGGGAACUUAAUAUUAUAUCAGAAGAGGAAUCAAAUUAAUCAAAAGCAGUAAUAAUUGAUUGAUUAUGUGUAUUUUCUUGCAGAUCGGCCACUUAACAAAGUGAGUUAAUCCACCAUCGGUAAACAUGUUAUACUGUCCUUACUUGGCUCUCACAAUUUUUUUUUUUAGCAUAAAGGAUAAUAAUUUUUGAAAUAUCAAAAUAAAUAUUCAACAAUAAUCUGAUACAUAUUAAGCAUGAAGUUUCAAAGUACUCAUCUAUAUCCAGAACCGUAAACUAAAGAAAACAAGCCAACUUUGUCCCAAUUACAAAAACUAUGAAAAUACAAGGUGAACAAAAGAAAAACGACAGGCAAGUCAGGCAUAACCAGUUAAAAAAGGGACCAAACUUAAGUAUCUGCAAUUGUAAACUAAUUCCCAGUCCCCAAUUUUGAGACCCUAAAUCAAUCAACUGGAGAAGGAAGGAGAUAUUGGAGAAUCGAGUUGGGUUUCUGACAAGCCACUGGGUCGGAUAGAACUUGUGUGACAUAGAGUUUGGUGACAUUGAUGACAUUGACCGAUCACAAUGUCACAAUGCUUGUGAAAGAUAGAGAAACACAAGUAUUAUGACAUUGUGAUUGGCCAAUGUCACCAAUGUCACCUAACUCUAUGUCACCCAAGUGCUACCCCACUGGGUCCGGGUUUCUGACCAUUCUCGUCUGGACAUUAGAGAAUAAGAGAGAAGGGAAGAGAAGAGAGGAUGGUAAAUGGUGUAAUAUAAAAGAAGUCUGUUUGGUAUGUUUUUUCAUGAGCAAAAUGGUCCUCCGGUAGAUACAUACCGGAUUGUUCAGAAUUUAUAUACACAAAGGUUAAUUUGGUCACUUUAGGGGGCCUAAAGAGAUAUAGAGGGGCCUAAAGAGUAACCUUCUAAGUUUUUUUAUGAACUAGUCUAAAAGACCAGUCCCCUUGAUAUUGGGCCCAAACAUAUUGAUUUAGUCACAUUGAAUCUAUGUUUGGUUAGGCGUUUUGAUGCCCCACUUUCCAAACGCGAUUUCCCAAUUUCAUUUCAUGUUUGGACAACAGCAAACGUGAAACUUUAAAGUGUGUUUUUUUUUUCUGCACCGGUUUCCGAUCCACCAAAGUGGGGUGCAUUGGUCAAGCGUUGUUCCCCCUGAGAAUCGAACUCGGUAUUCCCCGAGUGCGUCCUUGGAAUGAGCUCCUUGCCACUAGAGCCCAAACAACUUAGUUACUUUAAAGUGUGUUUUUAUCCCCCAAACUCGCGUUUUCUCAAAGCUAGAAAUAAAAGCUUUUGUGGCAACCUAAAACACUUUGAAAAUUUGAUGUUUAGUAACAAAUGUAUUUUCUUCAAUUACCCAUUAUUUCUUUACCGUUUUCCCUGAUUACCCAUGACUUCUUUCUCAGUUUUUAGUUUCCUCCAUUUCAAUAAAUUGAACAUAGUGACGAUUUUGUCAAUCCUCAUUUUUUUUCUUCUCUACCUUGUUUCAAGCAACCUGCAAACUUACACCACUCUCUUUCUCUAUGUUAGAAAAGAGGAAGUUUUACCAUGUACCCCAACAUUUAUACCUUUACCCCAACAAACCAUAGAAGAUUGCAAUUUUACCCUUUUUAUUAAGGAAAAAGAUAGGUAGACACCCUUUUUCAUACACCACUUAUGUACACUCCAUGUGUUAGGGGUAUUUUUAGUAAUUUAACAUCAUAUCAUCACCCUUUUUAUAUCUUCUUUCAAUGUUUUUGCCACGUGUCACAGAUGUGUGUGGGUGUAAAAGGGUGUAUGCCAUCUAAGGUGGUUCAUAUAUAAGAGCUCUUUUAUUAAUUGACUUCACCCCUACAUAAUAUUUUCGGUUCAUAAAAGUCAUCCAGAAGCUAAACUUUUUUUAUGGAAACACAAAAGAUUUCCGGAAUUUAAAAAUUGCAGAAUGUCAAGGCAAUUUAAACUUAAGCCCUCAAAAUGAAAAGCAAAAUAAUGGACCCAAUAACAUUUUUGUUGUUGUAUUUAUCCAAAAAUCAAUUUGUCGUUGUAAUAACUAAACUAAGAGACAACCAAUCCGUUUUUUUGUUCGUUUCCCAUUGACACCAUAUGUAUUAUUACCUUCAGAAUUUGUUCAAUAGAAGAAAAAAAAUAUUGUUUUUAUGAUUGUUUAGGAGACGUUGUAUAGAAUUUGUUAAGUACUCAAUAUUAAUAUAACAAAGGUUUUUAAUUUUUUAAAUAGAUAUUAAUACUCAUUUUGGUAAUUAUACAUUCAAAAUCAACAUAUGACUUUAUAAGAAUCACUUUAAGUAAGUGCAUACAAUCAAUUCACAUACAACUCACUUUUAACUAAAAUCAAUUCUUGUCGCCGUCAAACCAAACACACAUUAAGAUUUGAUCCAAUAAAUUGUUUUGGAUCCACCUAAUAACUUCAACGACUAGCUCUGGAGCCUAAAAUCCUUCAUUGAUGGAGCGCCGAUCAUGACGGGCUCUCAUUAACUCACGACGACUCAUCAUUGUCCACAUCUAUAAAAGACAUCUUUAACGUACAAUUCAUACAUGAGAUAAUUGUUUAUCACUAAUAAAAUUAAUUAUUAUUUUUUUAAUAUUUUCUGGACAAAAAUAAGAAUAAUUAUAAUAUAUAAUCAUAAUUUACGAUAAAAGCCAUAUAUGGGACAAAUGUUAUGACUAAAUAAUUAGUUGAAAUUAGUAUUUUUUUUUUAAUAUCAACGACAUAAAAAAUGAGAAUAAUAUAAUAUACUAAUUAUAAAUAUAACGAGAAUAAUUAUAAUACUGACUAUAAUUUUCACACUUCAAUUGUUCAUAUUGUUUUCUCUCAAAAAAAAAAAAUUGUUCAUAUUGUUUUUUUUAAAUGAGUCGCUAAAAAAGUUGUUGUUGCGUACAAUUUAUACUUAGCAUAAUGUAAAUUAUUUAUCACUAAUCAAUUAUUUUGGAAGGUUGGAUAGCUCGGCAGAUUUUAGUCAAAGGAUUAAGGAGUUUGAGGUCAUGGGUUCAAACCUAGAGAAAGGAGAAAAAAAUGGAUCUAAUAACUAAUUAUUAAUAACAUCGAAAACUAAUCAAUUAGUUAAAUUUAGUAUAGAUUUGAAUCCAUCUACAAAAAUAAGAAUAAUUAUAAUAUACUAAUUCGAGUUUAUUAUAAAAAUUAGACACAAAACAAAUGUUUAUAAUUAAUCAAUUAGUUUGUUUUUUAAGAAACUAAGCGAAAUAUAUUAAAGAAACAAUCAGUCAAUCAAGCACAAGGCGUGCCGAAGGGAGCUGAAAAAUGUUAAUUACAAUAGAAGAAGGCUAGAAACAGACAUUACAUAGUAGUUUGUAAACAACAUGAGGGGUUUUGUCUUCAAAAGGGUAAUCUAAAUCGAACCUGAUGAAGUUCGAUUUCAACCACCAAUACGUUUGAAGUUUAACCCUUUCAAGAAGAGCUUCAAGAUGAUCAAUGUGAUUUUGGAAAAUUCUCCUCUUGCGAUCUUUUCAUAUAACAAAUAAGACCGAAAUCCAUAUAAUAGUAAAAGUUGUCCUAGAGUUCUUUGAGAAACCUCCAAGAGUACAAAACUGAUUCGCAUGUGUAUGUAAAUCGCCAUGUAAAAUCGUAACAAUACUAAGCCAAUGCGAGAUCAAGAGCCAUAACCGUCCGUAGUGGUCGCAUUUAAAAAUUAAAUUUUUACACUUCCACCUAGAUAACUGCCUCCGUAUCCUCUCAACCAGCGGAUACCAAAAAUGAAGCUUCCGAGGAUCCCCACCCAAGGGCAAUCCUAAAUAGAGAAAUGGGAUCCGACCAUGUUUACAAUGCAUUACUACAGCUGUCUCAUGAAGCCAAGAGUCAUUAACAUUCACGUCAAAUAACAUGCUUUUGUGGAAUUAACUUUCAACCCUGAGACAGCUUCAAAUAACAACAGAACUGCCUUCAUGAUACGAACAUUAGCCCAUGACUUAACACCUAUAAGUAAAGUGUCGUCUGCAAACCGAAGAUGGGACACCAACGGUGGCUCCUGCGCCCCAACACCGUAUGGAGUAAACAACCCACUCGUCACCAUCGCUGACAUCAUCACAUUAAGGCCUUCGGCAGCUAACAAAAACAAAAACGGAGAAAGAGGAUCCCUUGGACGGAGACCUCUCUCAAAGUUAAACUCAUCAAUCGGACAUCCAUUAACUAACACUACCGUCGUUGCCGUUGUAACACACUCCAUAAUCCAAGAGCACUACAAUCGCUUAGUUUAACUAAUUAAUCAAUUAGUUAAAUUUAGUAUUUUUAUAUAUUCAAAAUUAAAUUGAGAACAAAUAUAAUAUAUUAUAAUUAAUAAUAACUAUAAUAUGCUAAUAAGAGUUUAUUAUAAAAACUAUACACAAAACAAAUAUUUGUAAUUAAUCAAUUAGUUAAAUUUAAUAUUUUUGUAUAUUCUAAAUUAAAUUGACAACGCUUAUAAAUUAGGUCUAUACACAGAUACCCUCUUGCAUUAGGUCUUUUGUUGUUCAGAACAAGUUAGGGAUGCCUAACUAUAGAUUUAUAAAUUAUUAGAGAGGUUUUAGUAUAGUCUCCCUCCUUCUCUUUUCUUUUUUCCACUUUUGGUUAAUAUAUGUUGGUAGUCUAGCACUUUGCAAGCUACUUUUUGGUUUUUUUUUUUUUUUUAAAGAUUUCAAAAAAAAAAAUCUUCUUUAUAUUUUCAAAAUAUUUUUUUUUUUUUUUUGGAAAUUUAUUCAAAAAUAGUAGAAACUAUGUCAAACUCAUUUGGUAUAAGUUAAAAAAGAUAUGUUGACAUUCACUGACUUUAAUAUCCAUUGUUUGAGAUUUUACAUAGUAAAAAUCACAUAUUUUUUUUCAAAAUGACAUCUUUCAAAAAUGAUUUUUAUGAAAAGCUAUUUGAAAUAGCAUUUUUUUUUUAGAAUUUUUCAAAAUUUUAGUAUAAAAAAAAUUAUAACAAAAUGAUGAAAUACUUAGAAUGACAUUUUUAAGAUAAGUUAUUCAAACAAAUUUUUCUUUUAAAGAUUUCCUUCAAAAUUUCUUUGUUAAAAAAAUUAUAACAAAAACAUAUUACAUUACAAAAAUCUAUUUUUAAAAAAUCUAUAACAAAUGGGCCCUUAACCUUGCGACCACCACCAUUGGAGAACUUACAAACCCCAAAAAAAAUUCAGUCCAAACAAUCAUUUUUUAUCCACCUUUAUCUUGGUUUAGUUCGGAUGUAGUUGAUCCAUUUUUUGACUCAACCGCACAGUUCGGUCCAGUUUGCAAUUUUUAUUUUAUCAACCAAGUCAAACCGAAGCAAACCACAACAUAACAUAAAAGAAACAGUAAUUAAACUUUUAUCACCCAACCAACUACUCAUAAAAAUUGAAUAGAAAAUUUCAUAAAAUGACAUGUUUUUCCUCUCCUUUUGUUUUUGACUAAGAAAUGUUUUUUCUCUUGUUUAAUUUCUUCUAUGCUUUUGAUUUCAAAAAUGUAUUUAUGUUUUUUAAUUUCAUUCUACUUGCAUUUUUGCAUAUAUGUUUAUGUUAGAUAUAUCUUUUGUUAAUAUUUUGCAUUUUUCACUUAAGAGGGUUUCUUUUAAGUCCAUGUUUUUAAUUUGAUCGAUGUUGAUGGAAACAUUGUUCGAUGAAAAUUAUUUGGUCUAUGUUGAUGGAAACAUUGUUGGAUGAAAAUGAAAUUGUAAUGUCAGAUCAAAUUUCAAACAUUGUUGUUGGAAAAAAGUUGUUUUUAACUUGAUUUUAAUGUUGGAAAUAAAAAAUUGCAUCGUCUCCCAAAAAACUGAAUCAACCCAAACUGCAUUGGUUUGGUUUUUAUUUUCAAAGACAACCAAAUUAAAUUGCAUAUUUUUUUAUCUUACGUUUCGGAUAACUUUUAACAUCAAAAUUGAACUAAGAUGCACUCUGAACACUCUUAAUAUUAUUGGUUAUAGUGGUUGUAACACACUUUGAUGAAGAUUUUCUAACAAUAUUUUGGUUACAGUGGUUGUGACACACUUUAAUUAAUUAAAUAUACUAUUCAUUCCAAGUUUAAGGAAGUUCAUGAAGGGAUGUUAUUUACACCAAAGUAGUUGUCUUGUUCUUUAUUUGGAACAACGACCAAUUUAGGGGAAUUAGAUGUGUGUAUGAGGGGUCACAACCUAUGUAAAUCAAGAAGUUAUUUAAAAUAUGCGCAGGUGAAAUCUCAGAUUCAGUUACUUCAGAACUUGGGGCUGAUAAAUUACCAAUAAAAAAUAUCCUUUCAGCUACUUUAGGCGAAGUACCAGAUCCAAGAAUGUUGAUCCUCCUCCUAUUAGGGUACAAUGAAGCCUUCUUUUUUUGAGAGAAAACGAGACAUGAGAAGACAAGAGUUUAAAGAAACUAGGCAAUUAAUUAAGGGAAUGUCACAAAUACCUUAUGGUCCAAUUCUGACCCACCGAAGAAGCUGGUGCAGCUGACCUCUUCUUUAAGGAUGCAAGGGUGGUAGGGUCUACGAUGUAAGCAAUUUGAACACCACUAGAUAUAAUAUAUCUCCUAUGAAGAAGAGGAAUUUCAUCUUUUUUCAUCUUCAUCCAUCACGUUGGACACUUGCACUUUGCCCUAAUCGACACAACCUCGACUAGCAUCAGCAGCUGCUUGGGUUUGGAAAUAACGGGAAGACUACAUUGGAUUGGAAAGUCUAACUUGUUAGUAGGCUUUCUUACCAGUGGUCGCUCUCUGAGAGUAGAGCUUCUCAAACUAAGAAAAUAGCUGAUCGCGAACUAAAUUUCACCUAUUGACGAAGGUGUUGGAUUCCCUAGGGCAACUGUCAAAGGCUCUAACCAAAAUGCCUGAAUUUUGUUCCAACCAAAACGAGAAAGAUGAUCUAUGGAAUCAUGGUCCAAGAGAGUCUCUGAGAUAACUAGGACCAGUGAAUCAUACCCAAGUAGGGCUGGAAAUGAGUCGAGUCGAACCGAACUUGUCUGAGCUUUACUUGACUCGAUAAGAAAUGGUUUGGCUCGAAACUCGACUCGAGUUCGACACGAACCUUUUUUUUAGCUCGAGUUCGGCUCGUUUAAAGUUCACGAGAUUCGACUUGAUAGGUUCAUUAGCUCAAUUCAAAUAACCAUGACCAGGGUUCGAACCCCGGUACCUCCACGUAUGUGUGUGAGUUUAUAAUGGCUUUGCAAUUUCGUCUAUCUAGUAUAAAAAAAAAAAGAGAAUAAUUAGAUCCACAAUUUUUUUUAAAGACAAGUCCAUUAAAAUCGAUUAAAUUCAAACAAUUUCAUAGAUAAAAUCACAAAAAAUAUAACUGUAUACAAAGGCUCUGUUUGGUAAAAAUAAGCUAUAAGCUAGCUGAUAGCUGAUGACUGAUAGUUUAUAGCUGAAAAGCUUGCUUAUUAAAAAUAAUGUGUUUGGUAAAAUUAGCUGUUGAAGUGACUGAUAAGUAUAAAAGGACAUAAAAGGACAUGUUUUUUUUUUAAUAUACAUAUAGACACACACAUUUUUUUUGUAAUGUAUUUAUUUUUUAAUAUUUUUAAUUAUAGUUAAAUAUGUUUUUGGUCCCUAUAAAUAUUCAAUCUUUUGUUCUUAUUCUCCAUAAAAAAAUUCUUCGACCUUUAAUACUAAAAAAGAAAUUCACCGACAAUUUUGAUCUCUGCUUUAUGAAUCCCAAAAAUCCCAAAAAUAAGAGAGAGGUGGAAACAAAAUGUGAGCUAUAAUAUAUAAAAUUUUACAACGUACAAUAGACUGGUUAUUUUUUCCUUUAAAAAAAAAAUAGGCUAGUUAUUUUUUGUGUGGUGUACGGCAGGUGAUCGUUGUCGUGGACGAUCAAAUUUAAGUAUUUUAAAACAAGUAGUACAAGGUAGUUAACCUUGGUUGUCUCUCGAGGAUUUCUGAUUUAGCAAUUACCAAUAACAAGAACAACAACUAUGAAUUCAAAAAUAUAAAUCGGGGGUUUUUGUUUGGUUGUAAAGAAAAGUAAAUAGGAUGAUGAAUUCAAUUAAUAGAAAAACAAUCUACUGAUUUUAAGAAACUUUGUUUAUCAUCUAUCACAGGUUCUCAGAGAGUAUUUGUUAAGAGUUUAUGCUUUGGUUGAUUAUAAAACUCAUUUAACAAGCGAAAAUCGGUUUUAUAUAGAAUUCGUUUGAUUAAGCAUCAUACGUGUUCAACUAACUAUGGUGAUGAUCAAGCUUCACCAAGAACAAAGUUAAUAUCAUAACAAGAUUCGAUCAACCCUUUUUGCAAGCGAAAAGAAAGCAUGUAUAUUUUUCUGUUCAAAUUAAUUUACACAAGUGAUGGAUUAAUUCGAACAAUCUCAACGGUAUGAAUAUGAAACAGAAUAAUUAAGCAUCAAUUGUACCAAAUUCAUACACAUAAGAGAGACAAGAAAAUUGAUAUAUGAUCAGCAUAAACAUAACAAAUUGCUAUUAAAACCGAACCUCAAGAGUCACAACAAAGUUCCUUUGCCAAUGGAUCGAAAGAGAGAUUAGUUCUCCAUAGCAAGCGGCUGCCUUAGGGUUUCUAUUUUCUGAAACGUGAAUGCAGAAUGAGCAGCCCUAGCUGUGUUUUUUAGUUUUUAUCUU
rnacentral:lncRNA from 1 species